GAAUUGACUCCAAAAAUAAAGUUGCACUCAAAAACAUCGAGCAAGACUGGAAGCUUUGGAAUCAUUUGGAGUUCAGUGCAAGAAGUCAAUAGAAGUUCAUCAAGUUUUGUAAGGUUUUUUAAGCUCUCAGGUAGGUAAUGAAUUGGGUUUCUACUUAAAUUUAAGGAUUUCAAGGAAGCCAAGUUACAAAGAUCAUUGGGCAUGACAUCAUUAGAUAAUUUGCAACUUUCAAGGCUUAACUUUACCAAAGAGCCCGGUAGAGAUGCCCAAGAGAAACCCAAUCCUUUGCUUCUUUUCAGUAAGAGCCACUGCAACCCCAAUCUUGAUUGAUAUAUGGCAGUUUCAUCUAAAUUAAGCACCUUCAAUGAUUCCAUAUUAUGCAACUCCCUAGGAACAUCAUCAAGUCUUGAACAACCAGAUAAGAUAAGCUCUUCAAGUGAUAUUAAAGAACCCAUUGUCCUUGGAAGUUUCCUAAGACCUGUGCAAUCUUUAAGGUUCAAGAAAGUAAGCAUCUUUAGCUCACCAAUGGAUUGAUUAACUUCCACCAAAUUUAUGCAAUCUUUGAGCAUCAACUUCUCAAGGCCAGGGAGUCCUGAAAAGCUUGGGGAUUUAAGAAGGCUAUGUGAAUGGUUGAGAUUAAGGAUCUUUAAAUUUGGGAGGCACUGCAAAAAACGAAAACCCUUCAUUUAUAUAUUAUUGUUUCACAUAUCCACAAAAAGAAGGAAAAUUAGUAUAUAUCAUACCUCUGUAUCCUUCCAAACUUGUUUAAGUUUACUGUUGCGCAUGUCGAGAACAACUAGUUCAUUGAUAUCAAAAUCCAUCGGAAAAGAUUGCAUACUGUGAAAUUAUAAGAAGAAAACUCUGAAGAGAAACAUCUUAUUCAAAGACUUGCUUAAUACAUGCAGGUUGCACGUAUUUAUACAUGCAUGAGAGCUGAAGCUGACAGACGUUACAGCAACCUUUCUAACUGCUAUCAUCUUUAACUGCUAACAGACUAAUUGCUAACAGACUUACAACGGUACAACGGUUUUGACUAUAUUACAACUGCUUUGACUAUAUUAACUCUAACAUUCCCUUAACAUUUCUUUGGACUUUUGAUCACUAAUUUCACUUAUUGACAGCACUUGAAGAGCACGUCGAAAAGAGACAAACAGUUUAGGAGGUAUUGGUUUAGUGAGACCAUCAGCAAUCUGUUGAGCAGAUGGAACAAAAUUCACUUGCAACAUUCCAGCAUGAACUUUUUCUCGAACAAAAUGAUGAUCUAUUUCCACAUGCUUCAUCCUAGCAUGAUGUGUGGGAUUUUCAGUAAUUGAAACUGCAGAAGAAUUAUCACACCAUACAAUUGGCAGCUUAGUCAAAGAAAUCCGGACUUCAUCCAGUAGUUGUUUGAUCCAUAGUAACUCAGAUACGCAAUUGGCAAGGCUACGGGAUUCUGCUUCAGCAGAUGACCUGGAUACCACAGGCUGUUUCUUUGAGCACCAGGUAAUUGGAUUUGAUCCUAAGUACACCACAUACCCCGACGUAGACCGUCGAUCCUCAAUUGAGGAGGCCCAGUCAGCAUCUGAAUAACACACCAGUUCCAACGAUCCUGCUUCAAAAUACAAACCAUGAUCCAUAGUGCCAGCCAAGUACCGUAAGACCCGUUUUACAGCUUUCCAAUGAGUGACAGUNNNNNNNNNNNNNNNNNNNNNNNNNNNNNNNNNNNNNNNNNNNNNNNNNNNNNNNNNNNNNNNNNNNNNNNNNNNNNNNNNNNNNNNNNNNNNNNNNNNNUGAUAAAUCUGGUCUAGUAAUGCAGACAUAUUGAAGCAUGCCCACUGUACUACGAUACAAAUACACAUCUGUAAAGGGAGAGCUUCCAUCUGAAACCGCCAACUUAGGAGUGACAACCAUGGGCGUUGGUGUAGAGGCUGCACCAAGCAUGCCAGUCUUGAGUAGCAGUUCAGUAAUGUACUUCUUCUGACUGAGUAACAUUCCUUGGGACGUACGUUGAACAUCAAUUCCCAAAAAAUAACUAAGAUUUCCCAUAUCCUUAAGGGCAAACUUAUCAUGCAAACGACGAACCAUUGCAUCUAUAUCUUGACUACUGCUACCAGUGAUCACGAUGUCAUCUACAUACACCAUUAGUAGCAUGUAAUUCUCAGUAGACACCCGAAUGAACAAAGAUGAAUCUGCUUUUGAUGCAUGGAAGCCAAGCUCAGUGACAAGGUACUGUUUGAGCGUUUGAAACCAUGCUCGAGGAGCUUGACGCAAGCCAUAAAGUGCCUUAUUUAACUUACACACAAGUGACUGACCAGAGGCAUUCAGGACUUCAAAACCAGGUGGUUGCUCCAUAUAUAUUUCCUCAGUAAGCUCGCCAUUAAGAAAAGCAUUGUUGAUAUCAACUUGACGCACAACCCACCCCUGCAUAACUGCUAAUGCAAGAAUGGUCCGAAUGGUAGAAGCUCGAACAACAGGACUAAAGGUAUCAUGAAAAUCAAACCCUGCAUGCUGAGAAAAACCUUUUGCAACUAAUCUUGCUUUGUACCUGUCAAUAGAACCAUCAGCCUUCUUUUUAAUUUUAAACAACCACUUACACCCGAUUGCCCGUCUAUUCUCAGGAAGGGAGCAGAGAGUCCAUGUAUUAUUACGACUCAAGGCUUGUAACUCACUAUGUACUGCCGUUUGCCAGCAUUCAAACUUCAUUGCAGCAUGUAUGUCAGAAGGAACAUCACUUGAAGAAGUAGACACCUCGCUCAGAUAAGCUUUUGGUUUGAAAAUGCCAACUUUACUCCUUGUGAUCAUGGAAUGAGUAUUUGUCGGGACAGAAUGAGUGGUUUGUAUUGGAAUAGGUGGUGAGGCUGAAGGUGAUAUGGAUGGAGUGGACGGUAAUUGGGCUAACGUGGAAGAAGAAGGUUGUGUCGGUAUAUGUGAUAAAGCCGUAGGCAAUAUGGGUGAGGUGGAUGGUGAGUGAGCUAAUGUUGAAUAAGUGGGCUGUGAAAUAGGCAUUGUAGUUGUUGGAGUAGAUGAGACAGGUGUUGAAGAAAUAUUAGUAGAAAUGAUAUUAGGUGAGGUGUUAUGAUGAGCUACAGGACUAGGCUUUAUGACAAACAAUUUUGAAUUUAUUUGUGAAGUGUUAGAUAUGGACGGCUUGACUAUUGAGGUAUGAGUUUUAUAGGGAAAAAUAGCUUCAUUAAAUGUGACAUGACGGCUAAUGUAAAUUUUGCCUGUAGGGUCUCUACAUUUGUAACCUUUGUGCAAGGUAGAAUAGCCAAGAAAAACACAGGGAGUGGAUCGAAAUUGUAAUUUUGUUUUGUUGAAAGGUCUCAGAUUAGGAAAGCAUAGACAACCAAACGUUCGAAGGAAAGAAUAAUUUGGCUUUGUUUUAAAAAGUUUUUCAUAUGGGGAUAUAUCACCUAAGGGUUGAGAGGGUAAUCUAUNNNNNNNNNNNNNNNNNNNNNNNNNNNNNNNNNNNNNNNNNNNNNNNNNNNNNNNNNNNNNNNNNNNNNNNNNNNNNNNNNNNNNNNNNNNNNNNNNNNNAAGGGCAUAGUGGCAUGAGCUAGCAUAGACAGACCGAUUUCAACUACCUGGCGAUGUUUCCGUUCGACAAGCCCAUUUUGAGCUGAUGUGUAUGGACAUGUGAGCCUCUGUAGAAUCCCAUGUUGACUCAAAUAGUUCUUCAAAGCCUGAAACUCCCCUCCCCCAUCAGUUUGUAGAACUUUGAGUUUAGUACCAAGCAUCCUCUCAGCUUGAAGGUGAAACUGUGGAAAUACAGCAGCAAUAUCAGACUUAUUCUUCAAAAAAUAGAGCCAUGUGUAGCGUGAAUAAGCAUCAGUGAAUGCAACAUAGUAGCGAAAACCGUUGGAUACAACAGGAGCGGGUCCCCAGACAUCAGCCACUACUAAUUGCAAAGGUGAGGAAUACUCAGUGCAUGACUUUGAAAACGGAAGCUUGCGUUCUUUACCCAAGUGACAGGCAACACAGUCAACAAAUUUAUUACUGUCUAUAAACUGUAUAUUACACUGAAGAAGAGCUUUUGUAAGUGUUGCUUUACAUGGAUGGCCUAAUCUAGCAUGCCAAACACUAAUAGGAAGCUUUGUGCUUGUUGUAAGACAUUGAGCAGCAUGAGACAGAGUUGUAGGUGCAGGAGACUUGUUGAGUUGAAGCUUAUAUAACCCAUGAUGCACCAACCCUCGAAGAAGCACUUCUCUGGUCCUUAAAUCACGCACCCGGCACUGAGUAGGCAAGAACUCAAACAUUACCUGAUUAUCUUUAGCAAACUUUGACAUAGAUAAUAGAUUUUUAGUAAUUCCAGGAACAAGCAGUAAAGAUCACAUGUACAAUGGUCAAGAUCUCGUGAUUAAUGAGGACUGCCCAGUAGAUAAAACAGGUAAUGCAGAACCAUUACCAACAAAAACCUUACCUGGUCCGUUACAUGACCCACCGUCACCAACCAAAGUAGCUGAAUUGGUGAGGUGGUGUGUUGCACCAGAGUCUGGAUACCAUGCAUUGUCAGCUAUUGUUUCAGGAGUUGCAACAUAAGCUUGAGGUGGUGUGACACCAGCAGAUGGCAUACUGACUUGUUGGGGCAUACUAACCUGUUGUGGAGAGCUACCAACAAACGGGUUAGGCCAGACAGAUGAAGGAGGAGGAAAACACCAACCUGGAGAACCCCACGGAGGACUUUGCUGAGGAUAAGAAAACCAAGGUGUAGACGGACUCCAAGGUGCGGAUGAACUAGAACCAGUCAUGCACAUAUUUGCUUGUGGAGGGGGUCUAUAGUUGCUACUCUUGUAUGAUGAGUCAAAACGAUGGUAGCAGCGGUCAACAAGAUGACCAGCCUUCCCACAAAGCUGACAUUGAAUUCUUGAGCUAGACGAAUGCCCUCGCCCACGUCCUCGAACUGAAGAUGAUGGCUGAUAAGCAGGUAGUGAACCAGGAUCAUCAGAAGACUCAUUCAACACCAAGUUUGCCCAGCUGGAUACUUCAGUACUUACGACCUGCUGACGAGCCUCAGUAUCAAGAAGCAUAGAGGUUACUCCUUGUACCGUGUAGGGAAUCUGACUCGCCGUAAUAAUUGUGAUAAUCGAUUCAUAAUCUGGAGGUAGGCCAUUAAGGAUUGCAGUAAUGUGUUCAUGCUCUCCAAUGAUUUCUCCACAACUAGCAAGAUUGUCACAACAACCCUUAACCUUCAUCAAGAACUCCUUCAUGCCAAGGUCACCUUUGCGUUGAGAGUGUAACGCUCGACGAUAUGCCAUCAGUUUAGAGGUUGUUUUACUACCAAACAAAGCAACAACCGCAUUCCAAAUCUUGGCGCUAGUAUCCAUGCCAAUGAGAUNNNNNNNNNNNNNNNNNNNNNNNNNNNNNNNNNNNNNNNNNNNNNNNNNNNNNNNNNNNNNNNNNNNNNNNNNNNNNNNNNNNNNNNNNNNNNNNNNNNNNNUAUCAUCGACAAGUAACGAGGGUGGCGGAGUUUCUUGAGAAUCCAAGAAGCGCUGUAAUUUAUGCGCUUUCACAGCCAAGAGAACUUGCUGGCGCCAGAGUAGAUACGUAUUAUCAUCAAGAAGAACACUAAUACGCUUUGUUGAAAAGAAACGACUGUCAAGAACUCCAUCAGAAGCACUGGAUGUCAUCUUGCCCAAUACAAAACUGCACAGCGAAAGAAAAAACAAACCAGGAAAUACUUACAUCUGAUACCAUGUGAAAUUAUAAGAAGAAAACUCUGAAGAAAAACAUCUUAUUCAAAGACUUACUUAAUACAUGCAGGUUGCACGUAUUUAUACAUGCAUGAGAGCUGAAGCUGACAGACGCUACAGCAAACUUUCUAACUACUAUCAUCUUUAACUGCUAACAGACUAACUGCUAACAGACUUACAACGGUACAACGGUUUUGACUAUAUUACAACUGCUUUGACUAUAUUAACUCUAACAAUAAGAAUGUUUGUAAAAUCUAACCAACAACAAAACUCAUUCUCUUUUGCUUCGAAAUAGUUAUAAAAUCAGCACAUUAGACUUCCCUAAAUGGAAGUCUUGUUAAUAAAUGUAGGCCCAAAUAUGGCAUUUUUUGUUUUACAGAACAGCAUCGAGGAAUCUAUUGGCACCUCGGUAAAUUCCUGAUUUGAAAUUCCAUUAAUUGAGACAGCCUCUUUCUUGUCCAAAUUUAAUUUUUCAAGCAUGAUAUCAGUUGUCCUUUCACCGAUUUUAUAUGGUUCAGCCUUGCUGGUACCUGCAAACAAAUGCAUUAGUGAUGAAGGUCUACAAUAAACAAAUUAAAAAGGAAUUAAAGGAGCAACAGUUAUAUAAGUUAAUACCAAUGACUUGGACAAGUCUAUAAAAAUCAACAGUUAUAAGGAAUUAAAGGUCCAUGUUAGUUCCUUUAGCAUUACUAUAAUUAUUAAGUUAUAAUUAAAAAAAAUCAGAAACCCGCUCAAGUUUCAGCAUUAAGCAAAAACUAUCAAAUUCCCAACUAAUUUCAAACCCAAUUUUGUUAUGAAAUUAAGAUCAACUUCCAUACAGCAAAAAUGAAAGCAAUUUCGUAAUCAUCUUGUUUUGUAGGGCAAAAAAAGAAGAAAAAAACCCUAGAAAAUCAAACAAAAUGAAACAAUAUAAGUGAACAGGGAGAGAAAAAAUUAGGGUUUAGUGAAGGGACUAACAUCUCUGGGGACCGGGGCCGCCGUCAGUGCUGAGGGACUCGAAGUCGCGGGAGGCGAGACGGGAGUGGAGGUCAGCAUCACCCUCACGGAAGCCACGACCCUUGGUCUUCUUAUGAGCAGAAAGAGAGGUGGAAGCGGCUCUGGUGAUGGUGGACUUGAGCAUAGGCAAGGGAGCUUGAGGGGAGGGAUCGCCGGCGGCAUUUGAAGUGAGGGAAAGCGAAAUUUUGAAGUGAAGGAUUUUGUUUUCAAAACUUGGGGGGUUGGCGGCAUUUGGUAAUAAAACCCACCGCUCAAUUUUAAGUUUUUUGAAGUCAAAUCUGAUUUGGGGAAGAAAACGACGCAACUUUGGUAUUGUAAAUAUUUGUGGCACUUAUAAAAAAAUGCCACUAAUUGUAUAAUUUUUGUUAAAAAUUAAAUUUCUGUAUCAAACGACGCCAUUUUGAAAAAUAAAAAUUUUCAUAGUUGCGGCGUUUUUGGUCCAAACGCCGCUAUUGCUUAUCUUUAGCGGCGUUUUUCUCAUAAACGCCGCUAAUGAUUGACUUUUUUGUAAUUUUAUAUUUAAUUAUUAUAUAAUCCAUAUCAAUUUUAAAUAAAUAAAUUUUGAAAAUUUAAGUAAUAUUUUAAAGAAUUAGAUAAAUUUUAAAAUUUUUAUAUAAUUUUUGAGGUAAGAAAACAAAAAAAAAACAAAAAAUUUUAAAAUAUGAAGAAAAAAAAGCUUUAAAAAACUAUCCAUAUUAAUAUCUUUAAAAAUUUUAAAAGCUUUAUAUAAUUAAUAUUAGGAUUUAUAUUGAAUUAAUUCAAUAUUGAUUAAUUAUCAUUAUUAUUUAAAUCAGGGGUUAAGGGUUAGGGGUUUCAGGGGGAAAGUUGGGUCUUUUCUUUAAAAGUAUAUAAAUAUUAUAAAAAUAAAAGUUUAAAAUCUUUUUAAAAAUUUUUAAAAAUUUUGAAAUCUUUGAAAAUUCAUUUUAAAAUUUUAAAUCACGAAAAAUAUAAAACCUUUCAAAAUUUAGAAAAAUAUUGUAUCAUUUAACAAAUCUCAAAUAAACCUUAAACCCUAAAUAGUCAUUCAAUAUACAUAAAGUCUAUCUAUUAUAUAUCUCUUAAAUAAUAUAAACUAUACUCAUAAUUUUAAUAUAUUAAAAUUAUUAUUAUCUCUUUUACAAUUAUAUAAAAACAUAUUUAAUAUAAAAAUUAAAAAACUAAUUAAUCUAAACCCUAACCCGACCCUUAAAUCCCUAAAUCUUAACCCCUAACCCCUAACUACUAACCCCUAAACCUUUAAAUCCCAACCCUUAAACCAUAAUCCCUAAAUCCAUAUAUAAUUAUUUGAUCACGGCGGGGGCAAGGCAAAACACGAAAAAAAUUGAACUGGAUAAAAAAAUUGAACCGAGCACUAAAAAUACUGAACCGGGAAGGGAUAAGAUAGGGAUAUCCUUGGAUAUAGCUUCUAUCGAUUUUGAAGAACCAAAUCUUCACAUGAUUUUGAAGAACCAAAUUAAUAUUAUCUCUUUUACAAUUAUAUAAGAAAUUAAUUAAUAUAUAAAUUAGAAAACACUAGUUAAUCUAAACCAUAAACCUAAACCCUAAAACCAUAAACCCUUGACAUGCACAUAACCUCUAAACCUUAAANNNNNNNNNNNNNNNNNNNNNNNNNNNNNNNNNNNNNNNNNNNNNNNNNNNNNNNNNNNNNNNNNNNNNNNNNNNNNNNNNNNNNNNNNNNNNNNNNNNNAAAUCAAAUCAAAUAAAACAACAUAAAAAUUAAUGAAAUUCGUUCGAGAAACAACCUAUACUCAAAAUUUCAACUUUCACUUUGUGAAAGUUUAAUAAAUUCAUGUUAUUUACAUGAAUUUAUAUAUAUAUUUUAUUCAUUGUAACAUUUUGAAUAUGUGUAGACCUAUUACACGAAUAACUUGGAUAUAAUUGUUGCAAAUAUACUACUGCAAAAUAGAAUUGUUACAAGAGACCAAGCUGAAUUUAAAUAAAAUAAGAAUCACUGUGUCGUGGAAGAACCACUAUAUUAGAGGCAAGUUUGCCCUAAUCAGUGUAAUCGUAUAGUGGACGUUACCCCCCAACACAAUACUCCAAUAUUCAUACUCUCGAAUAAAGAAGGUGGAACACGAUUGACAUUAUUCUUCCCGGAAAAAGUUCAAUUCCUAAGAAAGAUUAAAAGGGUCACAAAGAGUCCCGCUUAAAACCUAAUCUCUUAGACAAAAUUUUCCUCUCGUGUAAUUUUGCAGAACAUUAGAAUUUAGAGAACAUAGAGAAGUUGUUUUUCUCUUGUUGUGUUAGGUGGGAGAAUGACCCCUCCUAUUUAUACUAUUUUUUGAUGGGAAAAAUGGUAAAAUAACAAUUUUAGUUUUCAAAAGUAGCAAAGGAUUUUUCUAACUGAAAAUAUUCUAAAAAUAGUUUUUGCAAUAGUUAGAGGAUUUUCCUCAAUUCCAAAUAUUCUUUUGCAUUACCAACAAUGACAUCUUAGAAAACCACAAAUAGUGUCAUUAAAUUCAAGAGGCUAUUUCUUUUUGUUUUCAACUCGUCAAAUCCAAAUUAUUCAUGUGAUAGGUGCAAACGUAUUUAAAAUUUGAUCUAUGUGUUUUAAAAACAUCCCACAUCAGAUUCGAGCUAACAUUUAAUGCUUAAGCUGAUGGCUUGUUGAUAGAAAGAUCUUAUUGAUACAAUACUAAUAUUUUAAUGACUCAAUUAAAACAUGUUAAUGUUUCUGAGUUAUAAUUAACCCUUUAAAAUGGAUUGAAGUAACCAUUUUAAUUUCCAAACGCUACCUAACAAUAUUUUCUAUUAAUUUUCCUUCUACUCUAUCUAUCAAGUCUUAAUGAAAAGGAUUGAAGUAACCAUAUGGAACUUGAUUAUGACGUACCUGUCUUGUAGAACCAUGCCUCCUAUAUCCGCAACUUCUUUUAAAGCAUUCCUCCAUCUUUGUACCAUGGACUCGAAGUUUUGUUCAUGUUGGGUAAAUGCUUCUGCAUAACUUUCCGUCUGGUUCUUGACUUGACUCGGAUCCACAUCAUAAAAAACUGGCAACACAAUAUGUUUAGAGGAUUUCUUGUGCUCCAAUAUCAUUACAAGUUCGUUAAGACACCAUGUGGAUGCAGCAUAAUUCUUUGAGAAAACAACGAUAGAAAUUUUGGAGUGGUGUAGUAUUGCUUUUUCAAUUUCAUCUUUUAUGUUAUUCCCUCUCUCGAUUUCCUCAUCAUCUCUAAAUGUUUGAAUUCCUAAGUGCACCAAAGCUGUGUAAAGAUGAUCCGUGAAACUUUUGCGCGUAUCUUCACCUCUAAAACUCAAGAAUACAUGAUAACUACAUCGCGAGAUUUCUGACAUUGCCAUUGACGAAGAAAAUGAAGUCGUCCUGUAUUUUUUAUGUAAUAAUGAGGUUCCAGCAUAUAUAUAUAUAUAUGAAUGGCAAAGCAGAUAUUAUUAGCAGUCAAGUGGCAGUUCCCAAUCCAUGGUGGGUCAAUCCUUCCACCAGUUCAUACAACUGCCCGAAGAAAUUCAUGUCGGCCAUGUUGUUUUUUUCCAAAUCUACCAACUAGGGUUACGUAUUCUAUAUUAUUAAUUUUGCUUGAAAAAUACAAUCUAUUGAUUAACUUGAUGGUUAUAGCUAACACAACACGUAAUAUAGACAUCAUCUUCACGCUAAUAUUAGUAAAAAUACUAUGAAGGUUGUUGUAUUUUAAGUUAUAUUAUAUUUUGUUUUCUCUAGUAAAUUGGUCUUUGUGUAUUAGAUUAGAAGGUAAAUUAAUUCUUUUGUUAAAAAAAUUAUCCAUCAUUAUUGUUAAAAAUUGGUCCAUGUAAUCAACAUGAGGUACAUGUGACACGCCACAUGCAACUAUUUGGUUAUUUCGUCAUUCACGUUAGUUUUUAACAACAAAAAUGGAUGAAUUUUUUAAUAGAAAUGAUAAAUUUGUUAUUUUAUCUAAUGUAUAUGGACUAAUUUGCUUGUUUUUAAAUAAAAUGGGUUAAAUAUAAUUUGACUCUCAAUAGAAUGAUCUCCAUGAUACUUUUAUCGGCUAAUUCCUUGGUGGAUACAGUCAAUAAUUAAACCACAACCACCAUAUAUCACAUAGACAUCACAUUAAACAUUCAAGUUCGGUAUAGUAAAGAAAAAGUUUUAGUAUCUAUGCAUGAAUGAAGAAUUAAUUGUUUUUAAAAAAGAAUUGGUGAUUAAAUUGAUUAGGUCGUCAAUUUUUUAUUUGAUUUGUUCAUGUUAUCUAAAGUAAAUAAAUUUUUAAAAAUUAAAAAUAAUAAAAAUUCAGGUAUAUUGCACAUUAAAGUAAAUUGAAAAUGAGAAUUGAGAGGGACAGAAGAAAAAGGAGAAUAAUUCCGAAGUAUUUGGUGUGGAAAAUAGCGGUACUAGAAAACGCGUUUCAUUUUGGAGUCAUGCUUACGGUCCAUUUGGUGCUAUCAACAUUUUUAUUAAAAAUAUUAUUUGAGUAGAGUUUUUCAACAGAGGUAGUAGAAAGGAAGGAAAACGUUAAAGUUGUACACUAUAAAAAAUAUAUAUUAUCAGACCUUAAACAAUGAUUUAUGGGCCUUAAAUUAGCAAUUAAAGAGGAUGGGAUAAGGGUAAGGUUGAGUAAUUGAUCCAAAAUUUCAUGCUGAGGGCAACUAGCACAAAAUUGAUUAAAUAUUUUCCAAUACUCAUUAAGGAUCUUCAUAUCCUUUUUGUGGUAUGCCAUAGAUUUCUUUCCUAAUUUAAGCACCAAGUCAAGAAAAAGGAAAUUCAAUAAAUAUUCUUACCAUAUCUAUUUUAAAAUUUUAAUGUAAUUAAUCAAAAACAAUUCACAUAUAUGAAUCACCAAAUUUGACGUGCUUAGAGAACCCAUGUGAUAGCCUGAUGAUUAAGGUCGUUCAAAAUACAUGAAUGAUAAAAUUUAACGUGAUUAAAUAAAUAUUGGAUUUUGUUAUAUUUUUAAUAAUAAAUAUAGGUAAAUGGUAAUAAAUUGGUAUUUUAAUGUCAUUAAAAACGUGUCAGAUAAAUAUUAGAUUAGAUAUUCAAUAUUAAUAAUCAAUAUAUAUUAAUUGAAUUAUACAUUAUAAUUAAGGAUGAGUGUCGAAAUUCAAAAUUGUAAAUAUUAAUAUAUAUUGAAUUAAAUUACUACCAUACAUAAUCUUAUUCAAAUAAUAAUAAUGAAAAAAAUGAGUGUUUAAGAUAAUUUCGUUGUAUUUGUUUGUUCUAUGAUCCAACUAUUGUAGGUAAGCGUGGUGUAGGUUCAUCGUACUCCCAUCCAAUGGCUUUAAUUUGCUCUAAUGGAAUCGAAAACGAAUCAAUCCUUUUAACUUCUUCUUCCCUCUUCAUCAUCGGAAAUUGACUUUAUUUCCAAAAAAAAGGUUUUGGAUCAAUUUUGGAGUUCCAAUCAAUAUCAUCGGUAUAAAUAUCUGUUGCAUUACUUAGCAACUUAUUUGUGCAAGGAAAUCAAUGAUAAUAUUCCCAGAAUCUCUAUUUGGGUUCCUGAAAAGCUUUUAAACUAGCUGAAUCAUCCCAUUCGAAUACUUUAUCGGUUUUGAACAAAUUAUUCUUUGAUUCAACAAAUCUUUUCCAUGGCAUUGCACCCACUUUAUGCAAAAAAUUUUCUCCCAUGCCGGUAAUUGUUCCCAAGAAUUACUGUUAUCAUUCGGUUUGGGACGAGUAAAUUUCUUUUUUUAGUAACUUUGUUUGCGAUUAUGAUAUUUUCUUUGAUAGUAUGACAUGAUUUCUUGUAAUCCAAACAAAUAAAAGAAUUGAAAUCGCUAAUGAUAUGGAUUUACAGCGAGGGGACUUGUUGGGUUUAUAUAAGAUUAUUAGAGUUGGUGGUGACUCAAUCCUUUUCCAAAAAUUCUAAUUUCAGUUUGAUUAUGAUAUCUAUUUCCUAAAUAUUUGUAUAAUAAAAUUAUUAAAAAAUAAUUAUAUCUGUAUUGAUAAUAUUUUCUUAUUAAAUGAGUUUUAUAAGUUAAAUAGCAAUCAAACCAAGACUGGGAGACUGAACUGCUUCAGGUCUUGGGGGUGAUCCAUCGAUUCAACCACUACAUCCUUCCCCUAUAUAAACUCUGGAAAAUAUAUACAUACAUAAAGAGAGAGAGAGAGAGAGAGAGAGACACAUACACACAAAUUAUGGAAGGCAGGAAAGUUAGAUAUCAAAUACGGUUGGCAUGGUGGUUUCACUACGACCGCUAUUUCAAAAUAGCUGAAGAUCUCAUUAGCUGUGUGAACAAAUUUCAGAUGUUCUUCGAAAUCCAAAGCAGAAAAAUCACUUACAGAGGCUGAGAUCAGAUAACUGAUACUCAAGUACAAAUUUAAGGGCUUCGAAUUUACCUCAUUUGAUCAGAGUCGUGGUGAGAUGCUCGCUUGGGGCAAAGAUCCGUACGAAGAGAGAUGAGGGUAGGAAGGAGUUCUUAAAAAAAACGAAGGGUUAAAAUCUUCUAUUAGUCCCUGCACUUUGUAAAAGUUGUGAAUUCAGUUCUUAUAUUUUAAUUUCAAUAAUUUUAGUCCCUUUACUUUUUGAAGUAGUAGUUACAUCGAUUAAGUUCAAUUACUAGUAUUACACUACACAUACGGUUGUAGACUUAGUCUAUAUGCCCCAAUUGGAUCAUUCCAAGUCUCUAUACUUUUUAGAUUUUAAAAUUUUAAUUCGAUGUAAAUGAUAGUUAUUAAACAAUUAAUUAGAUUUUUAGUGAGUAAUAUACAGAAAUAAAAAAACUAAUAUAACAUUACACAUAGGAUAAUAUGUUCAUCACAUUAGAUUUUAAAAAUAGCAUAACUUAAUAAAUUUAACAGGUAUCGUUUGGUAAGGAUUAAAAUUUUAAAAUUCAAAAAGUAUAGAAACUAAAAUUGACCAAAUUAUAGAAUCUAAAUUCACAAUUUUUAUAAAAUACAGGGAAUAAUAACAUAAUUUAACCUUUUUGUCAAAAAUAAAUUAUAUAUAAUUUUAGAUAGAGAAGAUCCCAAAACUUCUUCUGUACUUUUAUAAUUAAAUUAAAUUAAUAUACAACUUAGAGUAAAAUACCUAAUUUUUUUAAUCAUUUUUUUAUACAUGUAAGUUUAACUUUUUAUAUGUCAUCCAAGUGCAAAGGAAACUCCUUUUGAUGGAAGAAUCAACUUAAAAACCCUCAUCAUAUAAAAGUUGUUGGUUCAAAUUUAAAAAUCUCAUCCAAUUUUUGGAAUUGGAAAUUUCUUAUUUAAAAUAAUUCUUACCUGAAAAAUUUGUAUCUCAUCAAAACAUUUUCACUAGCGUAAUCAAUGUUCACAAAAAGUACCAUGUAUGCAUUAGUUGAACAAAAUAACGAGAAGCAGUAAUUAUUCUUCUUUAACCUAGCCACCUUCAGAUUAGCUUCUCAAAUAGUUUCUCACAAUCUCUUUAUCUAUGCUUGAUCCUCCAAUGUUUGAUGAGUCUUUGACAACUUAUCCUUUAGCCAUGAAAAUUCCAAACCGGUGACUCCGUGUCUUUUACCCUUACCAACAUAUCAUUGAUAUAAGUUAGCUCAAGCUUAUUCAGAUCGCUUUCUAAUUUCUGAUAAAUUUCAGCAACUGCAUUCAUAAUGUUGCUCUGAAACUCUAGAUAAUUCAAUUGAAAUUGGUUAGCAAAGUGAGCAUGGUUUUGAAAUAUUUUAUUGAUCACAUCAGCAUUGUGUUGAUGAACAUCGUAUCUGUUGACGAUGACUGUUGUGUCAUCUGACAUCAAAGGUAAUUAAAGAUCAUGUCUAUACGUAUCAUUACAUAUGAUUGAGAAGAAAUGAAAUGCUAAAUACACAAAGAAACAAUAAAUUCAUUAAAUAGUAGCUUAGCCAUUACUUUGGAAGAAAUCAUCUAUCCAUCUUCAUGAGGAUAAAGAAUAUUCAGAGUCAAAGGACAAGUCCCCCAAAGCACCCAUACAAUUCGAAGAUUCAUGAUUCAAAUGUGUUGGAGGAACCUAUAAGCAAAACAGAAUCAAAUAUUGAUCCAAAAAUAAGAGAUACAGUUAAAAACUUUGCAACAUGAUAACACAAUAAAUAAGGAGAAAAGUAAACAACAUUGCGCAUAGAUUUAGAAACUGAAAGCUUUCCUACUUAGGAUUUCUUUUUUUUAUUUUUAUUUUUAUUUUUUAUUUGUUUCUACCUGAUGUUUCUAGUUUGGUUUGGUAUCUUACCAUAAAUGUGGGAUUAAUCAGACAGUCCUGAAAUAACUAUUUAAAGUUUAAAGUGUUCAUGUCUUACGGUAUAAUAUUACAAUUACAAGUACAAGAGAAGAAAACGAUUUUAGUAAUAUACAUUUAUGAUAUGACACACUUAUCUUACUACACUUUUCUUCUUUACCAUUACCUCUCACAUCUCUUGCUUAUGACUCUUUUUUUACACCAUAGUAAGAAUUGAAGCUCUCACUCUUAUUUAUAAAGUUUAAGGGUCGUUAGAUUGUUAACACAUGUAAACAUCCUUAUCAUUUAUUUUAUAAAUAUCUAAUAAUUAGAAUGUUCAUCUAAAAUAUCUAAUUUUCUAGAUAAUAUCUUUUUUUUUAAUUUUAUAUUCUGAGAAUUUUCCCAAGAAAAUAUUUCUUAAAAUAUAAGUAUAGAUACACAACAUUUCCAUCUUUUAAACAUUGUACGUACAUAUUUUUUUAUGAUUGUGUAAAAAUAAAUAUUGUACAUACAUACCUCUUUAAUGUCUUUUAAAAAUAAUAAGAAUAUAAAUACAUAUAUUCACGUACAACCCACGCCAUUUUGAACAUUAGUUUUACUAAAUGUUGUAAUUAAGUGCCUUGCCUUAUAUUUCCUCUAUAUCGUAUAAUUUAACAUAAAAAAACCUAACAGAACACGUGUUACUACAGUAUUUUUGGGUGUCUUAUAAACUCAAAUUUUGUUAUAUUCUACUUUACCAUCUUUCUUAUUCAUAGUUAAUAUUUAUUUUUUAUGUUUAAAAUAAUAUUAAAAGUAAAAAUUUAAUUAAAAUAGUUUAUUGCAUAAAAUUAAUAUAUAAUUUAAUAUAUAUCAAGAAAAUUACGAACUUUUAAUUUAUACCAUUAUUUUUUAUAUUUUAGUUUUUUCAAUAUAUUCAAAUUAAUUUUUUAAGUAAAUAAAUGCAAUUAAAUAAAAUUAAUACACAUAACCAACUCGGGUAAAGAACCUAAUUUUUUAAUUUUUUUUCUUAUUCAUAUGAUUUUAACUUUUGCCUUUUUUAUGUCAUCUAAGUGCACAUAUAGUAUCAUUCAUAACCAAACUACUAUUAAUGGAAGAAUCAACUUAAAAACCCUUAUCCAACAUAAAAAUUCCUCUUCAAAUUUAAAAAUCUCAUCCAAUUUGAAUUUGGAAAUUUCUUAUUUGAAUAAUUCUUACCUGAAAAAUCUCAUCUACCAUGUAUGCAUUACUUGACCUAGCCGUUGUUUCUUCCUUAACCUAGCCAACUUCAAAUUGGCUUCUCGGAUAGUUUCUCACAAUUUCUUUAUCUCUGCUUGAUCCUUCAAUGUUUGACGAGUCUUUGCCAAGUUAUCCUUUAGCCAUGAAAGUUUCAUGUCUUUCACCCUUACCAACAUAUCAUCGAUAUCAGUUAGUUCAAGCUUAUUUAGAUCGCUUUCUAAUCUUCAGUAAAUUUCAGCAACUGCGUUCAUAAUGUUGCUUUUAAACUCUUGAUUGAAAUGCCGUUGCUGAUUCGGAUCAUCUCAAUCAAUUGAUUGGGAAAAUAUUACUUUUUGAAUGCUAAAAUUUUCUUAUCCUCUUUCCUCGGUAUUUACCGCUGUGCCCCUGUGCUAUCAAGAAGAAGGAAUACCAGGCAAAGUCCCAUCCACGUUCAAUCGAAAUUGGUCAGCAAAUUGAGCAUGGUUUUGAAAUAUUUUAUUGAGCGCAUCAGCAUUGUGUUGAGAAACCUCGUAUUUGUUGAUGAUGACAGCUGUGACAUCAAAGGUUGAGAAUAAAUGAAAUGCUAAAAAUUAUCUUCAAUAUAACUCAAAGAAACAAUAACUUCAUGAAAUAGUAGCUUACAGCCAUUACUUUGGAGCAAAUCAUCUAACCAACUUUCCUCGGCCACAAAAUCUCCACGUCUCCCAAAGCACCCACAUGAUUAGAAGAUUCAGGAUUCAAAUGUGCUGGAGGAACCUAUAAGCAAAACAGAAUCAGAUAUUGGUCCAAAAAUAAGCAGAUAAAAUUAAAAACUUUGCAACACGAUAACACAAUAAAUAAGGAGAAGAUCAGAAAACAGCAUUACGCAUAGAAUUAGAAACUGACAGCUUUCCUACUCAGGAUUUCUUUUUUUUUUUUUUUUGUGUGUGUGUUUCUAGUUGAUAUUUCUUGUUUGAUUUGGUAUCUUACCAUAAAUGUGAGAUCAAUCAGACAGUCCUGAAAUAACUAUUUGUUCAUGUCGUAGCUCUCUUACAGUAUAUAUUAAAGUUUUGGAUUCAAACUUCAACCUGGUACAUAAACUUGAAUGGACAAUAGCAGGACAGCAUUCUCUCUACAACUACAUGUAAACAAGAGAAUGAAUGAAGAAAUUAAAGAAAAAAUGAAUAGUGAUGAUCGGAUCAGUUUAUAGUUUGCAAAAGAUAAAAUAGACAGCUCGUUGAAGAAAUUAAAGGAAUAACAAGUUCUACAUACAUGCCAGUAGAAGUAAGUGAGAUGAGUUAAAAACUUAAUUGGUGAUAACUGAAUAUUGAACUUCAUUUUUGCAUCAUUCAUUAAAAUAAUAGAAAAGAAGUUAGUGGACGAUACAUGCUUGCAUUUUCAGGUCAUAAUUUGCUCUGUGAAACUCAAAAUUCAAUCCUUACCAUCUUUUGGUCGCUUGUUUCCAUUUUCAAUGUUAAUUUUGUUGACACCAUUUUUUUGAUGAAAACGGGGUCGACUUGGGUUUUGAAAAAUGAAAACAAAUGUGGGAGUCGCCACCAAUCCUUUUUUAUGAGGUGUGAUCGGGUCACCUCGUAAAACGGUUGUUUUUAAUAAACGAUUUAGAUUUUAUUAAAACAACGAUUUUGGUCCACGAAAUUCGGAAAAACAGGUUCGGGAGUCGAUUACGCACGAGGAAGGGUUAGCACCCUCGAUACGCCCAAAAUUGGUACCUAGUUGAUUACUUAAUGUCUUGCUGUCGAAAAUUAAAAACUCGAAAAGAAUUUAAAAAUACGAUCCCUCUUUAUUGUGUUAUUUUAAAAUUACUCGAAUAAAUAAAAAUGGAAAAUGCUUCCUUAUCUCGAAGCAACAAGAUGUCACAUCCAGUAAGUUAGGACCCGACAUCUUGUAUUUUGAGAAUAAACUUGCCUUUUAUUUUUUAUUUAAACCUCAUUUAUUUCAAUUUUAAAAGGAUAUUCGGUUAUUUAGGAUCAACGCGAGAAAAAUCGAAGCUCAAUAAGUUAGGACACGAUUUUCUCGAAUUUUCUAAAUACGAAAUAUUGCCUUUGAAAUUUUAAAAAAGAUAUUUGGCUAUUUUGGUCGAACGAGAAAUCGAAACCCAGCACAUUAGGGCACGUUUUCUCGAUUUUCCAAACGCAAAAUAUUGUCUUAUUUAGAAAAAAUUUUCUUUUUGAUGUAUGGUGUUAAUAUGCAUAGUAAAACAAUAAUGAAUAUGAUGGCAUAAAAACAACAGGAGCAAUAGCAACGAAAAUAUGAUAAUAAAAGGGACCAAUCAAUAACUUACAAAGUGACAAGUACAUAGGCAAAUAAAAUUGAAUCCUCCUUUCUAAAUAAUAAUGAAAAUGUAAAUAAAUAAAUAAAUAACGAAUAGAUGUAAAAAAUGUAUAUACAUGAAUGUACACAAAAUUAUGAAAAUAUGAAAAAUCUAUGUACGUAUACAUAUUGUGAGAUUAUUAAAUAUAAAAAUAUAUGUAAGUAUGUAUAUACAUGUAUAGGUAUAUAAAUUAAAAUAUGUAAACAUAUAAGUAUAUAUAUGCAUGUAGAAAAUAUGAAAUAUGAAAAAUAUAUAUUUAAAAUAAAUAAAGAAUAUGUACAUAUAUAUAUAUAAAUUAUAAGAUAUAGUAAGAAAUGUAUAUGAGUGUAAUCAGCCCAAAUGGUCCAGGCCUUACAAAUAGUAAAACAACCUAAUAAACUAAACCUAGGCCCAAACCCCAACAGCCCAGUAAACAAAUUUUCUACUGAAAACCCUAGCAGCUUUGACCCCAACGCCGCAAGCCCCAGCAGUCUCCAGUACCACCCUCGCACACCGCCGCGAAUCUCGCACCACGACCCUCCCCAACGUGCACCGCUCCAUGCGCCAACAAUACCUGCAACAGCAAACUCAAAACAGAAGAGCAAAAAUCGGGCAAAUAUACCAACUAUAUCAGAAUAUAUCUCUUUUUGAUUUGGUUGAUUUUUCUUUUUCAUUUCGGCUAUUUAAAGCCGUGAAAAAUCUGUAAAGGGGGGAAAGACUGUAAAGGAAAAUUUUUGAAGGAAGAAAAGGAAUAAAAAAGGAAUUUUGAAGGUAAUCUGGGGGGUUCUGUUUUUCUUUUUUUUUACUGUCUUGUUUUUUUAUUUUCUUGUUCUUUAAAACAAAAACGAAACAAAGAAGAGAAGAGGUUUUUACCGGUGUUGGCGCGCCGUCGAUGCCCUUGUUAUGCUUCGUCGGAAUCAAAGUUGAAAAGGGGGGAGUUUGGCUUGAAAAACAGAGAAGGUGCCGCAAGAGGGAAUAGGGUUUUAAUUAGAAUCUGAAAUAGGUUUUAAGCAUUGAGGGGUUAUUUAUGUUUUGAGUCCUUUCAUGUUUUCCAUCAUUUCAAAAUCUUUUUUUUUGUUUUCAAAAUUUUCCAUGAUAUAUUGAAUCUGUUUUAGUUUAAUCCAAUUCUACACAGCGUUUUGGAGGGUAGUAUUAAUUUCCACUUUAGUCCCCCAUAGUUGUUCGCGUGUUCAAGUUUGUCUUUUUUAUUUAUUUUCGAAUCUACCCCAAUUUUUUUGUUUUAGUUCAAAUCAGUCCAUUUCAAGUUAUCUUAUUAUUAUUCUUUUUUUCGCUUUUUUGUCUUUCUAUAUUAUUAUCAUUUUAUUAUUUAUUUAUUUAUUAUUAAUAUUAUUAAUAUUAUUUAUUAUCAAUAUUAUUAAUAUAUUCCUAAAUACGCAUGUUUAUAUAUACAUAUAUGCAUUUCUAUGUAAUGUGCGUACCUACAUCUAUAUUUUAUACAUUUUUUUUAUUUUACAUUUUAUUUCUUAAUUCCUAUAUAUAUACAUAAUUUUAUAUUUUCAUUUUAUUGAUUUUCAUAUGUACAUAUUUGAUUUAUAUUUUACUUAUUAUUAUUUUAUUUUCACCAUUCUCGUAUUUUAUAAUGCAUAUACAUUUUAUAGCAUGGCAUUUUUCACAUUUCACACUUUAAAAUACACGUACAUUUUCUAUAAUAUAUUUGUAUACACGUUUUUCCUUUAAAUUAUAAACGUUUUUAUUCUUUUAUAUCUCCUAUUAAUUUAUACACAUAUUGUACAUAUAUAUAUGUAUUGGAAUAUAUACGUAUGAGGAUUUUCAUGAUUUACCUAUGUAUGUAUACUUAUACAUUUCGUUUUUCUACUUUGUAAAUAUAUACAUAUACGAACAUUUUAUAUAUAUAUAUUUUAUUUUCAUAUACUUUAUACCUUUUUUCGUAAAUAUAUACACGUAUAUGUUUUUAUCUUUGUUUUAUUUUUAUGAUUUUCAUGUUCAUAUAUAUACAUGCAUUUUUAUUAGCUUUUUGGUUUGGUUUAUUUCGUUCCUUCUUUUUGUUUGCAAAGUUACUUGUAUAUUGUACUUGUGUAUAUUUGUAAAUAUUUAUUCAUUUAUGUUUGAAGUUAAGGUAUCCGUUUCAUGUUAUACCUUAACCCUUUUUAGCAUCCAUUUUAAAACUACAUUUUUUGAUUUUCUCAAAGCGUUUAAAUCAUCCUAUUUUAUAAAUUCCAAAAUAUUUGGCAUUCAUGAUUCUCGUGAAAGAUUGUGUUCUAACUUACUGGAUCGCGAUUAUUUUUCGAUGAAUUUGGAAAGCCUAGUAUUUGUUUCGCAAUAAUUUGCAAAUUUUUAAUAAAAGCUUAUUCUCGGGAAUUCAAAAUGUUGGGUCCUAACUUACUGGUCAUGGCAUUUUCUUCUCGAAAUAAGAAUUUUCAAAAACGAAAGGCAAUAUUCGGGUAUUUUGAAGAUUUAAAAACAUUGUGCCCUAACUUACUGGGUGUGGUGUUUUAUUUCUUUGAAAUAAGAAUUGUCUUAUUAUUUUAAUCCAUUCAUGAAAUAAAAAGUUUCCUUUUAAAAUCCUUUCGAAUUUUCGACACCAAGGCAUUUUAAAAAAAUCAGUUUGGUACCAAUUUUGGGCGUUACGAGGGUGCUAAUCCUUCCUCGUGCGUAACUGACUCCCGAGCCCAUUUUCUCAAAUUUCGUAGACCAAAUUCAUUUUUAAGGUGAGCCGAUCACACCUUAAUCAAGGAUCGGUGGCGACUCCAAUUUUUAUUUUAAGUCGAAACUAAAAAUUUUUGUUUUCAAAAAACGGUUUCGACAAUGAGUAUAUAUAUAUAUUAUAGAAAAAAUAUGUACGUGUAUAUAUGUAUUAUAAAAAAUGCAUGUACGUAUAUAUAAUGACUUAAAUAAAGUAAUACAAAUAACAAGAAAAAUAUUAGGUAAAUAAAAUACACACACACACACAUAUAUAUAUAUAUAACUUAAAAUAAAUAAUAAAGGAACUCCCCUUUUCUUUUUUUUUAAAAAUAAUAAUAAAUUAAAUGAACUAAAGGAUGAAAUUAAAAUCAAACCAAAAUUCGGGGGUCCAAACUGUAAAUAAAUAAAAAGGGAUUGAAAUGAAACGUGCUCAAACUCAAGGGACCGAUUGUGAAAAUUCCCCGCCCCUUAUGCGCAUCGUUUUGCAUAGGACUAGGUUGGAAUAGGCGCCAAAUUAUGUGGCCAAAAUCAAAAAUAAUAAAAAGGUCAGAUUGCACCUCAGCGCCAGAUGGAGGGACCACGCAAAUUACCCAUUAGGGAAAAGAGGCGCAGGUCACCCCCUUCAAACGGCGCCGUUUUAAUUACUAUAAAACUAAAAAUUUUUGUUUUUUUUUGCUAUUUCAUUUGCUGUCAAAGAACACACAAAAAAAAUUUAAACGGGAAGUCCCCUUUCUCUGCUAGGGUUCCAAGCCUAGCCUUGGAACCCCACCGCCGUCACGCCUCCCCUGCCCGGUGGCUGGAGCCAUGCAAGGGCGCCUUCAAGCCGCGCGUUGAAGCGCAUUCCGAGAUCGGGGCCAUGGAACAGGGAAACGAGGGGAAGAAGAAAAGCUUUGGCUUCUCCCUAUACCCGCGUCCGGCGACGGCGAAGGGCCGAUGACGACGACGGACUCAGGGGGCCGAUUCAGGUGAGUUGAUUCCCUUUUCCCCUUUUUUAUCGUCUUUGUUAAUUAUUUUAAAAUGGAUUUGAAAGAAAAAAAAGAAAAAAAAGAGAAAAAAACAAAUAAAUAGAAAAAAUAUCAAAAGAAAAAUGGAGAGAAUAGUCUAAAAUCAACUUUUGGAAUUCGGUUUCUGAGUUUCGAUUGACUUAUAUGUGUAAAAAAAAUACAAGGAUCUGAUCUAGGCUUUUAUAGUCGAUUUGAACAACUCUCUAUUCUACUAUUUUUAUUUGUUUCUGUUGUCUGCUUGUGCUUGGCUUCUUGGUUGUUGCGUGUUCACCUUUCCUUGCAGGUAGCAGUGGUAGAGGCGGCCGAGGUGUCAGACGCAGUGGCAGAGGCGUGCAUUAGAGGUGUGGCAGACGAAGAGGCCACGCAUGGAAGCUUGCGGCGCCAGGGGACUUAGGGUUUGGCUGAAAAUUUUUAAGUCUUGUGGGCUAUUGGUCUGUUAUUAGUUGGGCUAAUUUAAUUGUAAUGGGCUGGGGUAUUUUGGCCUCUGCUUGUUGGGCCGGGCAGAAAUUGGGUUCUACAGCUGCCCCUCUUUGCUCAUUGUCGUGUAACGGGAAUGGAGCAAAGACUGAGAAAGACCAAUUUUGCCCGGUCUCACCGAGUCUUGACUUCUUGGUGCCUUUCUUCUUUAAGUAGCCUCAUUCUAGUCCGCUGCAUCUUUAGAGGGAUACGGCUUGUAGCUUCAAUACACUCUGCCGCAACUCUAUGGGGAUGAGAUUUAUGGUUUUAGUCUGCUCCACUGCAACUUGAGGGAGAUAAGACUCGUAUCUUCAACCUGCUCCACUGCAACUUCAGGGAGAUAAGGUCUGUGGUUUUGAUAAAGUCCGUUAUCUACAGUCUGCUCCACUACAACUUUAGGGAGAUAAGACUUGUUAUCUUCAACCUGCUCCACUGCAACUUCAGGGAGAUAAGGUUUGUUAUGGCGUGAUCUGCUCUACUGCAACUUCAGAGAGAUAAGAUAUGUGGUUUUAAUCCGCUCCACUGCAACUUCAGGGAGAUAGGAUUAGUAGCUUUAGUCUACUCCACUACUGCUUAGGGAGAUAAAACUUGAUGCGAUCUGCUCUACUGUAACUUCAGAGAGAUAAGAUAUGUGGUUUUAAUCCACUCCACUGUAAUUUCAGGGAGAUAGGAUUGGUUUCUUCUGUCUGCCCCACUACUGCUUAGAGAGAUAAGACUGAAUACGAUCUACUCUACUGCAGCUUCAGAGAGAUAAGAUCUGUGGUUUUAAUCUGCUCCAUUGCAACUUCAGGGAGAUAGGAUUGGUUUCUUCUGUCUGUUCCACUACUGCUUAGGGAGAUAAGACUGGAUGCGAUCUGCUCUAUUGCAACUUCAGAGAGAUAAGAUCUGUGGUUUCAAUCCGCUCAACUACAACUUCAGGGAGAUAGGAUUGGUUUCUUCUGUCUGCUCCACUACUGCUUAGGGAGAUAAGACUGGAUGCGAUCUGCUCUACUGCAACUUCAGAGAGAUAAGAUCUGUGGUUUCAAUCCGCUCUAUUACAACUUCAGGGAGAUAGGAUUGGUUUCUUCUGUCUGCUCCACUACUGCUUAGGGAGAUAAGACUGGAUGUGAUCUGCUCUACUGCAACUUCAGAGAGAUAAGAUCUGUGGUUUCAAUCCGUUCCACUGCAACUUUAGGGAGAUAGGAUUGCUUUCUUCUGUCUGCUCCACUACUGCUUAGGGAGAUAAGACUUGCUAUCUUUGAUCUACUUCGCUGCCAAUACAGGAAGACAAGAUCUGCUAUCUUAGUCUACUUUGCUGCCAAUACAGGAAGACAAGACUUGCUAUCUUCAGUCUACUUUGCUGCCAAUAUAGGAAGACAAGACUUGCUAUCUUCAGUCUACUUCGCUGCCAAUACAGAAAGACAAGACUUGCUAUCUUUGAUCUACUUCACUGCCAAUAUAGGAAGACAAGAUCUGCCAUCUUCAGUCUAAUUAACUGCAAUGUCGGGAACAAGAUUCACCGUUGUAGCUUCAAUCUAUUCCACUGCACCGCUAGGGGAGUAAGAUUCGCCGCUGCAGCUUUAAUAUUUUAAAUUGCAAUGUCGAGGAAGCAAUAUUCGUUGUCGUAGCUUUAAUCUGCUCAAUUGCACUGCCAGGGAAAUAAGAUUCACCGUUGCGGCUUCAAUCUUUUUAAUUACAAUGUCGGGGGUAUAAUUAACUCCAUUAAUCUGUUCUCUAGGGAACAUGACCUGCAAAAUCCAUUUCAUGGACCUAUUUAUGCCUAGUGUUUAGGAUGUCAUGAUUAGAAUGAAUCAAAUGCUCCUAACUAGAUGUGUAUGUAUGAUAUUUGUAGAAUGUCAUGAGAAUGAUCCCUUUUUAAUGCUUAGGUUGUCAUUACUCAUUGUUCAUCAAGGUUCUAUCACUGAUGCUUUCUUGUUCGGCUGGUAUCUUUGACAGAGAAAACCAAAGAAAUAGUCGCAAUUUAGACUAUUCUUUCUCCAAUAUUUCUAACCCUCAGGUUUGGCCAGUUCUAAACAAUAGUCCUGUUUCAGGUCUUGUAUUAUUUAGAAACUUUCAGAGUAAUAUGCAGAACUCUUUCUGCAUGAGUAUUAUCAGUCCAUUAAUCGUUAUUUCAAUGAAAAAUGCUUGAAAAAGGUUAUCAAAAUGGACAAGAUGAAAUUUUGUUGAGAGCAAAGCUAUAAAUGAAUGAAUUAAUCAAGAUAGCAAAUUUUGCUAAGAUACAAGAUGAAUAAGAUGAAAAAGAUUAUCACAAAGGAUAAUAUGGAAAUUUAUUGAGAGCAAAGCUCUAAAUGAACAAAUUAAUCAAGAUAGCCAAUUUUGCUAGAAUACAAAUGAGAAUAAAUUAAUCAAGAUGGUGUACUUUUUCAAAAUACAAGAGAAAUGAAUGGAAAUAGGUGCCCCAGAUAUCGUAGCAUGAGCUUCUCUGCCCCAAACUUCUUGAGGACCCUUUUGAACUUGAUAUGUGCUUAGAAGUCCUAGAAGACUUUGUUGAUGCCCCAAGAUGCAGCGUCUCACAUUCUUACUAAUUCAGAGAGGACAAGGCUAUCGCAUGCCCCACCUUCAAUCAAAAUUUGAACUUUCCAUUCCUGGGUUUUCAAUUCAAUACCCCUUUGGUCUCAAAGUGCCAUUUGCGGGUUUUCACCCUGGCCUCUCCUUUUCUUUUUUCGUUCUUCUUUUAUUUUCUUUUAUUUUUUGUUUUUUUCUUUUUUUUCAAGUGAAGUAUUUUUUCCUUGAAUCAAAAUUCUCAAGAUUAGGCAAGUUCUUGCCAUCCAUCUUGGUUAAUACCGACGCUCUCCUAGAUAAGGCCUUCCACAUAUGGUCCUUCAGGCUUGGCAUCCACUUUCUUCUGAAGUCCCCUUUGUAUGGGAAGGAUCUUCAUCGAUAUCAGGUCCCCCUCAUGGAAUUCUCUAGGGUGAACCCUUUUUGGUGAGCUCGUAUCAAUCGCUUUUGCUACGUUUGACCAUGACGGAUAGCUUCAACCUUUUCUUAUCAAUCAAAUUUAACUGAUCAUAUCGGGUCUGGAUUUAUUCUGCUUCAUCCAACUUUAGCUCUGACAAGACUCAAAGGGUAGGAAUAUCAACUUCGAUGGGUAAAAUUGCCUCUAUUCCAUAUACCAAUGAGAAAUUAGUUGCCCCGGUAGAGGUUUUUUUGUUUUUUCAUUCUCGUUUUCUGUUUUGUUUUAUUUUUUUGCCUCUUUUUUUUACUUUUUUGCUUCUCUUUUUUUGCCUCCACUAUACCAUUCAUUUUGGGGCUACAUGGUGUUAAUCUUGAACAGACUACAAACUCUUGAUAUUGUGCUGUUGUUCAAAUUUAGUGCAUUGUCCAAUAUGAUUCCUUCUUGGCAUUCUAUACUGACAUGAUUUUCAAGAAUUUGCUGACUGUUGCCUUCAUGAGAUUGGCAUAUGAAGCAGAUUCCACCCACUUGAUGAAGUAAUCGACGACCAUAAAGAUGGAUCGAUGACCGCCAGAAGCUUUUGGUGAGGUCAGCCUAAAUGGCAUCCAUGCCCCUCAUAGAGAAAAUCUAUGGAAAAGUCAUAACAUGAAGAGAUGAAGGAAACACAUAAAUCUUGUCUUCGUAAAUUUGGCCCUUGUGGCGUUUCUUGGUAUAACUGAUACAAUCUCCUUCCAUGGUGGACCAGCAGUACCCAAAUCUCAUGAUUUGCUUGGCCAUUGCAAAACCAUUAGCAUGUGUUCCUCAGACACCCGUAUAGACCUCUUCCAAAAUCUACUUUACCUCAAGAGCGUCCACACGUCUUAGUAGCUCAGACAUAUCUUGGUACAAUCAUGCGAAAUCAUCCUUGAAUUCUUAAAGUAACUCAAUGACGUCUCCCUUUGUCUCUGCGGUGAUACAGGCUCUGGUUUUCACCUUUUUCCCUUUUCUUAAGCUCACAAUUUCCAACUGAUUUUUUUGAAAGGUAGGAUCUAUUUUUUGACUUGCUCUACCAUCCUUAACAAAUCAGGAGAUAAACUACAAUCUCGAUCGUCUUCGAAGUCUUGAGGUUCCUCUAGGCACAUAUCUUGCUCAAAAGAAAGUUCUCAGUCAAUAGCAGUAUCACUCAUAUCAUUGAUAUCUGGAGACCUGUUCUAGAGACGAAGGAAGACUCAAAGAGUUAAUGAAUCAAAGGGUAAUUAUCUGUAUGGUAUGAGUAAAAAUGGAAGGAACAAAAGAAUGUUUGCCAAGGCAAAACAAAAAGAUGCAUUUCAUUGAAAUAAAAAAAAAUAGUGGACAUGUGCCUUUUCACAAAAGAAUUUCCUAUUACUCUCAGGCUUAGAGCAAUAAGAGUGUUCUGAAUAUUACUUUGAAAUGGUCUUGAAAAUUACAAGAAUCUCCUCCAUAGUCCAGUUGUUUAGAACGCUUCUAGAGAUGUAGAAACAAAUUCUUGAUAGUUUUUUUCUUAGUUCCUUCUUCAAAGGUACAAACAUCUUUACCUUCCAAACCAUCGAUAUAUUCAAAGAAUCCCAAUUCUUUAUCAUCCAUCUGGCUCUGUACUAGAGUUCUAAACUCGAUGUACUUUUGGAUUUUGGGAAAUUUAUUGUAUACAAUGAAAUGUAAUGUUAAUGAAUGAAAAGAUGCAUGCAAUGUAAUGUAAUGCAGAUACAUGAAUACAAAAAGAGGCGUUGAUCUUGAUUCAAUUCAAUUAGAACAACUUUUCUAGAAAAAAAAUCUCUUUACAUAAAAUGGAUAUUUACACAUACGGCUUGUCCUCAUACUCAAAGUGAAGACAUCGACCCUCUUUAUCAUAUCCAAAUGCUAAGAUCGAAUCUCGCGAACUCCCCAAAAGAGGUACCUCUUCGAUCUCCUUUGCUUGAUUUGAGUUGCGACCCAUUGUUUGCCCAUCCUCGUGAUACUCGUUGGCUUCUCAUUAAGAAAGUUCAGUGGCUCUCGAAUAAUCUUUGUCAUCUUGAGUCUUCGGGCAACGAGGCAAAGUCGUGUACUCAUUCACCAGACUAUCACUCUUCUCUUAUCACAUUUUCUUAGACCAUAUUCAGACAACCGUAUUGUCAUCCACUUUAUCAAGAAACCCAUUUUCUUAUGACAAGCUCUCUAUUUAGCAACUGAACGUGAAUCAACACCAUUUUUUUUAUGAUGAAAAUGCAAUGCAAUCAUAUCCAAAACAAAAGAAAACAGGUUAGUACAAAGCAAAAGCAAGCAAGAAUAAAUAGAACACAUAUUCGGGUGACCACUAGGGGUUUGAAGUGGCUCUACCUAGGGUAGGCUCCUAAGGCUCAUUAUAUGCGGUUUGGUUCUAAAGUAAGUGUACCUAAACUAGCAGAUUCCUCAAUCCUCACCCAUUAUAGGCUCAUACGGACCGAGUUUGGUUCAGGAGAAUACAUUUCCCUAUGUCUGCACGGAGAUGAAAAUCUCACGAAGACAUAGGUACGGUUGUAUCCAGAAAGCGAUCCACUACCUUGCACGGAGGUGAAAACCUUACGAAGGACUAGUUUCUCACUCUCACUUAAAAGGGUGUGACCAACGGUCAUGCAAUGCAAUGUGCAGAGAUAUAAAAAUAAAAUACAGAACAUGAUGAAAAAUAUAACUCAAAACAAAGGAUAUGCAAUGAGAGGAUCGUAAAUUUAAAUCGAAUUUUCAAAUUUCGACAAAAAGACAAGAAAUAAUCAACACGUGGCUUGCCUCUCUUAUUUUUCAUCCCCAGUUGAGUCGCCAAGCUAUUGACACCAUUUUUUUGAUGAAAACGGGGUCGACUUGGAUUUUGAAAAAUGAAAACAAAUGUGGGAGUUGCCACCAAUCCUUUUUUAUGAGGUGUGAUCGGGUCACCUCGUAAAACGAUUAUUUUUAAUAAACGGUUUAGAUUUUAUUAAAACAACGAUUUUGGUCCACGAAAUUCAGAAAAAUAGGUUCAGGAGUCGAUUAGCACGAGGAAGGGUUAGCACCCUCGAUACACCCAAAAUUGGUACCUAGUCGAUUACUUAAUGUCUUGGUGUUGAAAAUUAAAAACUUGAAAAGAAUUAAAAAAUACAAUCCCUCUUUAUUGUGUUAUUUUAAAAUUACUCAAAUAAAUAAAAAUAGAAAAUGCUUUCUUAUCUCGAAGUAACAAGAUCUCACAUCCAGUAAGUUAGGACCCGACAUCUCGUAUUUUGAGAAUAAACUUGCCUUUUAUUUUUUAUUUAAACCUCAUUUAUUUCAAUUUUAAAAGGAUAUUCGGUUAUUUAGGAUCAACGCGAGAAAAAUCGAAGCUCAGUAAGUUAGGGCACGAUUUUCUCGAAUUUUCUAAAUACGAAAUAUUGCCUUAUUUUGAAAGUUUAAAAAGGAUAUUUGACUAUUUUGGUCGAACGAGAAAUCGAAACCCAGCACGUUAGGGCACGUUUUCUCGAUUUUCCAAACGCAAAACAUUGCCUUAUUUAGAAAAAAAUUUCUUUUUGAUGUAUGGUGUUAAUAUGCAUAGCAAAACAAUAAUGAAUAUGAUGGCAUAAAAACAAAACGAGCAAUAGCAACGAAAAUAAGAUAAUAAAAGGGACCAAUCAAUAACAUACAAAGUGACAAGUACAUAGGCAAAUAAAAUUGAAUCCUCCUUUCUAAAUAAUAAUGUAAAUGUAAAUAAAUAAAUAAAUAACGAAUAGAUGUAAAAAACAUAUAUACAUGAAUGUACACAAAAUUAUAAAAAUGUGAAAAAUCUAUGUACGUAUACAUAUUGUGAGAUUAUUAAAUAUAAAAAUAUAUGUAAGUAUGUAUAUACAUGUAUAGGUAUAUGAAUUAAAAUAUGUAAAUAUAUAAGUAUAUAUAUGCAUGUAGAAAAUAUGAAAUAUGAAAAAUAUAUAUUUAAAAUAAAUAAAGAAUAUGUACAUAUAUAUAUAUAUAUAAAUUAUAAGAUAUAGUAAGAAAUGUAUAUGAGUAUAUAUAUAUUAUAGAAAAAAUAUGUACGUGUAUAUAUAUAUUAUAAAAAACGCUUGUACGUAUAUAUAAUGACUUAAAUCAAGUAAUGCAAAUAAUAAGAAAAAUAUUAGGUAAAUAAAAUAUACACAUAUAUAUAUAACUUAAAAUAAAUAAUAAAGGAACUCCCCUUUUCAUUUUAAAAAAAUAAUAAUAAAUUAAAUGAACUAAAGGAUGAAAUUAAAAUCAAACCAAAAUUCGAGGGUCCAAACUGUAAAUAAAUAAAAAGGGAUUGAAAUGAAACAUGCUCAAACUCAAGGGACCGAUUGUGAAAAUUCCCCGUCCCUUAUGCGCAUCGUUUUGCACAGGACUAGCUUGGAAUAGGCGCCAAAUUAUGUGGCCAAAAUCGAAAAUAAUAAAAAGGUCAGAUUGCACCUCAGCGCCAGAUGGAGGGACCAAAUGCGCAAAUUACCCAUUAGGGCAAAGAGGCGCAGGUCACCCCCUUCAAACGGUGCCGUUUUAAUUACUAUAAAACUAAAAAUUUUUUCUUUUUUCUGCUGUUUCAUUUGCUGCCAAAGAACACAAAAAAAAAAUUUAAAAGGGAAGUCCCCUUUCUCUGCUAGGGUUCCAGGCCUAGCCUUGGAACCCCACCGCCAUCACACCUCCCCUGCCCGGAGCCAUGCAAGGGCGCCUUCAAGCCGCUCGUUGAAGCGCAUUCCGAGAUCGAGGCCAUGGAACAGGGAAACGAGGGGAAGAAGAAAAGCUUUGGCCUCUCCCUAUACCCGCGUCCGGCGACGGCGAAGGGCCGAUGAUGACGACGGACUCAGGGGGCCGAUUCAGGUGAGUUGAUUCCCUUUUCCCCUUUUUUAUCCUCUGUGUUAAUUAUUUUAAAAUGGAUUUGAAAGAAAAAAAGAAAAAAAAAAGAGAAAAAAAACAAAUAAAUAGAAAAAAUAUCAAAAGAAAAAUGGAGAGAAUAGUCUAAAAUCAACUUUUGGAAUUCGGUUUCUGAGUUUCGAUUGACUUAUGUGUGUAAAAAAAAUACAAGGAUCUGAUCUAGGCUUUUAUAGCCGAUUUGAACAACUCUCUAUUUUACUAUUUUUGUUUGUUUCUGUUGUCUGCUUGUGCUUGGCUUCUUGGUUGUUGCGUGUUCACAUUUCCUUGCAGGUAGCAGUGGUAGAGGCAGCCGAUGUGUCAGACGCAGUGACAGAGGCGUGCGUUGGAGGUGUGGCAGACGAGGAGGCCACGCAUGGAAGCUUGCGGGGCUAGGGGACUUAGGGUUUGGCUGAAAAUUUUUAAGUCUUGUGGGCUAUUGGGCUGUUUUUAGUUGGGUUAAUUUAAUUGUAAUGGGCUGGGGUAUUUUGGCCUCUGCUUGUUGGGCCGGGCAGAAAUUGGGUUCUACAAAUUUCUCUACUCUUCCUCCCACAUGUAUUAGGGUAAAGUUCACUUUCUCAGCUAGUUUCUCUUGAUCAGUCAUCUUCAUUCGAAAUAUAUAAAGAUGAGUGGCAAAGUAAAACAGAGAACAGAACAAUAGAGGCAGACAAGUUACUAAAUGCUCACCUCUUUAAGAUUGUUCUAACAAUUUAUUAAGACAGAAAUGUUAUGGCAACGUUAAAAAGUCUACUCCUUAAUUAACUUGAUGAUAAGCUACUUUGCAAGACUCAUGUUUGCUACAAUUACAUUUUUAUUUUCUACAAAAGGGUUUUCAUGAUAAAUGUAAAACCUUAUACUCCAUUGAUUAAAAGAGCACAUCCUAACACUCCUUUUGCUAUAUAAAAACCUUAUAUAUAAUCCCUGCAUGUAAACUUAAAAUCGUACAAUAGACUCAUAAUUCAUACCUGUAAAUGUUCAUGCUUGCAAAUAAUAGGUAUAUAAAUAAUGACAGGAUCUUUAAUCACCUUUGAUGUCAGACGUCACAACAGCCAUCGUCAACGGAUACGAGAUUCAUCAACACAAUGCUGACGUGCUCAAUAAAAUAUUUCAAAACCAUGCUCACUUUGCUGACCAAUUUCAAUUGAAUAAUCGAGAGUUUCAGAGCAACAUUAUGAAUGCAGUGCUGAAAUUUACCAGAAAUUAGAAAGCAAUCUGAAUAAGUUUGAGCUAACUGAUAUCAAUGAUAUGUUAGUAAGGGUGAAAGACACGGAGGUCCCCGGUUUGGAGCUUUCAUGGCUAAAGGAUUAGUUGGCAAAGACUCGUCAAACAUUGGAGGAUCAAGCAGAGAUAAAGAGAUUGUAAGAAACUAUCCGAGAAGCCAAUCUGAAGUUGGCCAGGUUAGAGAAGAAACAACAGCUAGAGUAAUUGCUGCUUCUCGUUAUUCCGUUAAAGUAAUAGCAGCCAAGGCUCUGUCUAGCCUCUCGUACAAAUCGCCGUGAUACUAGGUGAAUUUUGGUCCUUGGAAUCCCAGGUCACAUAGAUGAUUAUUAGAGCAAAACGAUUGGAAAUGAGAACACCCCCUACUGCCUUUCCACUCAUCCAUACUUAGAAUAGAGUUAAAAUUGUUGGAACAAUGGCAGCAGCAAAAAGAAAAAGAACAAGACAGAGAACAAAGGAGGAAGAAACAAAAACAAUUUACUUGCUCACAAACAUGCAGCAAGGAAGCAAUCUGAGUUUCACAACUGAUAUGCUUAAUUUUUCAAUAAGAAAAACAAUAUAUUUAUAGCCAACUACAUCAGUUAUUACUACCUACUACCACUAAGUAGCCUAGUAACUUUAAAAACAUUGCUUGUACACAAACAAACCACCUAAACUAGUCAUUCAACACCUAAACAUAUCAAGCUGUCAUCAGCUUGUUCAUUUCCAAGUAGUUUAAUCAACAAAGAAACUAAAGAGAAAAACUUAACUUGCACACAAGCCGAUUAUGUCAAUCAGCACCUAAAAACAUCAAAACAAUACCAACUUAGUUCAUUUUCAACUAAGUAGCUUAACAAAGAAACUAAAGAGAAAACCUUGCUGUUACAGCAAGUAUAUGUGCUGCAGCAUGUCAUCAAGCUGCAUGCACUUCAGCCAAAACAUAUAACAGCAGCAUGGUUGGCCAAUUUUCAACACUCCUCCUUGGACUCCAUGCUGCAAAUACAUAUCAUUCAUCAAGAAACUUAACAUUCCCAUAAACUAUGCCUUUUAUUGCUUUGAAGACUAGCAUAAAUGAUCGAGACAAAGAAUUGUCAAUGAAGAGCAGACUCUUUAAUCUUAACAGUAGUUGAAAUACUUUCAUCGCACAAUAUAAUUCCUAACAUUUUGACCACUACAGCCAGCAACCCUGCAUAUCUUUUCCGAGGAAAAUUCUUACUUGAUCUAUUUAAUAUGUACUUGGCAACUAGUUCUUGCAAGGAAAACCACAAUAAUUUUCCCUGUUUGAAUCCUAGAAAUCUUUUAAAUCAACCGAAUCAUCUCACUCGAAUACUUUAUUAAUUUUAUACAAAUUAUUCUUCGCAUCAACAAAUAUUAUUCAUGACAUUGCACUUACUUUCAUGUAGAAUUAUUUUUACCAUGCAAGGAAUUAUCUCCAUGAAUUACUGUCAUGUUUUAGUUUAAGACGAGUAAAUUUCGACAAGUAAUAAUGUUGAUGAACAUGAUAUCUAUUUUGAUGAUAUAACAUGCUUUCUAUUGAUUCAAGAAAGACAAUCAAUGACUUGAAAUUGAACCAUGAUUUUAAAGGACUUGGGUUUAUAUAAGAUUUUAACUUGACAAACUUAAAUCUUAAACUAUUAUCUUUAUGUUUACUUUCUGAUGAUAAUUAACAAAAAUAUUUGGUUUUAAAAUUUUAAUAAAAUCAAUGAAACACAAUUCAUAUAUAUGAAUGAUGAAAUUUGACGUGAUUAAAUAAAUAUUAAAUUUUGUUAUAUUUUUAAGAAUGAAUAUAGGUAAAAUGGUAAUAAACCGGCAUUUUAAUGUCAUUUAAAACGUGUCAAAUAAAUAUUAGAUUAGAUAUUCAAUAGUAAUAAUCAAUAUAUAUUAAUUGAAUUAGACAUUAUAAUUAGUCAUGACUGUCGAAAUUCAAAAUUGUAAAAAUUAAUAUAUAUUGAAUUAAAUGACUACCAUACAUAAUUUUAUUCAAAUAAUAAUAAUGAAAAAAAGAGAGUGUUUAAGACAAUUUCGUUGUAUUUGUUUAUUCUAUGAUCCAACUAUGGUAGGUAAGCGUGAUGUAGGCUCAUCGUACUCCCAUCCAGUAGCUUUAAUUUGCUCUAAUAGAAUCGAAAAUGAAUCAAUCCGUUUAAUUUCUUCUUCUUCCUCUUCAUCAUCGGAAAUCGAAUUUAUUUCCAAAAAAAGUUUUGGGUCAAUUUUGGAGUUCCAAUCAAUAUCAUCGAUAUACGUAUCUGCUGCAUUACUUGGUACCUUAUUUGUGCAAGGAAAACGGUGAUAAUAUUCCCAGAAUCUCUGUUUGGCUUCCUGGAAAGCUCUUAAACCAGUUGAAUCAUCUCAUUCGAAUACUUUAUCUGUUUUGAACAAAUUAUUCUUUGACUCAACAAAUCUUUUCCAUGGCAUUGCACCCACUUUUAUGCAGAAUUUUUUCUCCCAUGCAGGUAAUGGUUCCCAAGACUUAUCGCUAUCAUUCAGUUUGGAACGAGUAAAUUUCGGACUGUAGUACCUUUCUGAGCGAUUAUGAUAUCUUCUUCGAUAGUAUGACAUGAUUUCUUGUAAUUCAAACAAAUAAAUGAAUUGAAAUCACUAAUGAUAUGAAUUCAUAGUGAGGAGACUUGUUGGGUUUAUAUAAUAUUAUUAGAGUCGGUGGUGACUCAAUCCUUUUCCUUGUUGGAAAAGGAAUUCUAAUUUCAGUUUGACUAUGAUUUCUAUUUUCUAAAUAUUUGUAUUAUUAAAAAAUAACUAUAUCUGUAUUGAUUCGUUUUCCUCUUAUUGAUGCGUUACAUCCCUAGCUUCUCUGGAAUCCUCAUUGACUAUCUGAUCUCUUCGCCUAUUGGUGUUCCCCAAGAAUGUUUUUCUCGUUUUCUCCUCCUAAUUCAUCUCUACGAUUAUCACCUCCUAGCUUAACGUUUUCAACUUUCUUCCAGUACACCACUUUUCCCUUAAAGCGAGCUAAGUUCACAUUUACUUUACUUCCAUAUAUACAGAAUCCAUUAAGUUUACUAACUGCCCUCUUAUCAUCCACAAUGCUUGCAAAUCUUACUAAACCAAAACGUAGACCUUUUCGAUGCCUCUUCUUAGGAAUAAACGCAUCCAACACUUUGCCAUGGAACUCAGAGAUUUUCCAUGGUCCCUUCCAAUGAAAACAAGAAGCAAGAUUAGAAACAUAAACUGAAAUCACCAUUUUCUCUAAGGAUUUAGCCUAGUAAUAGUUAACAGUAACUCCACGGAUCUGAUUAAAAGCACAAGUUAAGUGAAUUACCAAGAACAAUGUUCUUCAAUACUAUUCCAAAUUCAAUUUUGGAACUUCUGUUAUCAUAGCUUUCAACUGUUUGAAACUCUGAUGGCAUUAUUCAAUCGUACAUAACUAACAUUUUCUGUAGCAACUUCGUCAUGGUAGAGCUAUCAUCGACAAGCCUGAACAAAUUGUCUGUAGUAUACAAUAAAUCCUAGAGAACUACCUAUUUCUAUAUUAUUUCCCAGAGAUUCCUUAAUUCACAUUUAUCAGGAGAUCAUUUGAAAUAACUCAAAUAUCUUCUGCUGUUACUAAAAGGUUUAGAAAACUUAUUUCUUGAAAUUAAAAUUCACAUUUAUUGAUCUUCACAAAUAAUUAUUUCUUUCGUAAUGUCUGUAACACUGUAAUUCCAAUACUAAUCGUGUUCAAUUUUUUUUCUUCACAUGAAUUGAGUAUCUUUAAUUAUCUAACAACAACUCUGAUAUGAUACAGCUAGAAACUUUUGUCUAUUAAAUAUAGAGUAAACUACACCUAUGGUCACUUUUGUUUACUUUAGGUUACAUUUUGGUAACUUAUGUUUAAAAUAUUACGUUUUAGUCACUUACGUUAUCGUGUUGUAACAUUUUAAUCAUUGAGCCGUUAAUUGUCGUUAACGGUGUAACGGUAAGCUAACGUGGCACGUUAAAUCAUCAUUUCAAACAAAAAUUUUAGGUUAAAUCAUACAACCGAUCCCCAUAUUUUUUUUAUUUUGGGCAAUUUAAUUUUUUUCUUUUAUAUUCUUUAAACUUUACUCUCUCUUUUUCUCUUUAUUUUCCAUUAUCUUCUGUUUCUCCUUCUAUUUUCCUACCUUCUCCAUGUCUUUUAACACAUUAAGAAGUCGAAUUGACAGUGAAGAAAGAAGUAGAAAGUCGAAAGCCAUCACUGCCUAUAAUCAAAACCCAUAAACCCGUACCAUGACUCUUUUUUUACGACCAAUUCAACUUCCUGAUAUGUUAAAAGAAAUGGAGAAAGAAGGAAAAUAGAGGGGGAAGCAGAAGAAAAUGGAAAAUAAAGAAAAAAAGAAAGUUAAAAGAACAUAAAAGAAAAAAAAUUAAAUUGCUCAAAAUGAAAAAAAAUAUGGGGACCAAUUUUAUAAUUUAACCUAAAAUUUUGUUUGAAAUUAUAAUUUAACGUGCCACGUCAGCUUACCGUUACAUUGUUAACAGCAAUUAAUGGCUCAAUGACUAAAAUGUCACAGCAUGAAAACGUAAGUGACUAAAACGUAACAUUUCAAACAUAAGUGACUAAAAUGUAAACUGAAGUAAACAAAAGUGACCAUGGAUAUAGUUUUCCCUUAAAUAUAUAAAGUGACCAUGCAAUUGAUAAUCAUAUACAAUAAUCAACAUUUGACUAAACUUUGCAACCUAUACAAGUCUUUUUCGGAUUUCGACGAAAUAUAAACAAAAAUCCCGAGAAGAUACUUAAAACAUUUACUCAUCCGUGGCAACUGAUUGAAAAAAUUUGGGUUGUCGUCUAGCUCAUAAUCGUAUACAAGGUCAAUACCAAUUUCUAGCACCGAUAAAUCUGAAAGAACCCGAAGACUAACAUGAUCACCAGCUUCUAAUUCAUCACCCCUAAAGUUCCAACAAGUCGUCCAGUAUAAGGUAUUCUUAGUUUCAGGAAUUCCCAUGAAAUGUUUGGAGUAGGUCCACUUUGUACCUUUGGUCUCGUUCACAAUUUCAAGGCAUGGUAAAAAUCCAUAUGUUUUAUCAUUCUUGGCAGAAAAAAUGAUAAUUGAAUUUAAGAAGCAACUUAUCUUUCGACUAGAGUUUGGGGGCACUGAUAUUGAAACCUCAGUCUUGCCAGCUUGAUGGCCAAAGUAAUGACCAUGGUAAUCAAAUGGCAAUGGAUCAAAUGUUGUAAUUAUACCGUAAUCAUAUAAUACCUGUAGCAUUGGGUUAGAGAAUGAGUUAUUAAAAAGUAUAUAGUAUAUAAAUAAUUUUAAAUACUUGGAACUUGCAAAGGGAACCUGUGGUGAAGCAACCACUUUUGAUUCUUCUAUAUAACUGCAAAGUUGCACUUUAACAUUUCCAUAAGAUUCCAAACUGAGCAAGAAUUUAGUUAGGUCAAUCUUGAUAUUUCUUGUGGAAACUUCAUCUCCUAAAAUAUGUACAAUAAUGUGUUAUUUAUCAAUUUUAGUGAUCAUCAACAUAAUAUGCUUAUUACAAAAUAAUAGUAUUGACUUGAAUGGAGUGAUAAUUAAAACUUUUAUCAGAUACUCAUUUGACACGAAUUAAAAUCGUGACCCAUCCCCUAUACUCAAUAUUGUAUGAAAAAAAGAUAUCAAAGUAUUAAUGUUAUUAUCACUAAAAUGUAUUAUAAGACUUGUAAGAAAUAAUCAAUUAUACACAUUAUAUCUUUAUUUUUUAUUUUAUUUUUAUAUAAAAUAUAAACUUUAAAACCAUUAAAUAUGUUAAUCAAAACUCCACUGUUAUAAUUUUAUCCAUUAUUUUAGUUUCCACUUCUAUUAGUACUAUUGGAUUAAUCAUUUAUCAAGCAAUUAACUUAUUUUAGUUAAACCCCAAUUGCAGCAUAACUUUAUAAUUAUCAUUUUAUUAUUAACCUAAAUUUCUCUCAUAAUCUAUUAAAUUGUCACAUUUCUUGAUAAUAUUUUUAUUGUAUUAGAAAGUCUUUUAGAGAAACAUUCAUCAUUUCUUGAACAUUUGUUAUUCACAUAUAAAAUGAAACAAUAAAAUAAAUAUAUAAUAGAAUGUAUUUACUAAAAUAUAAUUAUUUGAAGUCUACUCAUACCUGUAGAUAAGUGCGAAAAGUCAUAUUCAUAUCCAAUGUUGUGUUCUGAUUCACAAGUAACGCCAAAUUUUCUUAUGCUGAGAUGCAUAGGCACUACCAUGCAACUCACAAGGUCACCACCUUCAAACUGACAGUCCGUUACUGGCCAGUGAAUCAACCACAACAUUGUGUUAUCGUUAGUCUGAGGAAUUCCAAUGAAACUUGAGCGAUAUCUCUGCAUGAUCCUUUUGGUCUCAUUGAAAAUGUGGACACCUGGUAGAAGCUCCAACAUUUGAUCACUAGCUAAAGAGAAAACAAUGCAUAAGCUGAACCGAUGGAUCUUUUCAUCUGGAUGAGAUGGUGUUGGCAAAAAAAAAGAGAUUCGAUGCUCGUUAGUGCGAUGCUUAAACCCAAUCGGAACUUCACUUCCUACAACAAAUGUGCUUGUUAUACCACAUUCUUGCAAGACCUGAUCCAAAAAGAACAAGUUAGAUGAUUAAGUAGUAUAAAAGAAAAAUUAGAUUUAAAAUUUAAGUUGGAGAACUAUUGGACCUGUGGGGUAGCUAGCAUUAUGCUGUCUGUUAGGUAGCUAUAAAGUUGCAGUCGAUUUCUGUUAAUGGAAUCCACGUUGAAUAAUCUUCUAAUCUCUUCUGCUCCAAAGUUUUCAAUUGGUUCCACCUUGAAUAGAUCUUCAACCUCAGUCAAUUUUUCACAUCCAAAAAUAUUAACACAUCGUGUGGAAGAAAAGAAGCGUGGAAGAAGUGAAGAAUUGACUCCAAAAAUAAAGUUGCACUCAAAAACAUCAAGCAAGACCGGAAGCUUUGGAAUCAUUUGGAGUUCAGUGCAAGAAGUCAAUAGAAGUUGAUCAAGUUCUGUAAGGUAUUUUAAGCUCUCGGGUAGGUAACGAAUUGGGUUUCUACUUAAAUUUAAAGAUUUCAAGGAUGCCAAGUUACAAAGAUCAUUGGGCAUGACAUCAUUAGAUAAUUUGCAACUUUCAAGGCUUAACUUUACCAAAGAGCCCGGUAGAGAUGCCCAAGAGAAACCCAAUCCUUUGCUUCUUUUCAGUAAGAGCCACUGCAACCCCAAUCUUGAUUGAUAUAUGGCAGUUUCAUCUAAAUUAAGCACCUUCAAUGAUUCCAUAUUAUGCAACUCCCUAGGAACAUCAUCAAGUCUUGAACAACCAGAUAAGAUAAGCUCUUCAAGUGAUAUUAAUGAACCAAUUGUCCUUGGAAGUUUCCUAAGACUUGUGCAAUCUUUAAGGUUCAAGAAAGUAAGCAUCUUUAGCUCACCAAUGGAUUGAUCAACUUCCACCAAAUUUAUGCAGUCUUUAAGCAUCAACUUCUCAAGGCUAGGGAGUCCUGAAAAGCUUGGGGUUUUAAGAAGGCUAUGUGAAUGGUUGAGAUUAAGGAUCUUUAAAUUUGGGAGGCACUGCANNNNNNNNNNNNNNNNNNNNNNNNNNNNNNNNNNNNNNNNNNNNNNNNNNNNNNNNNNNNNNNNNNNNNNNNNNNNNNNNNNNNNNNNNNNNNNNNNNNNNNNNNNNNNNNNNNNNNNNCGAGAACAACUAGUUCAUUGAUAUCAAAAUCCACCGGAAAAGAUUGCAUACAAAACCCAUGCCAACGUAACCAUCUUAAUCUUUUUGGGUAAAGGUCUUUGAAGUCUCCUUUAAGUCUCACAUAAUCCAGUUGAAGCAGUUUAAGUCUCUUCAUCUUUGCAAAUGCUUGAGUUUCCAUAUCAACAUCAUUUGCCAUGAGAAACUGACUUUUGGAAUGCUUUGGAAAAUGUAGAGUUGUAUUUGUCCUUUUAGCCUUGUCUUCUAGCAAUCCUUUUAGGUCAAGUGUGAGGCACUUAACUGUUCUGGAACCCUGCAUCAGAAAAACUUUUUUAAAAAAUAAAAAGAAAUUUGAUAAAAAAGAAAAAAAGUAGUUUACAUGCACACAAGAAAAAAGUUGAGUAAAAUGAUGUUUCGUACAAUUUUUUCUCUUACUACAUCAAAAGCGUUCUUAUGCCACAAUCUGCUUCGCUUCCCAAUAUCACAAGAUUCUUGACGAAUAAUUUCUCGUCCCAUAUCUCUAAUCAUUUGAUGCAUCAUUAGCUUAUUUUUUUCAUUAAUGAUUAAGAGAGACAUGCCUACUAGAUUUUCAAUUCCAAUUGUUGUAUAGAAAUCACAACCAUCUAGAAUUGUAGUCGUGUAAUCUCUAUCCUUCCCAAUGAAUAAACAAACUAUGUCAAGGAAUAAAUUUUUGUCAUGAUCGUCUUCCAAAGAAUCAUAGCUUAUUCUUAGAAUCUUUUGAAUUUUGCUGUCAGGGAUUUCUUCCAAUUUCUCCAAUGCACUUUUCCAAGAACUCACACUUUUGCUAGAUAAUGAAGAGCCCAAAACUUGAAGAGCUAAUGGGAGCCCACCACAGUGUUUCACUAAACUUUUUGCAUAUGCCAUUGAACUUUCAGGCACAGAGUUAUGACCAAAAGCAUACCAAUUAAAAAGUUGUAGCGAUUCACUUGAAGCUAAUUCUUUUACUUCAAAUAGCUUACUUAAGCCUCCACAACUAGUUGAUGCUUCCGAAUCAAACAUUUGGCUUAUAAAAUGUGCAUUCAAUAGGCAUCGGUUUCUACUAGUUAUGAUGAUUUUACUUCCCAGAUGAAAAGGAAUUUGAGUUCCCAUUAAUUUUCUUAUUUUUUCCAAUUCAUCAACAUCAUCAAGAACAAGAAGAACUCUUCUACAACAUACAACUUCUUUGAUCUUGUUAAUUCCAUUAUCUAUAUUGUAUAUUUUAUGUGAUUUUCCUUUAAGAAUAUCUGAAAGAAGUUGGCUUUGCAAACGGACUAAACCAUUGCAAUCUUGACUUGUUUCUCUAACAUCAGCAAGGAAACUAUAACCUUCAAACCUCGGGAUAUUUUGAUUGUAAACAACUUUGGCAAUGGUUGUCUUCCCAAUGCCUCCAAUGCCACAAAUAGUUGCAAUGCCAACUUUAUUUGCUCCAUCUUGUUCUAACCAUUGAUUAAUUUGUGUCACGAGAGAAUCUAUUCCAACUAAAUAAGGAGGGACAUACAACGAAAUAAGAUGAAGUUUAUUUUGAACUUCCUUAACAAUAUCUUGGAUGAAUUGUGAUUCAUGCCUGCAAAUUUAAAAAAUACAACUCAAUGGUAAAAUCUUGGAAAUUAAGUAAAAGUUACUAAUGUAUUUUCUCUUUUCUUGCAUAUAUUUUGAUUGCUUUUAAGAGAUUAUAUGUUCAAGUAAAAGUAAGAAACUAAUGCAACAUUUCAACAUAUAUGAUAGAAUUAUUACAUUCAAAAUCAAAUUAUAGAAUUAUUACUUUCAAAAUCAAAUUAAAUCAAAUAAAAAAAAAGCAACAUAAAAAUUAAUGAAAUUCAUUCGAGGAACAACCUAUACUCAAAAUUUCAACCUUCUCUUUGUGAAAGUUUAAUAAAUUCAUGUUAUUUACAUGAAUAUAUAUAUUAAUUUUUAUUUAUUGUAAUAUUUUGAAUAUGUGUAGACCUAUUACAUGAAUAACUUGGAUAUGAUUGUUGGAAAUAUACCACUGCAAAAUAGAAUUGUUACAGGAGAUCAAACUGAAUGUAAAUAAAAUAAGAAUCUCUGUAUCGUGGAAGAACCACUGCAUUAGAGGCAAAUUCGCCAUGAUCGGUGUAAUCGUGUAGUGGACGUUAUCCCCCAACACAAUACUUUAAUAUUCGUACACCCGAAUAAAGAAGGUGGAACACGAUUGACAUUACUCUUCCCGAAAAAAAAGUUCAAUUCCCAAUAAAGAUUAAAGGGGUCAAAAAUAGUCUCGCUUAAAACCUAAUCUCUUAGACAGAAUUUUCCUCUCGUGUAAUUUUGCAGAACACUAGAAUUUAGAUAACAUAGAGAAGUUAUUUUUCUCUUGUUGUGUUAGGUGGGAGAAUCACCUCCUAUUUAUACUAUUUUUUUAUAGGCAAAAUGGUAAAAAAACAAUUUUAGCUUCCAAAAAUAGCAAAGAAUUUUCCUAACUAAAAAUAGUCUAAAAAUAUUUUUUAUAACAGUCAAAGGAUUUUCCAGAAUUCAAAAUAUUCUUUUGCAUUACCAACAAUGACAUCUUAGAAAACCACUAAUAGUGUCAUUAAAUUCAAGAGGCUAUUUCUUUUUGUUUUCAACUCGUCAAGUCCAAAUUGUUCACGUGAUAAGUGCAAACGUAUUUAAAUUUUGAAGGUUCUUUGUAAAAAUAUUAUGAAGGUUCUUUGUAUUUUAAGUUAUAUUAUAUUUUGUUUCUUCUAUUUAAAAAAUAGUAAUUUAGUCAUUGUAUAUUAUAUUAGAAAGUAAAUUAGUUCUUUUGUUAAAAAAAUUAUCUAUUGUUAUUAUUAAAAAUUGGUCCAUGUAAUCAACAUGAGGUACAUGUGACAAGCCACAUGCGAUUAUCUAGUUAUUUCGUCAUUCACAUUAGUUUUUAACAACAAAAAUGAAGGAAAUUUUUAAUAAAAAUAAUAAAUUUAUUCUUUUAUUUAAUGUAUAUGGACUAAUUUACUUGUUUUUAAAUACAAUUUAACUCUCAAUAGAAUGAUCUCUAUGAUACUUUUACCACCUAAUACCUUGGUAGAUACACUCAAUAAUUAAACCACAACCACAAUAUAUCACAUAGACAUCACAUUAAAUAUUCAAGUUCGGUAUAGUAAAGAAACAAUUUUAGUAUCUAUGCAUGAAUGAAGAAUUAAUUGUUUUUGAAAAAGAAUUGGUCAUUAAAUUGAUCAGAUCGUCAAUUUUUUUUAAUUUGUUCGUGUUAUCUAAAGUAAAUAAAUUUUUAAAAAUAAAAAAAUAAAAUUCACGUAUAUUGCACGUUAAAGUAAAUUGAAAAUGAGAAUUGAGAGGGACAUAAGAGAAGGAGAAUAAUUCCGUAAGUAUCUGGUGUGGAAAAUAGUGGCAGUAGAAAACGCGUUUCAAUCGCUUUUCAUUUCGGAGUCAUGCUUACGGUCCAUUUGGUGUGGAAAAUAGCGGUACUAGAAAACGCGUUUCAAUCGCUUUCCAUUUUGGAGUCAUGCUUACGGUCCAUUUGGUGCUCAACAUUUUUAUUAAAAAUAUUAUUUGAGUAGAGUUUUUCAAGAGAGGUAGUAGAAAGGAAGGAAAACGUUAAAGUUGUUCACUAUAAAAAAAAUAAAUAUUAUCAGACCUUAAACAAUGAAUUAUCGGCCUUAAAUUAGCAAUUAAAGAGGAUGGGAUAAGGGUAAGGUUGAGUAAUUGAUCCAAAAUUUCAUGCUGAGGGCAACUAGCACAAAAUUGUUUAAAUAUUUUCCAAUAUUCAUUAAGGAUUAGAGGUGAUAAUGGGUCGGGCGGUCCGGCCCGGCCCGACGGCCCGCCCAAAAUAUGAGAGAGUUUGGGUAAAAAUAUAGGCCCAAAGUAUGUAUUUGGGAAAAAAUGAGGCCCGUUUUCGGGCCUUGGGCAAAAAAAUUUUGGUUCGGGCCCGACCUAGCCCAGCCCGAAUAUAAUAAAUAUAUAUUUUUUUAAAAAAUAAAUUUCUCAUUUCCCCUCCCCAUUUCCCAUUUCCCAUUUUCUUAAGCCCAUAUAUUUUGAAAUUUAUUUUUUAUUUUUAUUUUAAAAUUUUUAAUUUUUAUAUUUCAAAUUUUAAAUUUUAAAUUUAAUUAUUAGUAUUGUUAAAUUUGUUGAUAUGAUAUUUCAUGGGCAAGGGUUCUACUCUAAAAUAAUAAUAAAAAAUUCUUUUUUUAACUCUUUAUAAUUUAUAAAAUUUUAAAAUAGUAAUGGUAAAAUUACACUUUGCCCCUCAAAUGAUAAAAAAUGUUAAUUUAAUAUUUUAAAAACGGGUCGGGCUCGGGCUUAGUAUUUUUCCCCGGGCCGAGCCUGGACAAAAUUUUAGGCCCAUAUUUCGGGCCGAGCCAGGCCUGGGCCUAGGAAGCGAGCUGAAAAUUUUUUCUGGGCCCAUGAUCACCUCUAUUAAAGAUCUUCAUAUCCUUUUUGUGGUAUGGCAUAGAUUUCUUUCCUAAUUGAAGCACCAAGUUAAGAAAAAGCAAAUUCAACGAAUAUUCUUACCAUAUCUAUUUUAAAAUUUUAAUAUAAUUAAUGAAAAACAAUUCACAUAUAUGAAUCAUCAAAUUUGACGUGCUUAGAAAACAUCAUGUGAUAGCCUGAUGAUUAAGAUUGUUCAUCACCCUAAAUGUGGCCUAAAUUUGAAUCGCGCUACUUGCGUUGGUUAUUCAAACUUUACUUGUUAUUGUAAUUCAAAAAAAUUAACACACUUAAAUAAAUAUUGAAUUUUGUCACAUUUAAUAUAGAGGACAUAAGAGGAGGAUAAUUCCCAAGUACUUGGUGUGGAAAUUAGUGGUACUAGAAAAUGCGUUUCAAUUACUUUUCAUUUUGGAGUCAUGCUUACGUUCCAAGACUUUAGCCAUUAGCAAUUAAAGAGGGGCCUCAACAAAAUUAUGGCCCCAACUGUUUCACCUAACAUAAAAAAUUCGUUGGCUAACCAAUUUCAGUGCAAUAAAAGUAGUGAAGAGGAUGGGUUAAGGUUAAGGUUUACAUUGUUGGUAAUGCAAAGUAGAAUCCCUCGUUGCAGCCUUCAAAUUUUUUGGUUCACAAUAUUUUAGGAAGAACUCGAUUCAAAUAAUAUUUUUUGGUGAUUGUUUUUUUCAAUAAUAUUAUCUUUAAAAUUUAGAUCUAUAUUUUUUAAAAAGUAUAAUAUGUCUUACCAUUAUGUCUAACACUUACUAAUUAUUCAAAUAAUAAUGUUAACAAAAAAGGUUGAGCACCAAAUGGUUUGAUAAGUACCAACAAGCUCAUGGUCUAAAGUCUAGAUCGAGUAGCACUAUUAUCCAAAACAUAGUGCAACAAAUCAAUUCUUUCUCCGACGUUUGUUAUAGGGAACUCUACAACCUAGUCUACUAAUUAUCAAUUUUAUUGUUGUGACUCCACAACUAAAAUUUACCCGAUCCCUUCAUUCAAGAGUAUAAUUAUUCGAAUAGGAUUAUGUCUCUUUUAUGGUGGAACACUAAUUCAUUUUAUUACAUGGAUUUGUUCAUAAAAAUUCUCUUAAAAUAUCGAACAAAUAUCAGUUAGGUGUUUUGAUUUAAAUAUUUAGUUUUUAAGAGAAUAUAUUCUUACCUCAUUAUGACUUCUCGAAGAUUUAUGUCAAAUCCAAACUGAUGUGAGUUGGUAGCCAUAUAUUUUUAUUUUUAAGGAUUUUAGUCCCUCUAUAUUUUUGAGAUUUCAAAACUCAAAUCCAAUUGUUAACACUGCUAAUUUUUUUUGUUAAAUUCAAGUUAAUUACAACAUCAUUUUUGUAAUUACGUGGUUACUAAAUAAGUUUUUUUUUAAUUUUAAAAUGCCACCCUAACACAUUUAACAAAAAAAUUGAAAAUGUUAACCAUAAGAAAGUAAAGAGACUAAUUUUUUGGAAAUGAAAGUACGUGUUCCAAACUCCAAAAUUUGUAAAAGUACAAGAACUUAUGACAUAUUUUAACCUUUUAACUUAUGGGUCGAGCUACCCAUCCAAUCCCCGCUCGAGAUUUGGGAGGAUUUAGACAAAAUUAUCAAGCUCAAAAAAUGGACUUGGACAAAAAGUUAGUCCGAUUUAAAAUACGAGUUGGGCUCGGGCAUAAAAAUUCAAGGCCCGAGUCAUUUACUAAUUUUCUAAUAUAUUAUAUUAUGUUAUUUUUAAAAUUAUAUAAUUUAUAUCAAAAAAUAAAUCUAUAGUAAUACAUAUGAUACUAUAAUGUAAACAUUAAAAAAUGUUAAGAUGUCUAUAUAAAAUGUUAAGAAAUUUGGGAAAAAAUUCAAUUCAAUUAGGCUCAAAACAAUUUGUGGGUCAAUUAAUUUAACAUCUCUAUUCAAAUCGACAAUGGCGAAACCUAAUAGAGGCUCAGGGGGCCAUGGCACCCCCAAGGAUUAAAAUUUUUUCAAUUUAGCCCUUUGUAGAUAUACUAUGGCCCUCCCAAACAUAUAAGUAGCACCCCAAGGUUUAAGAUUUUUGUAAUUUUCCAAAAAUAUUGCUUCUUUUGGAUCGAUUAUCACGUUGGAAUAGUGCUUCUUUUGAGUCAAUUCUUUAUAUGUUUAAAUCGAUUGUCAAGUUGGAACACUACUUCUUUUGAAUCGAUUGUGUAUAUGAUUAAAUUGAUUGUUAUGUUGGAAUACUGCUUCUUUUUAAUUGAUUGUGUAUAUGAUUAAAUCGAUUAUUAUGUUGGAAUAUUACUUCUUUUGAAUCGAUUGCUUAUAUGUUUAAAUCGAUUGUUACAUAACACAUCUAAUUAAUUUGUUCUUUGCUUCUUUGAUUGUUGCGUAGCAUUUCCUUUUAUUCUCUACUUCUUUGAUUGCCUAAAAUGAUAAGGGACCAAAUGAAUAUCAGCAAAGAAUUUAUGUUGGAGUUUGAAUCGAUUCUUCGCUUAUUUCAAUUGAUUGUUUGUUGUUUUGAAUUAAUUCAUUAUUGUUUAAAUUGAUUCAAACUCCUACAUAAAUUCACUGCUGAUAUUCAUUUGGUCCCUUAUCAAUAUUGACUUACACAGGUGUAUGUAAGUUCUUUUUCCCUCAAACCUCCUGCUGUACUUGUGAAGCAAGCAAAGGUAUAUUUACGGUUGUUCUUACUCUAGAAGAGAAAUGAUUCCUCAUACUUUAUACAGUGUAUUUACAUAUUUGCCCUCAACCGAAUAUUGAGGGAAUCUCCCUUUACUUUUGACACGGUCAAUAGAAAGUUUAAGGGAAAAGAACUAAUUUACACCGGUGUAUAUAAGUAUUGAUAACUCAUUGAUACCAAAUGUUUAGAUUAAAUCGAGAAAUCAUUAUAUAGUAUUUUCCUAUACUAUGUGUUAUGUUUAUUAAUAAAACAUAUUUUUAAUUUAAAUGAUAUACUAAAAACUGCUCAUCUACACAAUCAUUGAUAUGUUGAUUUAGGAUCCAAACUUGAAUCAUAUAUUCUUACGUAGUGAAACUAAAAAGGGCCUCGUCGCCAUUCUCCAUCUAUUCCUAUAUAUUCAUCUGUUCGAAAGGAACUGAACUUAACAAAACACCAUGAAAGCAUAAUCGAUAUUUUUUUCACUUUUAAGAAAUAUAAGUUGUUAAUAAUAUCAAACCCAAUAAUACAAUAUAUCAACAAUCAAAUCAAAUCAACAACCAUACCACAAGCAAAAAGAUAAAAUCAAUUCAUUAGGAAGGGUCUUCCACCUCAUUAUCUGCAUGAUUUUCAUACGAAUCCAGUUGUAAAGUAAUGGUGUUUAACACUUUGAAUCGAUUCAUUAUUGUUUGAAUCGAUUCAAACUCCAACAUAAAUUGGUUCUAAAUUUACUUAUCUAUCAUCACUAUUUUUGCAUGUUUUCGGUAAAAGGUAAAUUUUUCUUUUGAUAAGUUGGGAUGGUACACUUAUGGUUUGACCUAUUUAGCUAUUUAGUUCUUUACACAUAAACUUUUUAAUAACCUAGACUUAGUGGGUAAGAAAUUUUUAGGAAUUAUGAGUUUGCUUGACUGCCUACCUUAUAUCGUCUUUCAAAUAAAAAAACAAAAAAAAAAUAAUGCGCCUCUGAUAUGAAUGUUAAGAGUGAAAAAUUGGGGUUAUACAUCGGGCUGAGUAACCGGAACAUGGUGCUUGGGUUGUCAUCAUAUCUCGCGUAAAAAGGUUUGUGUGGCUGUCUAAUUUCUUUGCACUCACUCCGCUAACAAGGUAUCACGACUAGGGUGAAAUAACCCGCUUAGAGACGUCUGAAUUGAGUAACCGGAACAUGGUGCUUGGGUUGUCAUCAUGUCUCGCGUCAAAAAAUUCGAAAAUGUCCUAAGUACAAAAUAAUAAAAUAAAGGGUAAGUCUAUCAAGCUCUAAUAAAUUCCAAUAUAUAUUUACUUACUUCUUAGGCUAGGUUAUUUGAGAUGUUAAUGUGCUAGGAUUAAAUUGUUGAAUUGUACAAACCAUGAGGGCCAAGUCCUAUUUUGGAGGAAAUUUUUUCCCUUUUGCAGAUACAUGCAUAAUGCUCGAGGAGUAGCAUAAGCUAAGUAGAGGGGAUUUGAUUAAAUGCUAAAGUUACAUAUUUUAUGUAAUUAAAUUGGUUAAUUUAUGAAAGUGCACCACUAAUUUUUCCAUGUUUUUAUUGAAUUUUGUGCAAGGGUGCAAUUUAGGGCUAAAUAGAAGAAAAAGAAAACAAUUGGGCUAGAUUGAAGAAAGAAGCAAAGAAUGAGGGGCCAAAGUAGAAUUUUUCCAAGAAUAAUUAGCUGAAAUUUUUAUUGACUUAGUGGGAGAUUAUUUUGAGAUUUUUGUUAUAUCAUGGAAUAUUUUUCCUUGAUUUUCUAUACUAGUUUGCUCUGAAUUUAGCAAAGCGACUAGUAUAAAUAGUGGUCUAUUUUGUUCAUUUUAAUCAUCAAUUGAAAUAUCAAGCUUUCAUCUUUCAAUACUUUCUCUCCUUCCUAUUCACGAAUUUAUUUGCUGCCUUUAGUUUCUUUUCCUUCAAUUUAUUAAUUCCUAGUAACCACCAACUUAAGCCAUUUGCAAUUCCUUUUUCAAAUUCCCUUUUCAUUUCCAGUAGUCAACCACCCCACUUUAAUAAAUUACUAAAUUUCCAGCCCCCAUACUUAAUCACGCCACCAAUCCUUUUCACCCAAUUUUACCUUAUAUAAUUUAUCCAAUACCAACAUGCCCCAAACCUUAGUUAACUAAAUUCAUUUUCAGCUUUAGGUUGGAAUUAGCCUCAUCAAAACUCGUGAGUUACGAACCCGAGCUAUUUAACUCCUAAAUUCCAGUACUUAUUAUUUCUCUGGAUUAAGAGUAUGAUUUUGUCAACUCACAAAGUCAGAUCAACAUUAAGUCAAAAAAGACGUCGUUUGAUUUAGUGUGGUUAGACGUAUAGUUGAAAUUUUGAAAUGAUCGAUUGUCUAAUCGGUUUUCCGUGAACAUAUUGGCGUGCCAAGUAGAGAUUGUUGUUUGGUUCCGUCAAAGGAAGUAGUAACUGGAUUUAAAUAUCCCACGGGUUGAGGGUAUUGGUUCGAGCUAGGCUCUUCUAGAACGCAAAGCUGCCGGAGUUCUAAAUCACUAACGUUUCGUUGGUUGUUCGAUCGAUAAGGGUUAGUUAUUGGACGUUCCAUAACUAAUUUACACAAGGAAGAGUUGGUGUCUGAGGCGUCCCUGAUAGCUAUAACUAGCUUAUUGGUAAAAGGAGUUCAUCUAAUUUCGAGGAUCGAUUCAAAAACGAGGAAAAAUUCGUGCCUAAAGCUGAGCUUAUUUUAAUUAAUUUUUCUUCAGAUUUAUUUAAUUUAUUUUAUUUUAUUUUCAGCUUUUACUUUUUACGCAUUUUGUUUAUUUAUUUCAGGUUCCUGGUUUUCGAUUUUAUCCUCCCCCUAACUUCUUGGGCACGACAACUGCCCCGACAUAAAUCUGGUCAAGAGAGCAACAAUUUGCAGUAAACCCAGUCUCUGAGGGAUCUACCCUACUCCCUGUACUGCUUAAAUUUGCAAAAUUAGGUGUAGGUUUAUAUUGGUGGAUUCGACACCCAUCAGGGCAAACGAUGUACUCAAUUCUGUAAGAUGAUCCUUAAUUUGACAGGUAUUUGUAAGUGCAAUUGAAGCUAAAUGUCGAAAUAGAAGUUGACAUCUGAUAUUGAGCUCGAUUGGAUAGAUUCAUUGUUUGAGAUUGUGGUUGGCAGGAAAUGUUGAAUUUUUAUUUGUUUAUUAAUGUUGUUAGUGAAAUUUUGGUAAGAUUUUAUUAUGAGCCUAUGAACUUACUAAGCUUUCUGUAAGCUUACUUGUGUGUGUUUAUUGUUUCUUGUAGAUUGAUAUAUAUAUGUUCAGAGGAUCGGAUCUACAUCAACGAUCACACUAUCCCGAUUUACUCCGGUAGAUUUUGUUAAACAACUUUUUGAUUUAUAUGGCAUGUAUUGGGAGUUGGUCAGUUUGUGUGUAUUUUUAUGAUAUGGCUAAGAAGUAGCAAGUAAAUAUUCGAUAAUGAUUAACUAUUGAAUUGGCUAUAUAAGAAUGUGUUUUGGUAUUGUGUAUGCUUAAAUGAUAGUUAAAGCAAAGAAAUUAUAAAAGAGUAAAAAUUAUAAAGAAAUUAUAAAAGAAAUUGAGUGUAUUUUCAAUAGAAACAAACGAGAAUGUUAUCCGAAUUCUGUACAAUGAGAUAAUUAAUUUUUAGUGAAUAGGGGUCAGAGUUGUCAAAUAGUGAAACAGAGGAGAGUUUAAAGAAUAAACUGUACUAAUUGGCUAAACCAAAAAUUCUGAAAAUUUUAUGGUAAGAAGAUAUAUGAGUCUAGUUUCAGGGAAAAUUUACGGAUCUAAAUUUUGAGUUUCGUAACUUGAGUUAUAAUUAAUUAGUGACUGUUGCGCAGGUGGACAGUUUUAUUGUGAAUUUGUUUUAGUAUUUGAAAAGUAAUUAAUGUUCCCGGUUUGGACUUGAACUGUUUCUAUUGCAUGAUUUAGGGUCUCGAGAUUCUUUUUUAGGGACAUAUUGAAUGAACGUGAGUGAAUUAAUUUUUAAAAGCAAAUUUUUAUGCUCUAAACUAGUAAGUUAAGUUAGGUAAUGCCUCGUGCUCGACUCCGGUAACGGUCUCGGGUAAGGGGUGUUACACUAUGUAUGUAUUAUAUUUGAUAAUUCUUUAAUACCUUAAGGGUCAAGAUCGUAUCACCAGCUCAGAUACCCUAAGGUACAAGCAUAUUCUGGUGUGGUUGGUGAGGUCGAUGCAUUUAUGCUCGAUUAGCACUUCAGUACGUCUACUUCUUUUUCCUCCUCUUCUCCAUCAUGAAAUCAAUUUAAUUUUUCAGAAAAUUUUUGGAUCAAUUUUUGGAUUCCAAUCGAUAUCAUCAAUAUACAUAUCAGCUGCAUAACUUGGCAACUUAUCCUUGUAAGGAAAAUCAUGAUAAUUUUCCCAGAACCUCUGUUUAGGUUCCUAAAAAGCUUUUAAAUUAGUCGAAUCAUCUCAUUCGAAUACUUUAUAAGCUUUAUACAAAGUAUUCUUCGCAUCAAUAAAUAUUUUCCAUGACAUUGCACCCACUUUCAUGCAAAAAUUUUAAAACGAAUAAAUCAAUUAAGAUUUUAAUUAUUAAACCCAUUAGACCAUAAGCUAUUUACAAACCCAAACCCAAAGUAAAACAUUAAAUCCAAAUUCCCAUUAAAACUCGUUAUUCUUACAAAAUUAUAGCCUAUUAAAACUUUAAAAUCCAAUACCUUUUCUAAGUCAUGCUAUUCCAUAAGUGCAGAGGUAACCCAUGAACUUCAAGCCAAGUUGCCCUCCGCUCAGGAAGGAAAUCAACUAACCUACAUCAUCUGAUUAAAAACACAAUAACUCCACAACAUCUGAUUGAAAGCACAAGUUAAUUGGAUUACCAAUAAUCAAUAUCAAUAACUUACAUAAAAGAAUAGAGAUUAAAUAUAAGAUGAAAUCAACCAAGCCAAGCUGGCAAUGUCUAAGCCAAAAUAUUCAUUUACCUCAUUUCAAUCCUACAAUAGUCAAGAUUUGACUAAACUUUGCAACCUAUACAAGUCUUUUUGGGAUUUUGACAAAAUAUAAAUAAAAGCCCCAAGAAGAUACUUAAAACAUUCACUCAUCCAUGGCAACUGACUGAAAGAAUUGGGGUUGUCAUCUAGGUCAUAAUCAAAUACAAGGUCAAUACCGAAUUCUAGCACAGAUAAAUCUGAAAGAACCCGAAGAGUAAUACGAUCACCUGCUUCUAGUUCACCACCCCUAAAGUCCCAACAAGUAAACCAGUAUAAGGUAUUCUUGGUUCCAAGAAUUCCUGUGAAAUGUUUGGAGUAGGUCCACUUUGUACCUUUGGUCUCGUUCACAAUUUCAAGGAAUGGUAAAAAUUCAUUUGUAUUAUCAUUCUUGGCAGAAAAAAUGAUAAUCGAAUUUAAGAAGCAACUAAUCUUUCGACUAAAGUUUGGGGGCACUGAUAAUGAAACCUCAGUCUUGCCAGCUUGAUUGCCAAAGUAGUGGCCAUAGUAAUCAAAUGGCAUUGGAUCAAAUGCUGUAAUUAUGCCAUAAUCGUAUAGUACCUGUAGCAUUGGAUUAAGGAAUUAGUUAUUAAAAAUAUAUAGUAUAUAAAUAAAUUUUGAAACUUGGAACUCGUAAGGAACCUUUGGGGAAGAAACCACUUUUGAUUCUUCUAUAUAACUGCAAAGUUGCACUUUAACAUUUCCAUAAGAUUCCAAACUGAGUAAGUUUUUAGUUAGGUCCAUCUUGAUAUUUCUUGGGGCAACCUCAUCUCCUAAAAUGUGUACAAUAAUGUGUUAUUUAUCAAUUUUAAUGAUCAUCAACAUAAUAUGCCUAUUAUAAUACCAAAGUAUUGGUUUUGACAUGAAAAAAAACGUUGAUUAAAGUUUUUAUCAGACACCCAUAUAAUACGGGUUCAAACUGUGUAUGAAAAAAAAUAUCAAACAACUAAUUUUAUGCAUUAUGACUAAAAUAUGUUAUAAGACUUGUUAGAAAUAACCAAUUAUACACUUUUUUGAAAAAAAAUCAAUUAUAUCUGUAUCUUUUAUUUUUAUAUAAAAUAUCAACUUUAAAAAUACCACUUUUAACUUCAUCCAUUAUUUUAGUUUCCACUUAGGUGAUAGAUUAAUCAUCUAUCAAACAAUUAUUUAUUUUGAUUAGACCUCAAUUGCAACAUAAUUUUAUAAUUAUUAUUUUAUUAUUAAGCUAAAUUUUUCUCAGAAUCUAUUAAAUGAUCAGAUUUCUUAAGUAAUAUUUUUAUUGUAUUGGAAAGUCUUUUAGAGAAACAUAUAUCAAUUUUUGAAUUUUUUUAUUGACAUCUAAAAGGAAACAUAUGUUCAAACAAUCUAAAGGGGGCAUUAAAAUAAAUAUAAUAGGAUGUAUUAACUAAAAUACAAUCUUACCAUUGAAAACACAAUUAGAUAUUCAUAUAAUUCAUUGUUUCAAUAAGGAUUUAUCUUUUUAGCCAUGUGUUUUACUCAUUAAUGUUAAUAGUGCAUUGGGUAAUAUGCCAUAAACAUAAUUAUUUGAAAUCUACUCAUACCUGGAGAUAAAUAUGAAAAACCAUAUUCAUAUCUAAUGUUGUGUUCGGAUUCAUAAGUAACGCCAAAUUUUCUUAUGCGGAGAUGAAUAGGCACUAUCAUGCAACUCACAAGGUCACCACCUUCAAACUGACAAUCCGUUACUGGCCAAUGGAUCAACCACAACAUUGUGUUAUCGUUAGUCUUAGGAAUUCCAAUGAAACUGGAGCAAUAUCUCCCCGUGGUCCUUUUGGUCUCAUUGAAAAUGUAGACACUUGGUGGAAGGUCCAAUAUUUGAUCACUAUCUAAAGAAAAAACAAUGCAUAAGCUGAACCAACGAAUCUUUUCAUCUGGAUGAGAUGGUGUUGGCAAAAGAAAAGAGAUUCGAUGCUCGUUAGUGCGAUGCUUAUACCCAAUCGGAACUUCACUUCCUAAAAUUAAUGUGCUUGUUAUACCACAUUCCUGCAAGACCUGAUAGAAAAGAAAACUGUUAGAUGAUUACGAAUGUGUUGAUUAAGUAAUAUAAGACAAAAAGAAAAAGAUUUAAAAUUUAAGUUGGAGAACUAUUGGACCUGUGGGGUAGCAAGCAUUAUGUUGUCCGUUAGGCAAUUAUAAAGUUGCACUCGAUUUUUGUUGACGGAAUUCACGUUGAAUAAUCUUCUAAUCUCUUCCGCAUCAAAGUUUUCAAUUGGCUCCAACUUGAAUAUAUCUUGAACCUCGGUCAAUUUUUCACAUCCAAAAAUAACACAUCGUUUGGAAGAAAAGAAGCAUGGAAGAAUUGACCUAAAGCUUUUUACUGCAGAUACUGUCGAGAACCCAGAAACAUUGGGCAAGAAUGGAAGCUUUGGAAUCAUCUGGAGUUCAGUGCAAGAAGUCAGUACAAGUUCAUCAAGUUUUGUAAGUUCUUUUAAGCUUUCGGCUAAGUAAUGAAUUGGGUUUCUACUUAAAUUUAAGGAUUUCAAGGAGGCCAAGUUACAAAGAUCAUUGGGAAUGACAUCAUCAGAUAGUUUGCAACUUUCAAGGCUUAACUUUACCAAAGAGCCCGGUAGAGAUGCCCAAGAGAAACCCAAUCCUUUGCUUCUUUUCAGUAAGAGCCACUGCAACCCCAAUCUUGAUUGAUAUAUGGCAGUUUCAUCUAAAUUAAGCACCUUCAAUGAUUCCAUAUUAUGCAACUCCCUAGGAACAUCAUCAAGUCUUGAACAACCAGAUAAGAUAAGCUCUUCAAGUGAUAUUAAUGAACCAAUUGUCCUUGGAAGUUUCCUAAGACUUGUGCAAUCUUUAAGGUUCAAGAAAGUAAGCAUCUUUAGCUCACCAAUGGAUUGAUCAACUUCCACCAAAUUUAUGCAAUCUUUGAGCAUCAACUUCUCAAGGCUAGGGAGUCCUGAAAAGCUUGGGGUUUUAAGAAGGCUAUGUGAAUGGUUGAGAUUAAGGAUCUUUAAAUUUGGGAGGCACUGCACAAAAAGAAAACCCUUCAUUUAUAUUUUAUUGUUUCACACACACACAAAAAGAAGGAAAAUUAGUAUAUAUCAUACCUCUGUAUCCUUCCAAACUUGUUUAAGUUUACUGUUGCGCAUGUCGAGAACAACUAGUUCAUUGAUAUCAAAAUCCACCGGAAAAGAUUGCAUCCAAAACCCAUGCCAACGUAACCAUCUUAAUCUUUUGGGAAAGUCUUUGAAGUCUCCUUUAAGUCUUACAUAAUCCAGUUGAAGCAGUUUAAGUCUCUUCAUCUUUGCAAAUGCUUGAGUUUCCAUAUCAACAUCAUUUGCCAUCAGAAACUGACUUUUGGAAUGCUUUGGAAAAUGUAGAGUUGUAUUUGUCCUUUUAGCCUUGUCUUCUAGCAAUCCUUUUAGGUUAAUUGUGAGGCACUUAACUGUUCUGGAACCCUGCAUCAGAAAAACUUUUUUAAAAAAUAAAAAGAAAUUUGAUAAUAAUAAUAAAAAAGGUAGUUUACAUGCACACAAGAAAAAAGUUGAGUAAAAUGAUGUUUCUUACAAUUUUUUCUCUUAUUACAUCAAACGAGUUCUUAUGCCACAAUCUGCUUCGUUUCCCAAUAUCAGAAGAUUCUUGACGAAUAAUUUCUUGUCCCAUAUCUCUAAUCAUUUGGUGCAUCAUUAGCUUGUUUCUUUCAUUAAUGAUUAAGAGAGACCUGCCCACUAGAUUUUCAAUUCCAAUUGUUGUAUAGUAAUCACAACCAUCUAGAAUUGUAGUCGUGUAAUCUCUAUCCUUCCCAAUGAAUAAACAAACUAUGUCAAGGAAUAAAUUUUUGUCAUGAUCGUCUUCCAAAGAAUCAUAGCUUAUUCUUAGAAUCUUUUGAAUUUUGCUGUCAGGGAUUUCUUCCAAUUUCUCCAAUGCACUUUUCCAAGAACUCACACUUUUGGUAGAUAAUGAAGAGCCCAAAACUUGAAGAGCUAACGGAAGCCCACCACAGUGUUUCACUAAACUUCUUUCAUAUGCCACUGAACUUUCAGGCACAGAGUUAUGACCAAAAGCAUACCAAUUAAAAAGUUGUAGCGAUUCACUUGAAGCUAAUUCUUUUACUUCAAAUAGUUUGCUUAAGCCUCCACAGCUAGUUGAUGCUUCCGAAUCAAACAUUUGGCUUAUAAAAUGUGCAUUCAAUAGGCAUCGGUUUCUACUAGUUAUAACGAUUUUACUUCCCGGAUGAAAAGGAAUUUGAGUUCCCAUUAAUUUUCUUAUUUUUUCCAAUUCAUCAACAUCAUCAAGAACGAGAAGAACUCUUCUACAACAUACAACUUCUUUGAUCUUGUUAAUUCCAUUAUCUAUAUUGUAUAUUUUAUGUGAUUUUCCUUUAAGAAUAUCUGAAAUAAGUUGCCUUUGCAAACGGACUAAACCAUUGCAAUCUUGACUUGUUUCUCUAACAUCAGCAAGGAAACUAUAACCUUCAAACCUCAGGAUGUUUUGAUUGUAAACAACUUUGGCAAUGGUUGUCUUCCCAAUGCCUCCAAUGCCACAAAUAGUUGCAAUGCCAACUUUAUUUGCCCCAUCUUGUUCUAACCAUUGAUUAAUUUGUGUCACGAGAGAAUCUAUUCCAACUAAAUAAGGAGGGACAUACAAAGAAAUAAGAUGAAGUUUAUUUUGAACUUCUUUAACAAUAUCUUGGAUGAAUUGUGAUUCAUGCCUGCAAAUUUAAAAAAUACAACUCAAUAGUAAAAUCUUGGAAAUUAAGUAAAAGUUACUAAUGUAUUUUCUCUUUUCUUGCAUAUAUUUUGAUUGUUUUUAUGAGAUUAUAUGUUCAAGUAAAAAUAAGAAACUAAUGCAACAUUUCAACAUAUAUGAUAGAAUUAUUACAUUCAAAAUCAAAUCAAAUCAAAUAAAGCAACAUAAAAAUUAAUGAAAUUCAUUCAAGAAACAACCUAUACUCAAAAUUUCAACUUUCUCUUUGUGAAAGUUUAAUAAAUUCAUGUUAUUUACAUGAAUUUAUAUAUUUAUUUUUAUUUAUUGUAAUAUUUUAAAUAUGUGUAGACCUAUUACACGAAUAACUUGGAUAUAAUUAUUGCAAAUAUACUACCGCAAAAUAGAAUUGUUAAGGAGACCAAACUGAAUGUAAAUAAAAUAAGAAUCAUUGUGUCGUGGAAGAACCACUGCAAUAUUAGAGGCAAAUUCGCCCUGAUCAGUGUAAUCGUAUAGUGGAUGUUACCCCCCAACACAAUACUCCAAUAUUCGUAAACCCAAUAAAGAAGAUGGAACACGAUUGACAAUACUCCAAACAGUCCUGCUUAAAACCUAAUCUUUUAGACAGAAUUUCUCUCUCGUGUAAUUUUGUAGAACACUAGAAUUUAGAGAACAUAGAGAAGUUGUUUUUCUCUUGUUGUGUUAGGUGGGAGAAUGACCUCCUAUUUAUACUAUUUUUUGAUGAGCAAAAUGGUAAAAUAACAGAUUUAGUUUCCAAAAAUACCAAAGGAUUUUCCUAACUGAAAAUAUUCUAAAAAUAUUUUCUGCAACAGUCAGAGGAUUUUCUGCAAUUCAAAAUAUUCUUUUGCAUUACCAACAAUGACAUCUUAGAAAACCACAAAUAGUGUCAUUAAAUUAAAGAGGCUAUUUCUUUUUAUUUUUAACUCGUCAAAUCCAAGUUGUUCAUGUGAUAGGAGCAAACGUAUUUAAAAUUUGAUCUAUGUGUUUUAAAAACAUUCCACAUCAGAUUCGAGCAUGCUUAAGCUGAUGACUUGUUUGAUAGAAAGACCUUAUUGAUACAAAACUAAUAUUUUAAUGACUCAAUUAAAACAUGUUAAUGUUUGAGAAAUAAUUUAAAAUCUGAGUUAUAAUUAACCCUUUAAAAUGGAUUAAAGUAACCAUUUUAAUUUCCAAACGCUACCUAACAAUAUUUUCUAUUAAUUUUCUUUCUACUCUAUCUAUCAAGUCUUAAUGAAAAAGAUUGAAGUAACCAUAUGGAACUUGAUUAUGUGUAUAACGUACCUGUCGUGUAGAACCAUGCCUCCUAUAUCCGCAACUUCUUUUAAAGCAUUCCUCCAUCUUUGUACCAUGUUGGUUUCGGACUUGAAGUUUUGUUCAUGUUGGGUAAAUGCUUCUGCAUAACUUCCCGUCUGGUUCUUGACUUGACUGGGAUCCACAUCAUAGAAAACUGGCAACACACUAUGUUUAGAGGAUUUCUUGUGCUCCAAUAUCAUUACAAGUUCGUUAAGACACCAUGUGGAUGCAGCAUAAUUCUUUGAGAAAACAACGAUAGAAAUUUUGGAGUGGUGUAGUAUUGCUUUUUCAAUUUCAUCUUUUAUGUUAUUCCCUCUCUCGAUUUCCUCAUCAUCUCUAAAUGUUUGAAUUCCUAAGUGCACCAAAGCUGUGUAAAGAUGAUCCGUGAAACUUUUACGCGUAUCUUCACCUCUAAAACUCAAGAAUACAUGAUAACUACAUCGCGAGAUUUCUGACACUGUCAUUGAAGAAGAAAAUGAAGUUGUCCUGUAUUUUUAUGUAAUAACAAGGUUCCAGCAUAUAUAUAUAUAUAUAUACAUAUACGGAUGGAAAAGCAGAUAUUAGUAGCUGUCAAGUGGCAGUUCAUGGUGGGUCAAUCCUUCCACCGAAGAAAUUCAUGUCGACCAUGUUCCAAUCGCUUUUCAUUUCGGAGUCAUGCUUACGGUCCAUUUGGUGCUCAACAUUUUUAUUAAAAAUAUUAUUUGAAUAGAGUUUUUCAACAGAGGUAAAAGUUGUACACUAUAAAAAAUAUAUAUUAUCAGACCUUAAACAAUGAUUUGUCGGCCUUAAAUUAGCAAUUAAAGAGGAUGGGAUAAGGGUAAGGUUGAGUAAUUGAUCCAAAAUUUCAUGCUGAGGGCAACUAGCACAAAAUUGUUUAAAUAUUUUCCAAUACUCAUUAAGGAUCUUCAUAUCCUUUUUGUGGUAUGCCAUAGAUUUCUUUCCUAAUUGAAGCACCAAGUGAAGAAAAAGAAAAUUCAACGAAUAUUCUUACCAUAUCUAUUUCAAAAUUUUAAUAUAAUUAAUGAAAAACAAUUUAUAUAUAUGAAUCAUCAAAUUUGACGUGCUUAGAGAAUCUCAUGUGAUAGCUUGAUGAUUAAGGUUGUUCAUCACCCUAAAUGUGGCCUAGAUUUGAAUCGCGCUACUUACAUUUGUUAUUCGAGCAUUACUUAUUAUUGUAAUUCAAAAAAAAUUUAACGUGCUUAAAUAAAUAUUGAAUUUUGUCACAUUUAAUAUAGAGGACAUGAGAGGAGGAGAAUAAUUCCCAAGUACUUGGUGUGGAAAAUAGUGGUACUAGAAAACGCGUUUCAAUUACUUUUCAUUUUGGAGUUUCCAAGACUUGAGACCAUUAGCAAUUAAAGAGGGGCUUCAACAAAAUUCUGGCCCCAACUGUUUCACCUAACAUAAUAAAUUCGUGGGCUAACCAAUUUCAGUGCAAUAAAAGCAGUGAAGAGGAUGGGAUAAGGUUAAGGUUUAAAUUGUUGGUAAUGCAAAGUGGAAUCCCUCGUUACAGCCUUCAAAUUUUUUGGUUCACAAUAUUUUAGGAAGAACUCGAUUCAAAUAAUAUUUUUCGUAAUUAUUUUUCUCAAUAAUAUUAUCUUUAAAAUUUAGAUCUAUAUUUUUCUUAAAAGUAUAAUAUGUUUUACCAUUAUAUUUAACACUUACUAAUUAUUCAAAUAAUAAUAUUAACAAAAAGGUUGAGCACCAAAUGGUUGAUAAGUACUAACAAGCUCAUGGUCUAAAGUCUAGAUCGAGUAGCACUAUUAUCCAAAACAUAGUGAAACAAAUUAAUUCUGUCUCCGACGUUUGUUAUAGAGAACUCUACAACCUAGUGCUACUAAUUAUCAAUUUUAUUGUUGUGACUCCAUAACUAAAAUUUAGCUGACCCCUUCAUUCAAGAGUGUAAUUAUUCGAAUAGGAUCAUGUCUCUUUAUGCUGGAACACUAAUUCAUUUUAUUACAUGAAUUUGUUCAUAAAAAUUCUCUUAAAAUAUCAAACAAAUAUCAGUUGGGUGUUCUGAUUUAAAUAUUUAGUUUUUAAGAGAAUAUAUUCUUACCUCAUUAUGCCUUCUCGAAGAUUUAUGUCAAAUCCAAACUGAUGUGAGUUGGUAGCCAUAUAUUUUUAUUUUUAAGGAUUUUAGUCCCUCUAUUUUUUUGAGAUUUCAAAACUCAAAUCCAAUUGUUAACACUGUUAAUUUUUUUUGUUAAAUUCAAGUUAAUUACAACAUCAUUUUUGUAAUUACGUGGUUACCAAAUAAGUUUUUUUUUAAUUUCAAAAUGCCACCCUAACACAUUUAACAAAAAAAUUUAAAAUGUUAACCAUCGGAAAGUAAAGAGACUAAAUUUCUGGAAAUAAAAGUACGUAUUCUAAACUCCAAAAUUUUUAAAAGUACAAUAACUUAUGGCAUAUUUUAACCUUUUAACUUCUGGGUCGAGCUACUCAUCCAAUCCCCGCUCGAGAUUUGGGAGGAUUUAGACAAAAUUAUCAAGCUCAAAAAAUGGACUUGGACAAAAAGUUAGUCCAAUUUAAAAUACGAGUCGGGCUCGGGCAUAAAAAUUCAAGGCCUGAGCCAUUUACUAAUUUUCUAAUAUAUUAUAUUAUGUUAUUUUUAUAAAUUAUAUAAUUUAUUUCAAAAAAUAAAUCUAUAGUAAUACAUAUGAUACUAUAAUGUAAACAUUAAAAAAUGUUAAGAUGUCUAUAUAAAAUGUUAAGAAAUUUGGGAAAAAAAUUCAAUUCAAUCAGGCUCAAAACAAUUUGUGGGUCAAUUAAUUUAACAUCUCUAUUCAAAUCGACAAUGGCGAAACCUAAUAGAGGCCCAGGGGGCCAUGGCACCCCCAAGGAUUAAAAUUUUUGCAAUUUAGCUCUUUGUAGAUAUACUAUGGCCCUCCCAAACAUAUAAGUAGCCCCCAAGGUUUAAGAUUUUUGCAAUUUUCCAAAAAUAUUGUUUCUUUUGGAUCUAUUAUCAUGUUGGAAUAGUGCUUCUUUUGAGUCAAUUCUUUACAUGUUUAAAUCGAUUGUCAAGUUGGAACACUACGUCUUUUGAAUAAAUUGUGUAUAUGAUUAAAUUGAUUGUUAUGUUGGAAUACUGCUUCUUUUUAAUUGAUUGUGUAUAUGAUUAAAUCGAUUAUUAUGUUGGAAUAUUACUUCUUUUGAAUCGAUUAUUUAUAUGUUUAAAUCGAUUGUUACAUAACACAUCUAAUUAAUUUGUUCUUUGCUUCUUUGAUUGUUGCGUAGCAUUUCCUUUUAUUCUUUAUUUCUUUAAUUGUUGGUUGUUUUAAAUCGCUUCUUUUCCUAAAAUGAUAAGGGACCAAAUGAAUAUCAGCAAAGAAUUUAUGUUGGAGUUUGAAUCGAUUCUUCGCUUAUUUCAAUUGAUUGUUUGUUGUUUUGAAUUAAUUCAUUAUUGUUUAAAUUGAUUCAAACUCUUACAUAAAUUCACUGUUGAUAUUCAUUUGGUCCCUUAUCAAUAUUGACUUACACAGGUGUAUGUAAGUUCUUUUUCCCUCAAACCUCCUGUUGUACGUGUGAAGCAAGAAAAGGUAUAUUUACGGUUGUUCUUACUCUAGAAGAGAAAUGAUUCCUCAUACUUUAUACAGUGUAUUUACAUAUUUGCCCUCAACCGAAUAUUGAGGGAAUCUCCCUUCACGUUUGACACGUUCGAUAGAAAGUUUAAGGGAAAACAACUAAUUUACACCGGUGUAUAUAAGUAUUGAUAACUCAUUGAUACCAAAUGUUUAGAUCAAAUCGAGAAAUCAUUAUAUAUUAUUUUCCUAUACUAUGUGUUAUGUUUAUUAAUAAAACAUGUUUUUAAUUUAAAUGAUAUACUAAAAACUGCUCAUCCACACAAUCAUUGAUAUGUUGAUUUAGGAUCCAAACUUGAAUCAUAUAUUCUUACGUAGUGAAACUAAAAAGGGCCUCGUCGCCAUUCUCCAUCUAUUCCUAUAUAUUCAUCUGUUCGGAAGAAACCGAACUUAACAAAACACCAUGAAAGCAUAAUCGAUAUUUUUUCACUUUUAAGAAAUAUAAGUUGUUAAUAAUAUCAAACCCAAUAAUACAGUAUAUCAACAAUCAAACCAAAUCAACGACCAUAACACAACCAAAAAAAAUAAAAUCAAUUCAUUAGGAAGGGUCUUCCACCUCAUUAUCUGCAUGAUUUUCAUAUGAAUCCAGUUGCAAAGUAACGGUGUUUAACACUUUGAAUCGGUUCAUUAUUGUUUGAACCGAUUCAAACUCCAGCAUAAAUUUAUUGUUUAUAUUCAUUUGGUCCUUUAUCAAUACUUGCACAACAUUUGUCCCUUAUCAAUACUUGCAAAAAAAUAACUUGUGAGUACUGCUUUUUUCGAAUAGAUUGUUUAUAUGUUUAAAUUGAUUGUCAUGUUGGAAUAUUGCUUCUUUUGAAUCGAUUGUUUAUAUGUUUAAAUCGAUUGUUAUGUUGGAAUACUGUUGCUUUUGAAUCAACUGAUUAUAUGUUCAAAUUGAUUGUUAUGUUGGAAUACUGCUUCUUUUGAAUCGAUUGUUUAUAUGCUUAGAUCAAUUGUUACGUAGCACGUCUAAUUUUAGCUUGGCCCCCAAGAUUAACAUCCUGGCUCCGCCACUACGGAUCGAUAUAUUAGUCAAUUCUUGAUUCAAUUGAUCGACUAAUCCUAUUUAAUCCGAUUUAAAUAACUAUCUCACAUAUAUACAUAUUUCUAAAAUAAUAUGUUAGUAUAAAAAUAUUUAAUCAAUUUGAGUUAUGAAAUUGUGGUCUAACAAUAGUUUUGGGUGUCUUAUAAACUCAAAAUUUUCAAAUUAUGCUGGUGUCCAUUUGUGCUUUAUGGUACAAGUUCUUUUUGGAGUUAUACCAUAUAUUAUAUAAUUUAAAAUAUUCUUAAAAAAUAGAUUGAAGUAAAUUAAGCCUAAAACUUAAAUGUUUAAGUCAAAGCUUAAUUGAUAGUUUAAAUGAGAUUAUUCUUUUUUUUUAACUCAUUUUUUUAAUUUUAUCAGACCGCCUCUAAAAAAUAAAUAAAAGAUUGUUGUUAGUCUUUUCCUAUAUAUGAGCAACAAUCUUUGGGCAGAGUAUAAAAAAUAGUUUUUGUAUUUUUUUUUUACGAAAUUAAGGUAUCUGAUUUUGCAGUAGACCUGUCCCGGGCUCGGAAAAAAUUUUCGGCCCGGCCCGACCAAAAAUAUGGGCCUAAAAUUUUGCCCAGGCCAGGCCUAGGAAAAAUAUCAUAAGCCCGAGCCCGGCCCGGCCCAUUUUUUAAUAAACAUUAAAAAAUUGUUUUAAAAAUAAAAAAAUAAAAAUAAAAAUAUUUUAAAAGUAUUUUAAAAUUAAAAAAUAAAAAUAAAAAAAUAUAUAUUUAUUAUAUUCGAGCCGGGCCCGGGCCAAAAAAGUGAUGCCCGAGGCCCGGCCCCUUUUUUAAACGGGCCUCGUUUUUUUGCCCAAGCCCAUAUUUCGGGCCUAUAUUUUUACCCGAACCCUCCCAUAAGCCCAACGGCCUGCCCGGCCCAUGGACAGGUCUAUUUUGCAGUGGUAACUAAUCUUUUCAUCGCGACUACUAUUCAAAAGAUAAUAUGUAAAAAAUAAAAUUCAAUAAAAUGGUAAUACAUAAUUUACUUGUAAUUACGGUACGUUUAGUUCGUUAGAAUGAAAUAAAAUUAUAAUAGAAUAACAUUUUUUAGGAAUGAAAUAGAAUUGUAAUUGAAUGGAAUAAAUAUGAUAAUUUGGUUGGGUAGAAUAUUUUUGUAUCUUGAUUUAAAAAAAUGAUAGUAAAAAUCAUCUAAAAAAAAGAUGAAAUUCAAAGUACAACACCAAGUCUUCAUCAAGCAGUGUACAUGUCCAAAUUACUAUAUUGAUUAAUAAUAAUAUUAAUAUUGAUUGAACUCCUUUUUUAAAUGGCUUAUGAGUAAAACUUUUUUAUUAGUUUGAAGAGUUGUGAGUUUAAUACCCUCUGAAUUAAUUCUUUAAUCAAUUUUCAAUUCAACCAAUUUAUCAGUCGAUCUAAUUCGGUUCAGACAACCCUAAUUAUAUGAAUUUCAAGCUGUUGAAGUUACAACUGAUAUUAAAAUAAAUCGGAACCUUCUCGGUCUCACCAAACUUACUCUAAACCAAGAGCAUAAAAAAUAAAAUAAAAAAAAUCCUCCUCUAAACCAUGCAGUGUCAGCAAUCAUAAGAUCUGUUAGUGAACCAUUGAGUAGAAACUAUAGAUGACAACAAGUGGGAACCCUCACCUUGUCAGAGAUCAUGAGAAGUAUUGAACUCUUAUAAUUAGAAUAAUCAAGUUCCACUGAAAAUAACGAUAUAAAAACGCAUACCAUGAACAUACAGUUCAUAAUAUUCUUUGAAGUUUUAGACUCUUGACAAUAACCAGAAAAGUCAAACACAAACACAGUACGUAUCUUCAGUUCAUAAACAUCCCAAUAAACCAUUGGGAUUCAAACACAAAACCAUCACACAAACACAUAUUGUCUGUAUCUUCAGUUCAUAAACAUCCCAAUAAACCAUUGACAUUCAAACACAACCAUCACACAAAUGCAUACUGACAAUAUCUUCAGUUCAUAAACAUCCCAAUAAACCAUUGAGACUGUAUUUCAAAGAAGCAAAUUACUCAACCCGUGGCUUUUUCUGCAACCUGGCUAGCUUCAGUUGGUUUUCUUUUAACUCAGCUUCGUCCUGAUCCAGCUUCAGUUUCUUCUCUUUUAAGUCAGCUUCGUCCUGAUCCAGCUUCAGUUUCUUCUCUUUUAAGUCAGCUUCAUCCUUCUCCAGCUUCAGUUUGUCUUUUCUAACAUUAGCUUUCCUCUUCUCAAAUCUCUUCUCCUCUGCUUGAUACUCCAUUUCACGAGCCUGCAUCAACUUAUUCAUGAUGUCUUGCACCAUUGCCUCCAUAGUUGUGAUGACUUUUAGCUCAAGUAUCUCUGGGUUACUUUCUAUUUUAUGGUAAACUUCAGCUAGUGAGUUCAUAAUGAUCCUUUGAACAUCUCCAUGACUACAUAAAAAAAUUUGUUAUCAGUAUAAGGGUGCUUUUGAAAUGUCGGUGAGCACUUGAGUUCAUAAAUAUUGUAUACCCCUGGACAGUUGACAGCUUCAUAUCGUCUUGAUUUGCUCUGACAUCACCGCUGCCUUCAGUCAGAUCAUUGUAUAUCUUGUCGUCUAGAAAACAAAGUAAUUAAAGUAGGAAACAUAAAAGAUAUUAAUAUUUACAACUGACAAGUAAAAAGCUGAGGAUUUUAUAAGAUCAUUUAUCAACUUGCAGCAAUUACCUGACAGAAGAAAGUCUUCAACAUCAAAAAACUGAAGUGACAGAAGAACCUGUAGAAAAAGAGAAUCAGAUCUGAUCCAAAAAUAAGCAAUUUGAAUUUAAAAAAUAUAUACAGGCCAAAACUUACUGGAUCAACAUUAAGCCCCUUUUCUAGUGAGUCUACUUCAUGAUAACCCUGCAAAUAAGGAGAGAAGUACACAACAUAAUGCGUCUUUUCCGACUCAGGACUUUUGUGUGUGUUUGACUAAUAUUUCUAUGAUUGCGGUUAUCUGGAUUUGAUUCCAAUUCAUUGAAAUCAUCCAUGUAUUCCUUGAAUGAACGUACAAUCUAAGAACCAUAAGAAAAAGGACAUAAAAGGAUCAUAAGACAUAAAAAUCCGAAUAUUUAAACUACAAAUAUUUCUGUCUGCUAACUAAUGUUCAGGUAGAACAAUCUGAGUUCAACAAUUGCUUACAAAGAAAGUAACAAACAUUUCUGGCCAAUAUAUAUAUGUGUAACCCAGAGAAUUAAUAAAAAGAAGUGAUAUUUUUGGUUGUAUCACCUUAUAGUUUGCAAAAGAUGAAAUAAACUGCCCGUCAAAGAAAUUAAAGGGAUGACAAGUUGUACUUAUAUGACAGUAGGAAUGGCUGAGAAGGGUUAAAAUUUUCAUUGGUUAAGAGAGAAUCUAUUAUUACAACAGAGGAUUAAACUUGAUUUUUGCAUCAUUUAUUGAAAGGAUUGAAUAGAAAACUAGUCGACAAUACAUGAUUGCCUAUUCAAGUCAUAAUUUGCUCAACAAAAAUCAAAAUUCGGGUCUAAGUGAAAAAAAAGAACAGAACAGAACAUGAGAGCCAAAAGACAAGUUAUUCUGUGUACACCUCCAGAAGACUGUGAUAUGGAAAUCAACGCCAAUUUCAAUCACCAUUGGCUAGGACUGCUGAUCUUAAACCUCGACAACAAGUAAACCUCUUUACUGUCGGGUUGGUAGAGGAACUUAGAAUUGAUAUUGAGAUGCAACAACCGGAAAACCUUGGAGUUGCAAUGAAUAUGGCUCAAACAUUGGAACGUAAACAAAAUGUCUUUUUCUAAACUGUCAUCUCCAGCUAUCCUGAACUGGCUAACUUCCCAAAACACUGGCAGCAAUUCAAUCAUUCAAACAACUAAGAGCAUUGUAAAGAAAGGGGGACAAACAACAAAACCAACAGGGAACAACGGCAAAAUAGGUUCUUCUGCACCAUUUGUUAAGAGAUUGACACAGACAGAAAUGGUGGAAAGAAUGGCUAAGGGGUUGUGUUAUAAUUGUGACGAGUCCUAUUCCAUGGGACACAAAUGUAAAAGGUUAUUUUGGAUAGAAAUACCAGAUGUUGAAGGCAAGCAAGAUGAUGAUGAGGUAGAUGAUGAGCUUGAGGACAAGCUCAACUCCAAGGAGGGGAGUAAUGAUAUGGACGUUUUUAUUACAAUAGGAGUUUUAGUUUUAUUUAUUUAUUAUAUUAAGUUUUACCAAGAGUUUUAGUUUUACUUAUUUUCUCUAUUAUAUUAGGUUUUUAUUUCCUUCAUACACUCUAAGUUAGGAAUUCUAUUAGGACUCUUUCCUUUGUUAUUAACAGUCUAUAAAAGGUUGUCAAUUGAAAUAAAGAGAUAAGCAAUUAUUCUAUAAAAAAAGAAACCUUAUUCUGAGAGUGGGUUCAAUCAAGGACGAAUCUGCCUUUUGAGUAAGCAUAGGUCGAGGCAAGAAUUCUUUCUCAUCUAGACUUAUGAUUAGAUCCUACGCUAAGGCGCAUAUCAGACUGUUUCUAAAUAAACUUCCCACAUCAACUCUAAAAAUUUAAUAAUGCAAGAACAAAUUACCAAGAAAGAAAAGUCAUGCCGCUACUACUAAGUUACAGAGUCAUGUUUUCUACAAUAAUUUUCAUGAUAAAAGUAAAAUCUAAAGCUCCAUUGAUUAAAAUACUAAUGACAAAUUGGGUGCUUCUACUCAAAAUGUUUACCUGUAGAUUGAUGUGAAUCUUAGCACCACUGGUACAAUCAGGGGUUAGAGGAAAAUGGAAUAUUAAGUGUUCAUCUUCCAUUUGCACAAGAUCUUGAAUACUAACAGGAUUUGUAAGCUUUUGGUUCUUAAAAUCUUGUAGCAUUACUAAAAAAGAAGCCAAAACUUUGUUUACUAUUUUUGCCACUAUGCUAAAGACCUUAGCCUCUGAGAUUAAUUCCUCUGUUUGGUCCACAAUAGCCUCUCCCUGCAAUGCUUUUACUGAAAUAUAAAGAAAGCAGAUAACAAAUUUUAAUUUAAAUGAUCAAAUCAAGAUUAAUAUAUUUAUAUAUGUAAAAAGAGUUAUUAAAACAUGCCUAGGAUGUCUAUCUCUGGCAUUCCUUUAGCAGUCUCCAGAACAUCAACAACAAAUGGCAUUAAUCAACAUAAAAAUCGUACCUACGAGUGAGAUUAAGUGAGGAAGGUCCUUGCAAAUCUCAUCAGCACACUCUAUGUUCCGGACUGGAUUUGUUGACUGAUUCAAAAAUGAAUCAAGCUCUUGAAAUGCAUUUUCGAUGCUAAGACUGGAACUGGCAUUAUCGACAAUCCUGGGCUGCAUCAAAUUUCUCAAUCGUUGCAGUAAGAGUUGAGGGUCAUGAAGCCGAUUCAUCCCUUCCACUACUAUCUCUUUCUUUUCUUCCCAUUUCCUCUACAUUCAAAAAAGUUACUAAAAGCAAUUAGAAACAUAAAUGAACUUGCACCCUCAGUUUUUUAGCUCAAUAUUCUUUUGAGUAAAAACAAAACCACAAUAAUCUGAUACUUGUAGUAAAAAAUUGGACACACUUCUGCUAUUUGGAAAAAAAGAGUCAGAAAUUGCAGGAUUGACAUGUUACGUUGUAGUGGGAGUCGGAUUGACAUGGAUUAGUUUGCUCUUUUUUCUUUUUUUUUUUCAAAAUACAAAUUAUAAAAAGAGAGGAAAAGUCUCACAGCAGCUCGAUAUCUGUCAUCACCAUCCAAUAGCAUACGCAUCAAUUCUCCCACCAGCUCGUUACAGUCCUGCAUAUAUAUGGAGAGUAACUAUUAUUAAACAAACCCUAAACGAUAAAGAAUUGCAAGAAAGGAAAGAAAAUGAAUAGGUACCUUGAUUCUUUUACGGCUGAGCUUAUCUUUAUCUGAUUCCAAUUCAAUGAAAUUCCCCAUAUAUUCCUUGAACGAAGUACAAUCUGAGAAUCAAGCAAAAUGAUAUAAAAAGAUCUUAGAAUAUUCUGUAAGUUCAAAUUUUGCUUUAAAAGCAAAAUAUAUUUCUAAAAAAAGCAAAGUCAAACUCAAUUCUAUCCAGUAGACCAGAGAAAAAAAUAAACGAAACUGGAUUAUAUUCCAGCAAAGAGAGAAGAGAAAUGAAGCUUAAUAUUGCUUACGAUUGCAGAGUAGAGACUUGUUAUGCCGUCGCAGAAAUCUUUUAUCACUUUUUUCUCAAAACUUUUAUUUCUGAUGCAUUCGCACGAUCGUGCGAAUUUCGCUUUUCUGAACUAUUCGAAAAAAUAUUAAAAAGAAAUUGAUUCAAUCCCAAAUUUUGAAAAAGUAGUCUAUUUUCCAUAUGUGUGUUCACAAUAAUCUGCAUUUACUGUUGAAGUUAUCAAUAAUUCUCGUUUAUCCUGUUUGAGAAAAAUUAAGUUGAUACGUUUGCAGGGGUAUUGCCAAGGGUGCGUUAGCAAAUGUCAGCUAAAAAAUUAAAUUACUCAACUUUCAAUAAAAAAAAUUCCUCUAAACUAUAAAAAGUUAUAUUUUAAUCACUAAUAUUUUUUUAGUGAAAAAUAAUAAAUAGAAAUACAAUGUAUCAACUAUUGAGCCUCUAAAGGUUUUGUCUUGUUGGAUAGCUGUAACCACUAAAUCAGAAGGUACUUCAAAUAUCUGAAGGGGGUCUGCCAAGAGAAAUUAAUCUUUGUCAAUUGAUUUGCAAUUAAAUUACACUCUCUAGGAACAUACUUAAUUUUCCAUUGACCUACAAAACGCAAAAUACGUUUAACUCUUCUAAACAAGGUAAUACUAGAGUCCAUUGACUCCUCCAUGGACAAGGCACUAACCACCUCAAGGUUAUCUGUCUAAAUCCUGACUUUCUUGUAGUCCUUAUUUAAUAAAAUGAGAAUUUCAUCAAGAAUACUCCAAAGUUCUGCCUCCAAAGGCGAACAUCUGCCUAAAUAAUGAUUAAAGCCCAAAAUCCAAUUGUCAACCUAAUCACGAACCACCCCACCCAUGGAUGCAUUUCCGGAAGCUCUAGCCAUUGCUCCAUCAGAAAAUAAAUAGAUCCAAUUGCCUUUAUAAUGGGAAUGAAUUUCCGAAUUUGGUGAACUAGGCUUGGCCUCAUUUAGAAAAGGUUCAAAUUGUUAGGCCCAAUUGAGAGAGACUUUUACAAUUUCAUAAGUCGUCCAGUUAAUGUUUUGGAAGAUGAAAAGAUUCAUGUUCUUCCAAAUUCUCCAAGUAAUUAAUCCAAAUAAGCUUGACCAAGUAAUUUCCUUAUCCUGCAUCUUAAAAUGGCAACAAAGGUUAGUGGAAAACCAAUUUUGAAGGAAUCAGAAAAAAAACCUAAUUUGUAUCUUAGGAAGGACUACAAGCUUCCAUGCUUCCUUAGCCAUCAAAUAGUCUCGGAGUACAUGCAUAAUGUCCUUAGUAUCAUGAUCACAUAAAGAGCACGCAGUGUUCUGCCCAAUUCCUCUCUUAACGCGCUUUGAAUUAGUAAGAAGCCUCUGUUUGACCACAAACCAAAGAAAAAGACGAACUCUCUGUGGGCUUUGAUAUUUCCAAAUAGACUUUCAACUAUCAUCUUUAGGACUCCAAGAAUCUUCUUUUAAAACCCAAUAAGCAUUACGAACAGAAAAAGACCCUCAAUCAGAUUGAGCCCAAAUGAUCCCAUCCUCUCCACCAAUAGAGUGAGAAUGGGGGAUACUUACUACACGCUUUAUCACGUCAUCAGGUAGCCAAAUAGGAAGCAAAUCAACUUUCCAAGAACCAUCAAGAAGAACCCAAUCCCUCAAAGUGCUCUCCAAACCGAGGCUUGCAUGAGCUGGGACAUAAGAAAAAAGAGGACCAACUUCCAGUAUCCAAGAAUCUUUCCAACAACAAAUUAUAGAGCCAUCACCUACAGACUACAUAAGAUCCUCACAAAAAAAGGGGUCACACCUUAGAAAGGGAACGGCAAAGAUGAGAGCAUUGAUUUUUGUGGAUAGAAUUUGGAAGCUGAUUCUUCCACCCAUAUUUCGAAUAAAGGACACAAACUCAUAAAGCACCCUUUGUAGAGACUAGAUUGAACCCAAUCUUCAUAAGGAAGGAAUUAUUUUGGUCUUGGAGGUGCUGAAACCCAAGGCCCCUCAAGACCUAAGCUAACAAAUGGACUCCCAAUCUACUUUUGGAUGCCCAGCAGAACCCCUCAAGACCUAAGCUAACAAAUGGACUCCCAAUCUACUUUUGGAUGCCCAGCAGAACCACCCCAAAUGAACUGCCUUGCUAUCUUCUCUCCUUUCGGGAUUAACAAGGACUGCAUAAAGUAGUUUGAACUAUUAAAAGAAAUAAACAUUAGCACUAUACUCUUAUUAUGUUUUAUACUUAUUUUAAUCAAAAGAUAAAAAUAUCUAUAUUUCAAUUAACCGACCAAAUUAACCAAAAUAAUUCAAUUCGAUUAAUGUAUUUGAAAAAAUUUCAAUUCAGUUCACGGUUAAAACUUUUUAUAUUUCAAGUAAUUCGGUUCAAAUAUUAAUCGAACCAACCAUUUGAACAAUGCAAUCGAGACCCUUACUGAAUGCUUUUAACUGGACCGAUUAAAUUAUCCAACGAAUUCUACAAGAAUAAAUUUAGAAUUGAAUUGGAGUUUGUUCGUAUAUGAAAUACACACAAAGUCCAUGUAAACCAUUCUUGGCAAAGCCAAUCCUUGAAUAUCCUCUUGUAGCUGUUGAGCAGGUCCUGCUGGCGGCACACUAAAAAUUUGCAUGCCAACAUUCUGGUUUGAAGAAAGACAAAGCAUCAGCUAGCCGAUUCGCUUCCCUAUGCACAUUCUGAAUUGAAGUCAGCAAAGCCAAACCAUUCUUCCAAGUUGUAAAAACUCCUGAUUCAAACACAAAAACAUCCCACUAAACCAUUAAAAGAUUCUAUUCCAACGUCAAAUAGAUUUCGACUUACUUGACCGCAAUAACAAGUAGCAAUUAGUCAAGCAGUGGUUUCUUGGCCAGCUUCAGUCAGCCUUCUCUUUUUCUUAGAGAAGCACAAGCAAUUACUGAGAUUUAUAAAUAUAGACACGAACCAUAAAUGAAAAUUAGGGGUUGGAGUAUUAACAGUUCAUUCACUAUUUGCACAAUGUCCUUGAGAAGGAUUUGCCAAGUUCAAAAUGUCGUAGAUCUUAACAUAAGUCGUUGCUUGUUUCUUCUUGCCUUCUUGUGGUCACAAAAGACAUUUUCCUGGAUAUGCAAAGUAAGAAGAAAAUCGGAGUUUGCUGCUUUGUAGCCAAGGAGGAGUGUUUAAAAGGUGGCAACGACAGCAGCAAAGUUUAAGAAUCCAUGCAAAAACCCACGUUGCAUGCAAGAAUCCAUGCAAAACCUACGUUGCAUGCACGAAACCAGAAGCUCGGCUGAAGCAUGUUAAAAUCCAUGGUGCAAUUCGACAAGCCUUGUUUAUUUAGUUGACUUUUGUUAGUCUAUGGUGUAAUCAUUAUUUGCUUUGAUCAGCUAAGGUUAAAAUGUGUGCUUAGCUGAUUUAGUAGUCAAAUUAGGUUGUCAUUUUGUUGAUGUAAACCUUUGGUUACUUGCACAAGCAAGCUUUGUUUUCUUUCUAUGUAGUUUUUGUUCUAUUUAUGUAUGUAACCAUGCACUUAUUCGGGUAAUGAGAAAAACACUUUGCUCAUUCAACUUUCUGCUUGUUCUUGCUACUGUUUUAAUCUUUCAAACAUCUAAAACAUUCAUCUAAGUUGUUUUUAAACUUUGUUUGCUAAGUUAAAAACCAACACACCCAAAUCAUAGUAUAUCUCGUUGCCUACAAAACAUAAAGGUAACCAAUACAAGUAAAAAGGCUAAGGUUUUAUAAAACCAUUAAGUUUGUUAUACUGACGGUUUAAGUAUGUCCAGAACAAAUUGUCCAAAUCACAAGAAAGACUUGUAUAAUUUGGCACGGGAAAGUCCAAAUAAAGAAAAUGAUGCCAAAACUUAACAUAUCAAAUUUAUAUCCUUUAUUUGGUGAGUCUGCCUCAUGAUAACCCUGUAAAAUGUAAACAGCAAUUGCAUAGAAUUAAAAAUUGACAACUUUCCUACUCAGGAUUUUUUGUGUCACUGUUCGUCUGAUAUUUCUUGUUUUGAUUUGGUCUCUUAUGAACAAGUGGGAAUCAAUCAAACAGUGUUGAAAUGACAGUAUGAAGUUUAAAUGCUUAUACUAUCUAGUAGUAGCUCUCUUAUAGUUAUACUGAAUUUUUUAAACUGGAACAUAAAACUUGAAUGCACAGUAUGAUCUACAAUGCAUGAUUGCAUAUUCAAGUCGAAUAAAGGUCAUAAAUUUGCUCUGUAAAACUCAAAAUUCAGUCCUUACCAUCUCUUGUUUUGUUUGUUGCGGUUUCAAUAUUAGUUUCACUAGUAUCUCUCCCACACAUGCCAAGGUUAAAUUUACCUCCUUUGCUGGUUCCUCUUGAUCGAUCACCCACAUUUGAAAUAUAUAGAUGCAUAACAAAGUAAAAGAAAGAACAGAACACGAGAUGAAAUAAAAAUUAGUAUAUAUCCAUCACUCGAAGAUUGUUUCUCGAUGAACUUACCCCGUUGUCCAUAUAAACUCAAUAACACCAAGACACAUUACCAACAAAGUAAAGUUAUGCCUCAACUACUCUUUAUUAACCUGAUGACAAGGUUGUUAUACUAAGUUACAAACUUAUUGUUCAAUCAUUUAACAUGGUAUCACAAAAGGGUCUACCGUUCCUUUUGCCAUAUAAUCCCUAGUUCUUACCUCAGGGUUGUUGUGAAUCUCGGCUCCUUUCCCAGUGUCUGGGGGCAGAGGAAGGUAGAGAAUUAACUGUUCAUCCUCUUUUUGCACAAGAUCUCCUUGAAUACUAAGAGGAUUUGUUAGCUUUUGGUUGGUAAUAAGCCGUAGCAUUUCAAGACAAGAAUUCAAAACGUUGUUUAGCAUUUUUGUGACUCUGCCGAAAACCUUUUCCUCUUUUACUAAUUGUUGCAUUUGGUCCACAAUGGCCUCUUUCUGCGUUGCCGGAAUAGGAAAUGAACAAUGAUAUAUCAAAGUUAAUUCUAUUGAUCUAAAAUGUCUAAAUCCACCAUAGCUAAGUCCAAACCCAAGCAAAGGUUGCGCCCAAGCAAAUGAUGUGAACAUGUUGCCAGACAAAUCACAAUAGGUGAGCACUUUUGAGCCUCUAAAUUGGUUAGAUCAGAGCUCGAAAAGGUAUCUCAAAACCCACAUGACAAGCUCUCUUUGUCCAAAAAUAGCUCGAAAGAUUGCCAAUCAAAGUUCGUCUGGAAAGGUAUAAAUAACCCAACCUAAGUACACCCCCUUAACCCAAUGUUACUAUGAUGAGUUUUCUCCAAACCCUUUCUCAUCCAUAUAUCGAUAUAAGCAUUCGGGAACUGUAUUUUUAGGCAUUUCUCAAUUAGACUCCAAAAAAUCAAUAAAUGCCAUUAAUGAACACGUACACUUAAAAAAUUAAUAUCGAACCGAAUUUGUUUAGUUAAUUUGAUCAGUUAAUCAAAAUUUAUAUGUUUUUGUCUUUUAAUCAAAACAAGUAUAAAACAUAUAAAAAAAUAUAUUGAUAAUGUCCAUUGGUCUUGAAAGUUAAUUGACUUAAUCGGAAUUUUAAGUCUUGAAACACUACAUAAUUAUUAAAUUCGGUUAAUUAGCUGAUUUCGAAUCAAUUUAAUCGAAACCAAAAUUUCAAAAAAACAUUAACCGACUUUCGACCAAAUUAAAUUUGACCAUCAAUUGAUUAACCAAAUUAAUUCGAUUUUAAUCAAAGUUUCAACCCUAAUAAUCUCCGCCUCACUUCAAUGAAAUCCACCCAAGAGGCCUAUCCUGCUAAAACUCAUCUUUCUAAUGAGAGUAACUUCGUUAUAUAUCAUCUGUCACUUACGAUUAUACAUUAAAAAUUGGUUGGACUUUCAAUAAUAACUUAUUUAACGAGUUUAUAAUGGAUUUUUCACUGGAAAAUGUACUGCAAUAGUUGCUGGUGUACAUUUGUUUUUUUUUAUUUUGGUACUACUUUCUUUUGGAGCCAUAACUACACGAGUAACAACUUAAUAUCACAUACAUUAAAAAAACCAUUACUUAUGAAAAUUAUGCCAAUUCAACAAACGUCAAUUACGGUCUUUCGCGUAGAAGCUCGGGUUAUUCUUGAAGGUUUACGUAUUGCAUGGGAAAAAGGUUACAACAGUUGGAGAUUGAAUGCGACAAUACACUACUUGUAGAGUCCGUUCUUAUGGGUAGUGCUGCCAGUAGUAAUCUAGUUGAAUUACGUUUAAUCAAUGUUUACCUUAAGAGGAAUUGGAAUACAAAAAUCUGUCACAUUCCUAGAUCUCAGAAUAUGCCUACUGAUCGAAUAGCGAAAUGUACUUAUAAGAAUCUUUGUUUAAUUGAUUACCAUUGAAUACUUUAUCAGUUUUAAACAAAUUAUUCUUCGCAUCAACAAACCUUUUUCAAUAUAAAGUAAUUUUAAAAAUAAUGAUUAUAGAAUAAAGAUUUAUAUUUUUAUAAAAUUUUUGAAAUAAUUAUAUAUAUUUUUAAUUUUCAAAACAAAAAUUGUUUAAAAGAACAUUAUAUUUCUUUUCUUUUCUUUUUUAAACUACGUUGCUAAAAGAUUGUCCGACUCUCGUGAUUGAUUGAUAUAUAUAUAUAUAUACUUGUCGCAAAUUUAAGUAUUAAUUUUGCAUCGUAUAGGUAAAUAAAUAAAAUCUGUUUUUUUUUUAUCAAAUUAUUGUUUUGGUUAUUAUAUUCAAAUUUGAAGUUUAAUUUUUUUAAUUUGACAUAAAUUAACAUAUUUUUAUGUUGAAAUGAAAACUCUUUAAAGUAGUAUCUUCGACUCAUUAUGCUGGUAUGGUUUUGUUUUAUUUUAAAUGAGAAAUUAAUAUAAAAUAGACUUGUUUAUUGGCUGGACACUCGAUCCACCCAAAAAGUGGGAGGAUUUGGAAAAAAAUAUAAGCCUGAAAAAUGAGCUGAGGCAAAAAAAAAAAAAGUCCAUUUUAAUAACAGGUUGGGCAUUGGGUAAAGUUUUUUUGGACUGAACCCAACUUGACUCAAAUUAGCCAAAAGACAAAGAAAAAAAUGCUAUUUUCUUGUUGUUUUAUCACUAUUUUGCUAUCAUUUCACUAUUAUGUUAUUACUAUUUUUUUUGUUAUUUUUUAGAUAUUGUAUAACUCUUGUUUUAUAUUUAAAUUUGUUAUUACUUUAGAGACAUUUGCUUGUUAAGUUGCACUUAUCUUAACGCUAUUUAAGUAUAAAUAUUUUUUAAAAAAAUUUAUUUUCAAUUUUUUAGGAAACAUUUAUUUUAAUAUUUUUUAGUGUAUCUAGUGUAUUAUAUUUUUAAAGUUUUAUAUAAGAAAAAUUUUAAAAAUAAAAAGGGCAGAUCUGGACCGGACCUAAAUUGUAACAUUUUUAUCUAGGCCGAACUUAGGUAAAAAUUUAAACCCAUUUUUCGGGUCAGGCCAAACUCAAACAUAUCAAUCAAACCUAAAAUUUUGUUAGUGAAUACCCAACCAAUCAACAAAUCUAGUGUAAUCCCAUAGUGUUGACUACUUUUAUUGCCCUGAAAUUGGUUAGCCCAUGAAUUUAUUAUGUUGAAGCCCCUCUUUAAUUGAAAAUUUGAGGUUGAUAAAUCAUUAUUUAAUGUCUGAAUUUGAUAAUAAUUUUUUGUGUGGUACAACUUUGACCUUUACCUUCCUUAUUACUACCUCUGUUUACCACCAAUUUUUGGUCGCAACAUUAAGAAAAAACUCUAUUCAAAUAAUGAGCACCAAAUGGACCGUUUUCUAGUACCACUAUUUUUCACACCAAAUACGUUGGAAUUAUUCUCCUUCUCUUGUGUCCCUCUCAAUUCUCAUUUUCAAAUUUACUUUAGUGUACAAUAUACGUGAAUAUUUAAUAAUAAUAAUAUAGAUUAUAUGGAUCAAUUUUUAAUAAUAAUAAUGGAUGAAUUUUUUUAAUAAAAGAAUUAAUUUAUUCUUUGAUUUUAUCUACAAUGACUAAUUUAUUUAUUUUUUAAGUAAAAAGAAAAAUAUAGUCUAACUUAUAAUAUAAAAACCUUCAUGAUACUUGUUGAUAUUAGGUUGAAGAUGAUCUUUACGUGUUGUUUAUAUUACGUGUUGUGUUGACUAUAACGAAGAAGUUAAUUAAUACAUAUUGUAUUUGUCAAGCAAAAUUAAUAAUAUAAAAUAAGUAUCCCAAGUUGGUAGAUUUGAGAAAAAGGAACAUGGUCGACAUGAAUUUCUUCGGUGGAAGGAUUGACCCACCAUAGAUUGGGAACUGCCACUUGACUGCUACUAAUAUCUGCUUUUUCAUCCAUAUAUGUGUAUAUAUAUAUAUAUGCUGGAACCUUGUUAUUACAUAAAAAUACAGGACGACUUCAUUUUCUUCUUCAAUGGCAGUGUCAGAAAUCUCGCGAUGUAGUUAUCAUGUAUUCUUGAGUUUUAGAGGUGAAGAUACGCGCAGAAGUUUCACGGAUCAUCUUCACACAGCUUUGAUGCACUUAGGAAUUCAAACAUUUAGAGAUGAUGAGGAAAUCGAGAGAGGGAAUAACAUAAAAGAUGAAAUUGAAAAAGCAAUACUACACCACUCCAAAAUUUCUAUCGUUGUUUUCUCAAAGAAUUAUGCUGUAUCCACAUGGUGUCUUAACGAACUUGUAAUGAUAUUGGAGCACAAGAAAUCCUCUAAACACAUUGUGUUGCCAGUUUUCUAUGAUGUGGAUCCGAGUCAAGUCAAGAACCAGACGGGAAGUUAUGCAGAAGCAUUUACCCAACAUGAACAAAACUUCAAGUCCAUGGUACAAAGAUGGAGGAAUGCUUUAAAAGAAGUUGCAGAUAUAGGAGGCAUGGUUCUACAAGACAGGUAUGUUAUACACAUAAUCAAGUUCCAUAUGGUUACUUCAAUCCUUUUCAUUAAGACUUGAUAGAUAGAGUAGAAAGAAAAUUAAUAGAAAAUAUUGUUAGGUAACGUUUGGAGAUUAAAAUGGCUACUUCAAUCCAUUUUAAAGGGUUAAAUAUAACUCAGAUUUUAAAUUAUUUCUCAAACACUAACAUGUUUUAAUUGAGUCAUUAAAAUAUUAGUAUUGUAUCAAUAAGGUCUUUUUAUCAAACAAGUAAUCAGUUUAAGCAUUAAAUGUAAAUAACAUGAAUUUAUUAAACUUUCACAAAGAGAAAGUUGAAAUUUGAGUAUAGGUUGUUUCUUAAAUGAAUUUCAUUAAUUUUUAUGUUGCUUUAUUUGAUUUGAUUUGAUUUUGAAUGUAAUAAUUCUAUCAUAUAUGUUGAAAUGUUACAUUAGUUGCUUAUUUUUAUUAGAACAUAUAAUCUCAUAAAGACAAUUAAAAUAUAUGCAAGAAAAGAGAAAAUACAUUAAUAACUUUUACUUAAUUUUCAAGAUUUUAGCAUUGAGUUGUAUUUUUUAAAUUUGCAGGCAUGAAUCACAAUUUAUUCAAGAUAUUGUUAAAGAAGUUCAAAAUAAACUUCAUCCUAUUUCUUUGUAUGUCCCUCCUUAUUUAGUUGGAAUAGAUUCUAUCGUGACACAAAUUAAUCAAUGGUUAGAACAAGAUGGAGCAAAUAAAGUUGGCAUUGCAACUAUUUGUGGCAUUGGAGGCAUUGGGAAGACAACCAUUGCCAAAGUUGUUUACAAUCAAAACAUCUCGAGGUUUGAAAGUUUUAGCUUCCUUGCUCAAGUUAGAGAAACAAGUCAAGAUUGUAAUGGCUUAGUUCGUUUGCAAAGACAACUUAUUUCAGAUCUCCUUAAAGGAAAAUCGCAUAAAAUAUACAAUAUAGAUAAUGGAAUUAACAAGAUCAAAGAAAUUGUAUGUUGUAGAAGAGUUCUUCUUGUUCUUGAUGAUGUUGAUGAAUUGGAAAAAAUAAGAAAAUUAAUGGGAACUCAAAUUCCUUUUCAUCCGGGAAGUAAAAUCAUCAUAACUAGUAGAAACCGAUGCCUAUUGAAUGCACAUUUUAUAAGCCAAAUGUUUGAUUUGGAAGCAUCAACUAGCUGUGGAGGCUUAAGCAAGCUAUUUGAAGUAAAAGAAUUAGCUUCAAGUGAAUCGCUACAACUUUUUAAUUNNNNNNNNNNNNNNNNNNNNNNNNNNNNNNNNNNNNNNNNNNNNNNNNNNNNNNNNNNNNNNNNNNNNNNNNNNNNNNNNNNNNNNNNNNNNNNNNNNNNGGGCUCUUCAUUAUCUAGCAAAAGUGUGAGUUCUUGGAAAAGUGCAUUGGAGAAAUUAGAAGAAAUCCCUGACAGCAAAAUUCAAAAGAUUCUAAGAAUAAGCUAUGAUUCUUUGGAAGACGAUCAUGACAAAAAUUUAUUCCUUGACAUAGUUUGUUUAUUCAUUGGGAAGGAUAGAGAUUACACGACUACAAUUCUAGAUAGUUGUGAUUUCUAUACAACAAUUGGAAUUGAAAAUCUAGUAGGCAGGUCUCUUUUAAUCAUUAAUGAAAAAAACAAGCUAAUGAUGCACCAAAUGAUUAGAGAUAUGGGACGAGAAAUUAUUCGUCAAGAAUCUUCUGAUAUUGAGAAACGAAGCAGAGUGUGGCAUAAGAACGCAUUUGAUGUAAUAAGAGAAAAAAUUGUAAGAAACAUCAUUUUACUCAACUUUUUUCUUGUAUGCAUGUAAACUACUUUUUUUUUUUAUCAAAUUUCUUUUUAUUUUUUAAAAAAGGUUUUCUGAUGCAGGGUUCCAAAACAGUUAAGUGCCUCACACUUGACCUAAAAGGAUUGCUAGAAGACAAGGCUAAAAGGACAAAUACAACUCUACACUUUCCAAAGCAUUCCAAAAGUCAGUUUCUCAUGGCAAAUGAUGUUGAUAUGGAAACUCAAGCAUUUGCAAAGAUGAAGAGACUUAAACUGCUUCAACUGGAUUAUGUAAAACUUAAAGGAGACUUCAAAGACUUUCCCAAAAGAUUAAGAUGGUUACGUUGGCAUGGGUUUUGUAUGCAAUCUUUUCCGGUGGAUUUCGAUAUCAAUGAACUAGUUGUUCUCGACAUGCGCAACAGUAAACUUAAACAAGUUUGGAAGGAUACAGAGGUAUGAUAUAUACUAAUUUUCCUUCUUUUUGUGUGUAUGUGUGUAACAAUAAUAUAUAAAUGAAGGGUUUUCUUUUUUUGCAGUGCCUCCCAAAUUUAAAGAUCCUUAAUCUCAACCAUUCACAUAGCCUUCUUAAAACCCCAAGCUUUUCAGGACUCCCUAGCCUUGAGAAGUUGAUGCUCAAAGAUUGCAUAAAUUUGGUAGAAGUUGAUCAAUCCAUUGGUGAGCUAAAGAUGCUUACUUUCUUGAACCUAAAAGAUUGCACAAGUCUUAGGAAACUUCCAAGGACAAUUGGUUCAUUAAUAUCACUUGCAGAGCUUAUUUUAUCUGGUUGUUCAAGACUUGAUGAUGUCCCCAGGGAGUUGCAUAAUAUGAAAUCAUUGAAGGUGCUUAAUUUAGAUGAAACUUCCAUAUGUCAAACAAGAUUGGGAUUACAUUGGCUCUUACCGAAAAGAAGUAAAGAAUUGGGUUUCUCUUGGGCAUCUCUACCGUGCUCUUUGGUAAAAUUAAGCCUUGAAAGUUGCAAAUUAUCUGAUGAUGUCAUGCCCAAUGAUCUUUAUAACUUAGCUUCAUUGAAAUCCUUAAAUUUUAGUAGAAACCCAAUUCAUUGCCAUCCCGAAAGCAUAAAAAAACUUACAAAACUUGAUGAACUUCUAUUGACUUCUUGCACUGAACUCCAAAUAAUUCCAAAGCUUCCAGUCUUGCCCAAUGUUUUUGAGUUCUUGACAAUAUCUCCAUUUAAAGGAUAUUGGGCAAUUCUUCCAUGCUUCUUUUCUUCCACACGAUGUGUUAUUUUUGGAUGUGAAAAAUUGACUGAAGUUGAAGAUCUAUUCAAGUUGGGACCAAUUGAAAACUUUGAAGAAGAAGAGAUUAGAAGAUUAUUCAACCUGGAUUCCAUUAGCAGAAAUCGACUGCAACUUUAUAGCUACCUAACAGACAGCAUAAUGCUUGCUACCCCACAGGUUCUCCAACUUAAAUUUUAACUUUAUUUUUUUCUCUUACAUUACUUAAUGAACACAUUCGUAAUCAUCUAACAUGUUUUUUUUGGAUCAGGUCUUGCAGGAAUGUGGUAUAACAAGUACUUUUGUUGUGGGAAGUGAAGUUCCUAUUGUGUUUAAGCAUCGCACUAACGAGCACCGAAUCUCUUUUUCUUUGCCAACACCAUCUCAUCCAGAUGAAAAGAUCCAUCGGUUCAGCUUAUGCAUUGUUUUCUCUUUAGCUAGUGAUCAAAUAUUGGAGUUUCUACCAAGUGUCCACAUUUUCAAUGAGACCAAAAGGAUCAUGCAGAGAUAUCGCUCAAGUUUCAUCGGAAUUCCUGAGACUAACGAUAACACAAUGUUGUGGUUGAUCCAUUGGCCAGUAACGGAUUGUGAGUUUGAAGGUGGUGACCUUGUGAGUUGCAUGGUAGUGCCUGUUCAUCUCAGCAUAAGAAAAUUUGACGUUACUUAUGAAUCACAACACAAAGUUAGAUAUAAAUAUGGCUUUUCCCACGUAUCUACAGGUAUGACUAUGACUUCAAAUGAUUAUGUUUAUGGAAUAUUAACCCAUGCACUAUUAACACUUACUAAACUAAAGAUAUAUCCUUAUUGAAAUAAUAAUUUUUUUGACAAAGGAAAUAAUAAAUUAUAUGAAUAUUUAAUGUGUUUUCAGUGACAAGAUUAUAUAUUAGUGAAUACAUCCUAUUAUUUUUUUAAUGUUUCCUUUUAGAUGUCAAUAACAAAUGUUUAAGAAAUGAUAAAUGUUGCAAUUGGGAUCUAAUUAAAAUAAUUUAAUUGUUUGAUAAAUGAUUAAUUUACAAGUCUUAUAACACAUUUUAACAUUUUAGUGAUAAUAAUAUUAGUUUUUAAUUUUUUUUCAUAUAAUAUUAAGAGGAAGGAAUGGGGUCACACGGUUUGAAUCUGUGUCAAAUAGGUGUCUGACAAAAGAUUUAACCAUCAGUGUAUUCAAGUUAAGACUACUAUUUUAAUAUUCUAAUAGGCAUACUACAAUUGAUAAAUAACACAUUAUUGUACAUAUUUUAGGAAAUGAAGUUACCACAAGAAAUAUGAUGAUGGACCUGACUAAAGACUUACCCAGUUUGGAAUCUUAUGGAAAUGUUAAAGUGCAACUUUGCAAUUUUAUAGAAGAAUCAAAAGUGGUUGCUUCCCCACAGGUUCCCUUUACAAGUUUCAACUUUUAAAAAAUAUUUAUAUAAUAUUUUUUAAAAUUUUAUUCUAUAACCCAAUGCUACAGGUAUUAUACGAUUACGGCAUAAUUACAACAUUUGAUACAUUUCCAUUUGAUUACAUUGGCCACUACCAUGGCCUUCAAGCUGGCAAGACUGAGGUUUCAAUAUCAGUGCCCCCAAACUCUAGUCGAAAGAUAAGUUGCUUCUUAAAUUCGAUUAUCAUUUUUUCUGCCAAGAAUGAUAAAACAUAUGGAUUUUUACCAUGCCUUGAAAUUGUGAACGAGACCAAAGGUACAAAGUGGACCUACUCCAAACAUUUCAUGGGAAUUCCUGAAACCAAGAAUACCUUAUACUGGACGACUUGUUGGAACUUUAGGGGUGAUGAACUAGAAGCUGGUGAUCAUAUUAGUCUUCGGGUUCUUUCAAAUUUAUCUGUACUAGAAUUUGGGAUUGACCUUGUAUAUGAUUAUGAGCUAGAUGACAACUCAAAUUUUUUCAGUCAGUUGCCAUGGAUGAGUAAAUGUUUUAAGUAUCUUUUCGGGACUUUUGUUCUUAUUUCGUCAAAAGCCCAAAAAAACUUGUAUAGGUUGCAAAGUUUAGUCAAAUGCUGAUUAUCGUAGGAUUGAAAUGGAGCAAAUGAAUAUUUUGGUUUAGUCAUUGCCGCCUUGGCUUGGCUGAUUUCAUCUUAUAUUUAAUCUCUUAUUCUUUUAUGUAUGCUAUCGAUAUUGAUUUUUGCUCAAGUUCUUCAAUGAAGCACCUUGUUCUUGGUAAUUCAAUUAACUUGUGCUUUUAAUCAGAUGUCGGAGUUAUUUUAGUAGACUUAAUUGAUUUUGUAUAUAUGGAAGUAAAGUAAAUGUGAGCUUAGCUCGCUUUCAGGGAAGAGUAGUGUACCAAAAGAAAGUUGAAAAUGGUAAGCUAGGAGGUGAUGAUCGUAGAGAUGAAAUAUUAGAAGGAGAAAACGAGAAAAAGCAUUCUUGGGAGAUGAUUUGAUUACCAUUUGUGGAACACUAAUUCCUAUAACUACGUGGGCUUGUUCAUAAGACUUCUCUUAGAAUCUCGAACAAAUAUCAGUUGAUUGUUCUGGUUUAAAUAUUUAAUUUUUAAGAGAAUAUAUUAUUACUUUAUUCUACCCUCUCGAAGAUUUAUAUCAAGUCCAAACUGUUGCGAGUUGAUAGCCAUGAUGGAAAUCAAUUUUGAGCAAUUUUUUGAAGGAGCUGAAAUAAAAUUGUAUAUUUUUAUAAUAGUAAAAGUAAAAUUUCACCAUUUUAAUAGUCUAUAUAUUUAUAAUUUUUAAAAAAUUAAAUCAAAAUUUUCUCAUUCUUUUACUUGAACUGUUUCACUCAACAUAAUAAAUUCGUGCGCUAAUCGAUUUCACGGCAUUUAAAGUAGUGAAGACGAUGGGAUAAGGCUAAUGUUGAUAUGGGAUCUGAAAAAGCAGGUAAGAGUAGUAGACUAUGAAAAGUCAUAAUAUAUUAUAAACAUUUCUUACGUUACAUUUCAACCACCUCUUUAAUUCCACCAGAAUCCGGUACUACUCGCUCUUGAGUGCUAACACUCUCCUCGUUACGGCCCUCCAACUUUUUCCUCCACAAUAUUUUAAGAAAAACUCAAUUCAAAUAAUAUUUUUAUAUUUGAGGUUUAUGAUUAUUUCUCUUAAUAAUGUUGUCUUUAAAAUUCAGAUAUCUAUUUCUCUUGAAAAUACAAUACCUUAAUUAUUCAAAUAAUAGUCUUAACAGAAAGAUUAAGCACCAAAUAUUCUAUAAAUACUAACAAGCUAAUGGUCUAAAGUCUAGAUUGAGUAGCACUAUUAUCCAAAUUCCGAAACAUAGUGCAACAAAUCAAUUCUUUCCCGGCGACCAAAUGACGUUUAUUAUAUAUAUAGAACUCUACAACCUAGUGCUACUAAUUAUCAAUUUUAUUGUUGUGACUCCAUAAACUAAAAUUUAGUUGAUCCCUUGACUCAAGAGUGUAAUUAUUCGAAUAGGGAUUAUAUCUCUUUUACAGUGGUACACUAAUUCGUCUUAUUAUAUGGGUUUAUUUAUAAGAGUUCUCUUAAAUAUUUAUGUCAAAUCCAAAUUGUUGUGAAUUCUUUUAACAUUUCAAGGAGUUUUGUCCAUAAGUAAAAGUCUUUGGUAAAAGUAUUAGAUAAUAAGUAAUUGAUAAAAAAUUUCAUUCUAAAGGCAACUAGCAAAGAGCUGUUUAAUAUUUUUCAACAUUCAUGAAGGGUUUUUAUGUACUUUUAUUGAAUGGAAUAGAAUUUUUUUUUCCUAAUAAAUGAACCACGAGAAGCAAAAUGUUUUCCAAGGAAUAUUCUUACCAUAUCUAUUUAAUAUGUAAUUCGCAACUUGUUCUUGAAAGGAAAACCAUAAUAAUUUUCCUAGAAUCUCUAUUUGGAAACUUGGAAGUCUUUUAAAUCAACCGAAUCAUCUUACUCGAAUACUUUAUCAACUUUAUACAAAUUAUUCUUUGCAUCACUAAAUAUUGUUCAUGACCUUGCACCCACUUUCAUGCAGAAUUAUUUCUCCCAUGCAGGGAAUGGUCUCCAUGAAUUAUUGCCAUAUUUCCAUUUAGGAUUAGUAAAUUUCAAUAACUUUUUUGGUGGACGUGAUAUCUAUUUUGAUGAUAUGACAUGGUUUGUUUUGAUCCAAAAAAGACGAUGAAUGACAUGAAAUUGAACUAUGAUUUUAAAGAAGGGACUUGAGUUUAUAUAUGAUUAUAUAGGCGGUAAUUCAAUUUUCCUUUCCUUGUUGGAAAAGGAAUUCCAUUUUGACUUUAAUUGUAAUUUUUAAGUUGUUGUUUUCUUAUUGUUAAUUAUUUAAAAAAUAAUCGCAUUUUAACUUGCAAACUUAAAUAUUAAACUAUUAUCUUUAUGUUUACUUUUUAAUGAUAAUUAACAAAAAUAUUUGGUUUUAAAAUUUUAAUACAAUCAAUGAAACACAAUUCACACACAUGAAUAAUAAAAUUUGACGUGAUUAAAUAAAUAUUGAAUUUUGUUAUAUUUUUAAUAAUAAAUAUAGGUAAAAUGGUAAUAAAUUGGGAUUUUAAUGUCAUUUAAAACGUGUCAAAUAAAUAUUAGAUUAGAUAUUCAAUAUUAAAAAUUAAUAUAUAUUAAUUGAAUUAUAAACGAGUUUAGAAAUUCAAAAUUGUAAAAAUUAAUAUAUAUUGAAUUAAAUGACUACCAUACAUAAUCUUAUUCGAAUAAUAAUAAUGAAAAAUAAAACUGAGUAUUUAAGACAAUUUCGUUGUAUUUGUUUGUUCUAUGAUCCAACUAUGGUAGGUAAGCGUGAUGUAGGUUCAUCGUACUCCCAUCCAGUGGCUUUAAUUUGCUCUAAUGGAAUCGAAAACGAAUCAAUCCUUUUAACAUCGGAAAUCGACUUUAUUUUCAAAAAAAGUUUUGGGUCGAUUUUGGAGUUCCAAUCAAUAUCAUCGAUAUACAUAUCUGCUGCAUUACUUGGCAACUUAUUUGUGCAAGGAAAACGAUGAUAAUAUUCCCAGAAUCUCUGUUUGGCUUUCUGGAAAGCUUUUAAACCAGUUGAAUCAUCCCAUUCGAAUACUUUAUCGGUUUUGAACAAAUUAUUCUUUGAUUCAACAAAUUUUUUCCAUGGCAUUGCACCCACUUUUAUGCAGAAUUUUUUCUCCCAUGCAAAUAAUGGUUCACAUGAAUUACCGUUAUCAUUCAGUUUGGGUCGAGUAAAUUUCAGACUGUAGUACCUUUCUCGACGAUUAUGAUAUCUUCUUUGAUAAUAUGACAUGAUUUCUUGUAAUCCAAACAAAUAAAUGAAUUGAAAUCGCUAAUGAUAUCAAUUUACAGUGAGGAGACUCGUUGGGUUUAUAUAAUAUUAUUAGAGUCAGUGGUGACUCAAUCCUUUUCCUUGUUGGAAAAGGAAUUCCAAUUUCAGUUUGAUUAUGAUUUCUAUUUUCUAAAUAUUUGUAUAAUAAAAUUAUUAAAAAAAAUAACUAUAUCUGUAUUGAUAAUAUUUUCUUAUUAAAUGGGUUUUAUGAGUUAAAUAACAAUCAAACCAAGACUGGGAGACUGAACUGCAUCAGGUCUUAGGGGUGAUCCAUCGCUUCAACCACUAUCCACCAUCUACAUCCUUCCCCUGUAUAAACUCUGUUAAAUAUAUACAGAGAGAGAGAGAGACAAACAAAUUAUAACGAUAGUAAAAAAAAUCAAAACUAAAAUAUAAGCAUUUUUCUUAUAAGGUGAAAAGAAAUAAUGGACUUGAGUACUUGAAAGAACUAACCGACCUAAGUUUAUAAAUUAUUAUUUAGUACAAUGAUUCGAACUCAAUUGCUUUUAAGAAAAAUUAACACUCGACCAAUAUAUUACAAUAUGAGUUGUUAUUAUGAUUUAAUGUAACAUUCAAUCAAUAAAAGAUAACCAAUUCCUGAACGCUACCUAACAAUAUUUUCUUUGCCAAAUACUUUAUCAGUCUUAAACAAAUUAUUCUUUGCAUCAACAAAUCUUUUUCAUUUAUCAGUCUUAAACAAAUUAUUCUUCGCAUCAACAAUUUUUUUCCAUGACAUUGCACCCACUUUGAUGCAUAUUUUUUUCUCCCUUGCGGGUAAUAAUUUCCAUAAAUUACUGUCUUUAGGUUUGAGAUGAAUAAACUUCUGUAUGCAGUAAUUUUCUUGACGAUUAUAAUACGAGAAAUAUGAAUUUAAAGUGAAGGGACUUUCCUUGUUGUGAAAGGAAUUUCAGUAACUAUUUGUAAAAUAAAAUUAUUAAAAAAUAAUUAUAUCUAUAUUGAUAAUAUUUUUUUAUUAAAUGGGUUUUAUUAGUUAAAUAACUUUAUUAAUUAGUUGAAUAGCAAUCAAACUCAACUUUAAAAUUUUAAAAGUAAUAUUACUGAAUAAAGAAUUAUAACUUAGUAACAACAUUCUAUUUGAACAUUGCAACAGUAAUUCAGUUUGAAAAUUGCAACAGUAAUUUAGUGAAAUUGACUAAAAAGAUUACUCUAUCUUCUUCCAAGUUGCAUCUUUCAAUCCAACCAAUUGGAAGCAUCAACACCAUAGAAUCAUAUAAGAAAAUCUACAAACUACGGUGCGACACCAUAGAAUCAUAUAAUUAAGAACAUCUACAAACUAUGUAGACACGGCUUCUUCACACAUUAGAUUUACCCUUAUGAAAUAGAAUAGGAGAACCCUCUGACUUGGUCAAUCAUAGCCCCUGUACUGUUCAACUUCCCAAAUCUAAGAAUAGUACCAUCCACGGGACUGACUUGUUAUUUAACAGAACACACUCUUAGCAAUACUUCAGAGUGACAUUAAUGAAAAUAUUAACAUGUCCAACAUGUUCGUAACCAGUUUCCAGACUAUAGGCAUUAGGUUGAGAGGCCUGUAACCUUCUUUCAAUGUGAAAAGUGACUUUUAUUAUACAAGAUGCAUCUUCUUCAAAAGAGAGAGCUGCUACUUCUAGGUCUUAAAUGCAAACCAAAAUACCACAUCAUAAGUUAUUCUUCAUUUUCAGUUGACUGUGCAUUCAUCCCAUCAAUCGAAAAAAGCGAUCUAAAGUUAUUCUUCAUGAUAAACAUACUUGAGUGGAAAGCACAAGCCCAUGCUUUAUGAAAUUUGUUUUCACAAGGAAAACAUGAUAAAUUUUCUAGAAUUUUUAUUUGACUUCCUGAAAAGCUGUUAAACCGGCUAAAUCAUUUCACUUGAACACUUUGUCAUUUUCAUACAAAUUCUUAUUUGUUUCAACAAAUCUUUCCCAUGGCAUUGCACUCCUUUCUAUGUAGAAGUUUUUCUCCCAUGCAAGCAAUGGUUUGGGUUUGGGAUGAGUGGUCCUUUGUUGUGAAAAUAACGAAUAGAAAUAUCAUUUAUAGAAAUGCCAAAUAGAUAUAUCUUUCUAUAAAAUAUAAUGCAUCUUGUAAUAAAAUAUCCUUUCAUAAGGUUAUAUUAUUUUAUAAAAUAAUUUUAUAUAAAAUUAUGUAUUUAUAUAAAAAUUUUAUGUACAUCUACACAACAUUAUUAUUCAUUAAUCAAUAAGUGUAAUAUACAUUUUUUCUAGAUAAUAAAAAGCGACCGCCAAAUGAUUUUAUUUUUUCAAUCGAAUUUUUGUUUUAGUCAUUUUAUUCAAAUUUGAAGUUUAUUUUUUUUAAUUUGAUAUAAAUUAACAUAGUUAAAUAUUCUUGUGCUAAUGUGAAAACUCUUUAAACUAUUAUUUUCGAUUCAUUAUGUUACUAGGGUUUUUUAUUUUAUUUUAAAUGAGAAAUUGAUAUAAAAUCCCAUUAAACUUUAAAAUUGGACUGAUUUUUUAAAAAAGUUAAAUUAUAUGUUUAACUGUGAACAAAAUAUGUUUAGCAAAAUAUGUUUAACAUGCAUUAAAAGGCAUCGUGGUUCAUUGGUUUCUAGAUGCGAACAAAUUAUGUGGCUUUAUAACUUCUGAGAAAAGUUUUGAGUCGAUUUCAAGAUUCCUAUCAAUAUCAUUGAUAUAUAAAUCAACUGCAUUACUUCUUACAAGGAAAGCCAUGAUAAUUUUUCGAGAAUUUUUGUUUGACUGAUUGCCACUGAAUACUUUAUCAGUUUUAAAUAAAUUAUUCUUUGCAUCAACAAACCUUUUUCAAUAUAAAGUAAUUUUAAAAAUAAUGAUUAUAGAGUAAAGAAUUAUUUUUUUUAUAAAUUUUUUGAAAUAAUUAGAUAAACAUAAAGAUGCAUUAUAUAUAUAAUAAAGAUAAAGAUAAAGAUAAACAUGAUUAAUUUUACCUUUAUUUUAAAGUAUAGCUUUUAUUAUCCAUUAAAUUAAAUAUAAAAUUAAUUUUACCUUUACCUUAAAUAUUUAAUUAGAUAAACAGAAAUUAUAGAAGUCCUUUUUGUCAUAGACCUUCAACUUGAUAACAUAUAAUUGUAACAACAAUUCAGUGAAAUUUGACUAAAAAUUGCGAAAUUGACUAAAAAAUGCAUCUAUAGAUACAAAUAAUCUCCAAUUCAACAUUUAUCAUUCAUUAAUUAAUAAGUAUAAUGUACUUGAUUUUUUGUAGAUAAUAAAAAACGUUUGAAAUUAUUUCACAAUAUAAUUUUUGUUUAUUAAGAUUUUAUUUUGUUUUUUCAUCUUUUCAGAUGUCAUAUGAUAUAAUCAUUUUAGCCCUAGCAUAGGUAAAUAAAUAAAAUUUAUUUUUUAUCAAAUUAUUGUUUUAAUAUUUAUAUUUAAAUUUGAAGUUUAAUUUUUCUAAAUUUGACAUAAAUUAACAUAGUUAACUAUUUUUGUGUUGAAAUGAAAACUCUUUAAAGUAGUAUUUUCGAUUCAUUAUGGUUUUUUUUAUUUUAAAUGAGAAAUGAAUAUAAAAUAUACCUAUUCAUUGGUUGGGCCACCCGACCCACCCAAAAAGCACGAGAGUUUGGGCAAAAACAUAAGUCCGAAAAAUGGGCUUAGGCAAAAAAACUAAAAGGGUCUAUUUUAAUAACGGGCUGGGCAUUGAGUAAGGUUUUUUUAGCCCAGACCCAACCCGACCCAAAUUAGCAAAAAGACAAAUAAAAAUUGCUUCUCUUGUGUUUUCUCACUAUUUUGCUAUCAUUUUACUAUUAUGUUAUUACUACUUUUUUUGUUAUUGUUUAGAUAUUGCAUAACUCUUGUUUUAUAUUUAAUUUUGUUAUUAUUUUAGAGAAAUUUGCUUGUUAAGUUGCAGUUAUCUUAAUGCUAUUUAAGUAUAAAGACUUUUUUUUAACUUAUUUUCAAUAUAUUAAGAAAUAUUUAUUUUAAUAUUUUUAGUGUAUUUGGUGUAUUAUAUUUUUUAAAUUUUUAUAAAAAAUAAACUUUAAAAAAGUCAGACCUAGGUUAUAGCAUUUUUAUCUGUGCAGAACUUAAGUAAAAAUUUAAACCUUUUUUUAGAUCAAACCAAACUUGAACAUAUCAAUCGAACAUAAAAUUUUGUUAGGAAUUGACCCGACAAACCAAAUAUUCCUAUCCCAUCGUCUUCAUUACUUUUAUUGCCCCGAAAUUGGUUAGCCCAUGAAUUUAUUAUGUUGAAGCCCCUCUUUAAUUGCAAAUUUGAGGUUGAUAAAAUCAUUAUUUAAUGUCUGAAUUUGAUAAUAUUUUUUUGUAUUGUUCAACUUUGACCUUUAACUUCCUUAUUACCACUUCUGUUUACCACCAAUUUUUGGUCGCAAACCAAAUGGACCGUUUUCUAGUACCAUUAUUUUCACACCAACUACUUUGGAAUGAGUCUCCUUCUCUUGCGUCCCUCUCAAUUCUCAUUUUCAAAUUUACUUUAGUGUAUUUUUUUUUAAUUUAAAAAAAAUUAUUUACUUUAAAUAAGACAAACAAAUCAAAUAAAAAAUUGACGAUUUGAUCAAUUUAAUCGCUAACUUUUUUUGAAAAACAAUUGGUUAAUAAUACUUUAUUCAUGCAGAGGUACUAAAAUUGUCUUUUUAUUAUACUGAAUUGAGAUGUGUUGUGGUCGUAGUUUAAUUAUUGAGUGUUAUCCAUCAAGGUAUUAGCUGAUAAAAGUAUCAUGGAGGCUCUAAUAUUGAGAGUCAAAUUGUAUUUAACUCCUUUUAUUAAAAGAGUAAGUUAAUCCAUGUACAUUAGAUAGAAGAGUAAAUUGAUCAUUUUUAUUAAAAUGAUUCAUCUUUUUUUGUUGUUAAAAACUAACGUGGUUGGCAAAAUAAUCAGGCAAUACCUUAUGUUGAUUACAUGGAUCAAUUUUUAAUAAUAAUGGAUGAAAUUUUUUAAUAAAAGAACUAGUUUACUCUUUAAUCGGACCUACAAAGACUAAUUUAUUUAUUUUUUUAAGUAGAAAAUAUAAAAUACAAUCUGACCAAGAAUACAAGAAGAUACUUUUACUGAUAUUAUUAGGUUGAAGAUGAUGCUUCCGUGUUGUAUUGACGAUAACGAUGAAGUUAAUCAAUACAUUGUAUUUGUCAAGCAAAAUUAAUAAUAUAAGAAAAGUAUUCCAAUUUGGUAGAUUUAAAAAAAAGGAACAUGGUCGACAUGAAUUUCUUCGGUGGAAGGAUUGACCCACCAUAGAUUGGGAACUGCCACUUGACUGCUACUAAUAUCUGCAUUUCCAUCUAUAUAUGUAUGUAUAUAUAUAUAUAUAUAUAUAUAUGCUGGAACCUUGUUAUUACAUAAAAAUACAGGACGACUUCAUUUUCUUCUUCAAUGGCAGUGUCAGAAAUCUCGCGAUGUACUUAUCAUGUAUUCUUGAGUUUUAGAGGUGAAGAUACGCGCAAAAGUUUCACGGAUCAUCUUUACACAGCUUUGGUGCACUUAGGAAUUCGAACAUUUAGAGAUGAUGAGGAAAUCGAGAGAGGGAAUAACAUAAAAGAUGAAAUUGAAAAAGCAAUACUACACCACUCCAAAAUUUCUAUCGUUGUUUUCUCAAAGAAUUAUGCUGCAUCCACAUGGUGUCUUAACGAACUUGUAAUGAUAUUGGAGCACAAGAAAUCCUCUAAACAUAUUGUGUUGCCAGUUUUCUAUGAUGUGGAUCCCAGUCAAGUCAAGAACCCGACGGGAAGUUAUGCAGAAGCAUUUACCCAACAUGAACAAAACUUCGAGUCCAUGGUACAAAGAUGGAGGAAUGCUUUAAAAGAAGUUGCGGAUAUAGGAGGCAUGGUUCUACAAGACAGGUACGUUAUACACAUAAUCAGGUUCCAUAUGGUUACUUCAAUCCUUUUCAUUAAGACUUGAUAGAGUAGAAAUAAAAUUAAUAGAAAAUAUUGUUAGGUAGCGUUUGGAAAUUAAAAUGGUUACUUCAAUCCAUUUUAAAGGGUUAAUUAUAAUUCAGAUUUUAAAUUAUUUCUCAAAUAUUAAAAUGUUUUAAUUGAUUUAUUAAAGUAUUAGUAUUGUAUCAACAAGGUCUUUCUAUCAAACAAAUCAUCACCUUAAGCAUUAAAUGUUAGCUCGAAUCUAAUGUGGGAUGUUUUUAGAACACAUAGAUCAAGUUUUAAAUACGUUUGCACCUAUCACAUGAACAACUUGGAUUUGACGAGUUGAAAACAAAAAAAAAAGAAACUCUUGAAUUUAAUGACACUAUUUUUGAUUUUCUAAGAUGUCAUUGUUGGUAAUGCAAAAGAAUAUUUUGAAUUGUGGAAAAUCCUCUAACCGUUGCAGAAAACAUUUUUAGAAUAUUUUCAGUUAGGAAAAUCCUUUGCUAUUUUUGGAAACUAAAACUAUUAUUUUACCAUUUUGCCCAUCAAAAAAUAGUAUAAAUAGGAGGCGGUUCUCCCACCUAACACAACAAGAGAAAAACAACUUCGCUAUGUUCUCUAAAUUCUAGUGUUCUGCAAAAUUACACGAGAUGGAAAUUUUGUCUAAGAGAUUAGGUUUUAAGCGGGACUGUUUGUGACCCCUUUAAUCUUUCUUGGGAAUUGAAUUUUUUUUUUCCGGGAAGAGUAAUGUCAAUCGUGUUCCACCUUCUUUAUUCGGGUGUAUGAAUAUUGGAGUAUUGUGUUGGGGGGUAACGUCCACUACACGAUUACAUCGGUCAAGGCGAAUUUAUCUCUACUGCAGUGGUUCUUCCACGACACAAUGAUUCUUAUUUUAUUUACAUUCAGUUUGGUCUCCUGUAACAAUUCUAUUUUGCAGUACUAUAUUUCCAACAAUCAUAUCCAAGUUAUUCGUGUAAUAGGUCUACACAUAUUCAAAAUGUUACAAUGAAUAAAAUAUAUAUAUAAAUUCAUGUAAAUAACAUGAAUUUAUUAAACUUUCACAAAGUGAAAGUUGAAAUUUUGAGUAUAGGUUGUUUCUCGAACGAAUUUCAUUAAUUUUUAUGUUGUUUUAUUUGAUUUGAUUUUAAAUGUAAUAAUUCUAUCGAAAUGUUGCAUUAGUUUCUUAUUUUUACUUUAACAUAUAAUCUCAUAAAAACAAUCAAAAUAUAUGCAAGAACAGAGAAAAAACAUUAGUAACAUUUACAUAAUUUCCAAGAUUUUACCAUUGAUCAGUUGUAUUUUUCAAAUUUGCAGGCAUGAAUCACAAUUCAUCCAAGAUAUUGUUAAAGAAGUUCAAAAUAAACUUAAUCUUAUUUCUUUGUAUGUCCCUCCUUAUUUAGUUGGAAUAGAUUCUCUCGUGACACAAAUUAAUCAAUUGUUAGAACAAGAUGGAGCAAAUAAAGUUGGCAUUGCAACUAUUUGUUGGCAUUGCAACUAUUUGUGGCAUUGGAGGCAUUAGGAAGACAACCAUUGCCAAAGUUGUUUACAAUCAAAACAUCCCGAGGUUUGAAGGUUAUAGUUUCCUUGCUGAUGUUAGAGAAACAAGUCAAGAUUGCAAUGGUUUAGUCCGUUUGCAAAGGCAACUUAUUUCAGAUAUCCUUAAAGGAAAAUCACAUAAAAUAUUCAAUAUAGAUAAUGGAAUUAACAAGAUCAAAGAAAUUGUAUGUUGUAGAAGAGUUCUUCUUGUUCUUGAUGAUGUUGAUGGAUUGGAAAAAAAUAAGAAAAUUUAAAUGGGAACUCAAAUUCCUUUUCAUCCGGGAAGUAAAAUCAUCAUAACUAGUAGAAACCGAUGCCUANNNNNNNNNNNNNNNNNNNNNNNNNNNNNNNNNNNNNNNNNNNNNNNNNNNNNNNNNNNNNNNNNNNNNNNNNNNNNNNNNNNNNNNNNNNNNNNNNNNNNNNNNNNNNNNNNNNNNNNNNNNNNNNNNNNNNNNNNNNNNNNNNNNNNNNNNNNNNNNNNNNNNNAUGCAAGAAGUUUAGUGAAACACUGUGGUGGGCUUCCGUUAGCUCUUCAAGUUUUGGGCUCUUCAUUAUCUAGCAAAAGUGUGAGUUCUUGGAAAAGUGCAUUGGAGAAAUUGGAAGAAAUCCCUGACAGCAAAAUUCAAGAGAUUCUAAGAAUAAGCUAUGAUUCUUUGGAAGACGAUCAUGACAAAAAUUUAUUCCUUGACGUAGUUUGUUUAUUCAUUGGGAAGGAUAGAGAUUACACGACUACAAUUCUAGAUGGUUGUGAUUACUAUACAACAAUUGGAAUUGAAAAUCUAGUAGGCAGGUCUCUCUUAAUCAUUAAUGAAAAAAACAAGCUAAUGAUGCACCAAAUGAUUAGAGAUAUGGGACGAGAAAUUAUUCGUCAAGAAUCUUCUGAUAUUGGGAAACGAAGCAGAUUGUGGCAUAAGAAGAUGUAAUAAGAGAAAAAACUGUAAGAACAUCAUUUUACUCAACUUCUUUCUUGUGUGCAUUUAAACUUUUUUUUUUCAAAUUUCCUUUUACUUUGUAAAAAAGUUUUUCUGAUGCAGGGUUCCAGAACAGUUAAGUGCCUCACAAUUGACCUAAAAGGAUUGCUAGAAGACAAGGCUACAAGGACAAAUACAACUCUACAUUUUCCAAAGCAUUUCAUAAGUCAGUUUCUCAUGGCGAAUGAUGUUGAUAUGGAAACUCAAGCAUUUGCAAAGAUGAAGAGACUUAAACUGCUUCAACUGGAUUAUGUAAGACUUAAAGGAGACUUCAAAGACUUUCCCAAAAGAUUAAGAUGGUUACGUUGGCAUGGGUUUUGUAUGCAAUCUUUUCCGGUGGAUUUCGAUAUCAAUGAACUAGUUGUUCUCGACAUGCGCAACAGUAAACUUAAACAAGUUUGGAAGGAUACAGAGGUAUGAUAUAUACUAAUUUUCCUUCUUUUUGUGUUUGUGAGAAACAAUAAUAUAUAAAUGAAGGGUUUUCUUUUUUUGCAGUGCCUCCCAAAUUUAAAGAUCCUUAAUCUCAACCAUUCACAUAGCCUUCUUAAAACCCCAAGCUUUUCAGGACUCCCUAGCCUUGAGAAGUUGAUGCUCAAAGAUUGCAUAAAUUUGGUGGAAGUUGAUCAAUCCAUUGGUGAGCUAAAGAUGCUUACUUUCUUGAACCUUAAAGAUUGCACAAGUCUUAGGAAACUUCCAAGGACAAUUGGUUCAUUAAUAUCACUUGCAGAGCUUAUUUUAUCUGGUUGUUCAAGACUUGAUGAUGUCCCCAGGGAGUUGCAUAAUAUGAAAUCAUUGAAGGUGCUUAAUUUAGAUGACACUUCCAUAUGUCAAACAAGAUUGGGAUUGCAUUGGCUCUUACCGAAAAGAAGUAAAGAAUUGGGUUUCUUGGGCGUCUCUACCGUGCUCUUUGGUAAAGUUAAACCUUGAAAGUUGCAAAUUAUCUGAUGAUGUUAUGCCCAAUGAUCUUUACAACUUAGCUUCAUUGAAAUCCUUAAAUUUAAGUAGAAACCCAAUUCGUUACCUUCCCGAAAGCAUAAAAAAACUUACAAAACUUGAUGAACUUCUACUGACUUCUUGCACUGAACUCCAAAAGAUUCCAAAGCUUCCAGUCUUGCCCAAUGUUUUUGAGUUCUUGACAGUAUCUCCAUUUAAAGGAUAUUGGGCAAUUCUUCCAUGCUUCUUUUCUUCCACACGAUGUGUUAUUUUUGGAUGUGAAAAAUUGACCGAGGUUCAAGAUAUAUUCAAAUUGAAACCAAUUGAAAACUUUGAAGAAGAAGAAAUUCGAAGAUUAUUCAACCUGGAUUCCAUUAGCAGAAAUCGACUGCAACUUUAUAGCUACCUAACAGACAGCAUAAUGCUUGCUACCCCACAGGUCCAACAGUUCUCCAACUUAAAUUUUAACUUUAUUUUUUUUCUCUUAUAUUACUUAAUGAACACAUUUUUAAUCAUCUAACAUGUUUUUUUUUUGGAUCAGGUCUUGCAGGAAUGUGGUAUAACAAGCACAUUUGUUAUAGGAAGUGAAGUUCCGAUUGUGUUUAAGCAUCGCACUAAUGAGCACCGAAUCUCUUUUUCUUUGCCAACACCAUCUCAUCCAGAUGAAAAGAUCCAUCGGUUCAGCUUAUGCAUUGUUUUCUCUCUAGCUCGUGAUCAAAUAUUGGAGUUUCUACCAAGUGUCCACAUUUUCAAUGAGACCAAAAGGAUCAUGCAGAGAUAUGGCUCAAGUUUCAUCGGAAUUCCUGAGACUAACGAUAACACAAUGUUGUGGUUGAUCCAUUGGCCAGUAACGGAUUGUGAGUUUGAAGGUGGUGACCUUGUGAGUUGCAUGGUAGUGCCUAUUCAUCUCAGCAUAAGAAAAUUUGGCGUUACUUAUGAAUCACAACACAACGUUAGAAAUAAAUAUGGCUUUUCACACUUAUCUACAGGUAUGACUAUGACUCCAAGUGAUUAUGUUUAUGGAAUAUUACCCCAUGCACUAUUAACACUUAUCUAAACUAAAGAUAUAUCCUUAUUGAAAUAAAAUUUUUUUUGACAAAGAAAAUAAUAAAUUAUAUGAAUAUUUAAUGUGGUUUCAAUGACAAGAUUAUAUAUUAGUGAAUACAUCCUAUUAUUUUUUUAAUGUUUCGUUUUAGAUGUAAAUAACAAAUGAUUAAGAAAUGAUAAAUGUUGCAAUUGGGAUUUAAUUAAAAUAAUUUAAUUGUUUGAAAAAUGAUUAAUCCUAUUGUUAGUUUACAAGUCUUAUAAUACAUUUUAGUGAUAUAAUAUUCGUAUUUUGAUUUUUUUCAUAUAAUAUUAAGAGAAAGGGAUGGGGUCACACGGUUUGAAUCUGUAUCAAAUAGAUGUUGGACAAAAGCUUGAACCAGCAACCUAUUCAAGUCAAGACUACUAUUUUAAUAUUCUAAUAUGCAUAUCAUGUUGAUGAUCACUAGAAUUGAUAAAUAACACAUUAUUGUACAUAUUUUAGGAGAUGAAGUUGCCACAAGAAAUAUGAUGAUGGAUCUAACUAAAGACUUACCCAGUUUGGAAUCUUAUGGAAAUGUUAAAGUGCAACUUUGCAGUUAUAUAGAAGAAUCAAAAGUGGUUGCUUCCCCACAGGUUCCCUUUACAAGUUUCAACUUUUAAAAAAUAUUUAUAUACUAUUUUUUAAAAUCUUAUUCAAUAACCCAAUGUUACAGGUAUUAUACGAUUACGGCAUAAUUACAAUAGUUGAUCCAUUGCCAUUUGAUUACAAUGGCCACUAUUUUGGCCAUCAAGCUGGCAAGACUGAGGUUUCAAUAUCAGUGCCCCCAAACUCUAGUCGAAAGAUAAGUUGCUUCUUAAAUUCGAUUAUCAUUUUUUCUGCCAAGAAUGAUAAAACAUAUAGAUUUUUACCAUGCCUUGAAAUUGUGAACGAGACCAAAGGUACAAAGUGGACCUACUCCAAACAUUUCAUGGGAAUUCCUGAAAUUAAGAAUACCUUAUACUGGACGACUUGUUGGAACUUUAGGGGUGAUGAACUAGAAGCUGGUGAUUGUAUUAGUCUGCGGGUUCUUUCAAAUUUAUCUGUACUAGAAUUUGGGAUUGACCUUGUAUAUGAUUAUGAGCUAGAUGGUAACCCAAAUUUUUUCAGUCAGUUACCAUGGAUGAGUAAAUGUUUUACGUAUCUUUUCGGGACUUUUGUUUCUCUGUUGUCACAAUCCCAAAAAAACUUGUAUAGGUUGCAAAGUUUAGUCAAAUGCUGAUUAUUGUAGGAAUUGAAAUGGAGCAAAUGAAUAUUUUGGUUUAGUCAUUGCCGCCUUGGCUUGGCUGAUUUCAUCUUAUAUUUAAUCUCUAAUUCUUAUGUAUGCUAUCGAUAUUGAUUUUUGCUCAAGUUCUUCAAUGAAGCACCUUGUUCUUGGUAAUUCAAUUAACUUGUGCUUUUAACCAGAUGUCGUGGAGUUAUUUUUAACUAUUAUUAGGCUAAAUCUUUAGAGAAAAUGGUGAUUUCUAUUUAUGUUUCUAAUAUUCACGCCUGUUUUCAUUGGAAGGGACUCUGGAAAAUCUCUAAGUACCAUGGCAAAGUGUUGGGUGUUUAUUCCUAACAAUAGGAAUUGAAAAGAUCUAUCUUUUGGUUUUGUAAGAUUUGCAAGAAUUAUGGAUGCUAAGAGGGCGAUUAGUAGACUUAAUUGAUUUUGUAUAUAUGGAAGUAAAGUGAAUGUGAACUUAGCUCGCUUUGAGGGAAGAGUGGUGUACUAAAAGAAAGUUGAAAAUGGUAAGCUAGGAGGUGAUGAUCGUAGAGAUGAAUUAGGAGUAGAAAACGAGAAAAAGCAUUCUUGGGAGAUGAUUUGAUUACUAUUUGUGGAACACUAGUUCCUAUAACUACAUAUGCUUGUUCAUAAUAGUUAUCUUAAAAUAUCGAACAAAUAUCAAUUGGAUGUUCUGGUUUAAAUAUAUAAUUUCAAGAGAAUGUAUUCGUACCUCAUUCUACCCAAGAUUUAUGUCAAAUCCAAACUGUUGUGAGUUGUUAGCCAUGAUGAAAAUCAAUUCUGUAACAGUUUAAUAGGGUGGAGUUAGAAAAUUUUUUGAAGGGAGGCCGAAAUAAAAUUAUAUAUUUUUAUAACAAUAAAAGUAAAAUUUUACUAUUUUAAUAGUCUACAUCUUUAUAAUUUUUAAAAAAUUAAAUUAAAAAUUUUUCGUUUUCACUCCAACUGUUUCACUCAACAUAAUAAAUUCAUUUAAAGUAGUGAAGACGAUGGGAUAAGCUAAUGUUGAUCGUAUGGGAUGUGAAAAAGCAAGUAAGAGCAGUAGACUAUGAAAACUCGUAAUAUAUUUAUAAACAUUUCUUACGUUACAUUUCAACCACCUCUUUAAUUCCACCAGAAUCCGGUACUACUCGCUCUUGAGUGUAAUUAUUCGAAUAGGGAUCAUAUCUCUUUUAUAGUGGAAUACUACUUUGUCUUAUUACAUGGGCUUGUUCAUAAGAGUUCUCUUAGAAUAUCGAACAAAUAUCAGUUGGGUAUUCUGGUUUAAAUAUUUAAUUUUCAAGAGAAUAUAUUCUUACUUCACUCUGUCCUCUCGAAGAUUCAUGUCAAAUCCAAACUGACGUGACGUGAGUUGAUAGUCAUGAUAGAAAUCAAUUCUCUAGCAUUUCAACGAGUUUUGCUCGUAAGUAAAAGUCUUUCGUAAAAAUAUUAGAUAAGUAAUUGGUAAAAAAUUUAAUUCAAAAGGCAACUAGUAAAGAGCUCUUUAAUAUUUUUCAACAUUCAUAAAGGGUUUUUAUGUACUUUUAUUGAAUGGAAUAGAUUUUUUUUUUCCUAAUAGAGGAACCACGAGAAGCAAAAUCUUUUCCAAAGAAUAUUCUUAGUUGAUCUAUUCAAAAUGUACUUGGCAACCAGUUCUUGCAAAGAAAAUCAUAAUAAUUUUUCCUGUUUGAAAUCCUAAAAAUCUUUUAAAUCAACCCAAUCAUCUCAUUCAAAUACUUUAUUAAUUUUACACAAAUUAUUCUUCGCAUCAACAAAUAUUAUUUAUCACCCACUUUCAUGCAAAAUUAUUUUUACUAUGCAAGGAAUUGUCUCCAUGAAUUACUGUCAUCUUUUAGUUUAAGAUGAGUAAAUUUCAACCAGUAAUAACUUUCUUGAUGAACACCAUAUCUAUUUUGAUGAUAUGACAUGCUUUCUUUUGGUUCAAGAAAGGCAAUCAAUGACUUGAAAUUGAACCAUGAUUUUAAAGGACUUGGGUUUAUAUAAGUGGUAAUUCAAUUUCCUUUUCCUUGUUGGAAAAGGAAUUCCAUUUUGACUUUAACAGUGAUUUUUAAGUUGUUGUUUUCUUAUUGUUAAUUAUUUAAAAAAUAAUCGCAUUUUAACUUGUAAACUUAAAUCUUAAACUAUUAUCAUUAUGUUUACUUUCUGAUGAUAAUUAACAAAAAUAUUUGGUUUUAAAAUUUUAAUACAAUCAAUGAAACGCAAUUCACAUAUAUGAAUAAUGAUGAAAUUUGACGUGAUUAAAAAAAUAUUAAAUUUUGUUAUAUUUUUAAUAAUGAAUAUAGGUAAAAUGGUAAUAAACCGGCAUUUUAAUGUCAUUUAAAACGUGUCAAAUAAAUAUUAGAUUAGAUAUUCAAUAUUAAUAAUCAAUAUAUAUUAAUUGAAUUAGACAUUAUAAUUAGUCAUGACUGUCGAAAUUUAAAAUUGUAAAAAUUAAUAUAUAUUGAAUUAAAUGACUACUAUACAUAAUCUUAUUCAAAUAAUAAUAAUGAAAAAAAGAGUGUUUAAGACAAUUUCGUUGUAUUUGUUUGUUCUAUGAUCCAACUAUGGUAGGUAAGCGUGAUGUAGGCUCAUCGUACUCCCAUCCAGUGGCUUUAAUUUGCUCUAAUGGAAUCGAAAAUGAAUCAAUCCUUUUAACUUCUUCUUCUUCCUCUUCAUCAUCGGAAAUCGACUUUAUUUCUAAAAAAAGUUUUGGGUCGAUUUUGGAGUUCCAAUCAAUAUCAUCGAUAUACAUAUCAGCUGCAUUACUUGGCAACUUAUUUGUGAAAGGAAAACGAUGAUAAUACUCCCAGAAUCUCUGUUUUGCUUCUUGGAAAGCUUUUAAACCAGCUGAAUCAUCCCAUUCGAAUACUUUAUCUAUUUUGAACAAAUUAUUCUUUGAUUCAACAAAUCUUUUCCAUGGCAUUGCACCCACUUUUAUGCAUAAAUUUUUCUCCCAUGAGGUAAUGGUUCCCAUGAAUUAUAGUUAUCAUUCAGUUUGAGACGAGUAAAUUUCGGACUGUAGUACCUUUCUGGGCGAUUAUGAUAUCUUCUUUGAUAGUAUGGCAUGAUUUCUUAUAAUCCAAACAAAUAAAUGAAUUGAAAUCGCUAAUGAUUUGAAUUUACAGUGAGGAGACCUGUUGGGUUUAUAUAAUCUUAUUAGAGUCGGUGGUGACUCAAUCCAUUUCCUUGUUGGAAAAGGAAUUCUAAUUUCAGUUUGACUAUGAUUUCUAUUUUCUAAAUUUUUGUAUAAUAAAAUUUUUAAAAAAUAACUAUAUCUGUAUUGAUUCGUUUCCCUCUGAUUGAUACGUUACAUCCCUAGCUUCUCUAGAAUCCUCAUUAACUAUCUGAUCUCUUCACCCAUUGGUGUUCCCCCAAGAGUGUUUUUUCUCGUUUUCUCCUCCUAAUUCAUCUCCACGAUCAUCACCUCCUAGCUUACCGUUUUCAACUUUCUUCCAGUACACCACUUUUCCCUUAAAGCGAGCUAAGUUCACAUUUACUUUACUUCCAUAUAUACAGAAUCCAUUAAGUUUACUAAUUGGCCACUUAUCAUCCACAAUGCUUGCAAAUCUUACUAAAACAAAACGUAUGUAGACCUUUUCGAUGCCUUUUGUUAGGAAUAAACGCGUCCAACACUUUGCCAUGGAACUCAGAGAUUUUCCAUGGUCCCUUCCAAUGAAAACAAGAAGGAAGAUUAGAAACAUAAACUGAAAUCACCAUUUUCUCUAAGGAUUUAGCCUAGUAAUAGUUAACAAUAACUCCACGGCAUCUGAUUAAAAGCACAAGUUAAUUGAAUUACCAAGAACAAUGUUCUUCAAUACUAUUCCAAAUUCAAUUUUGGAACUUCUGUUAUCAUAGCUUUCAACUAUUUGAAACUCUGUUGGCAUUAUUCAAUCACACAUAACUAACAUUUUCUGUAGCAACUUCGUCAUGGUAGAGCUAUCAUCGACAAGCCUGAACAAAUCACCUGUAGUAUACAAUAAAUCCUAGAGAACUACACACUUCUAUAUUAUUUUUCAGAGAUUCCCUAAUUCACAUUUAUCAGGAGUUUAUUCGAAAUAACUCAAAUAUCUUCUGCUGUUAAUAAAAGGUUUAGAAAACUUAUUUCUUGAAAUUAAAAUUCACAUUUAUUGAUUUUCACAAAUAAUUAUUUCUCUCGUAAUAUCUGUACGUAACACUGUUUUUCCAAUACUAAUCGUGUUCAAAUUUUUUCUUCACAUGAAUUGAGUAUCUUUAAUUAUAUAGCAACAACUCUGAUAAGAUACAACUAGAAACUUUUUGUCUAUUAAAUAUAUAAAGUGACUAUGCAAUUGAUAAUCAUAUACAAUAAUCAACAUUUGUCUAAACUUUGCAACCUAUACAAGUCUUUUUGGGAUUUCGACGAAACAUAAACAAAAAUCCCGAGAAGAUACUUAAAACAUUUACUCAUCCAUGGCAACUGACUGAAAAAAUUUGGGUUGUCUUCUAGCUCAUAAUCAUAUACAAGGUUAAUACCAAAUUCUAGCACAGAUAAAUCUGAAAGAACCCGAAGACUAAUAUGAUCACCAGCUUCUAAUUCAUCACUUCUAAAGUUCCAACAAGUCGUCCAGUAUAAGGUAUUCUUAGUUUCAGGAAUUCCCAUGAAAUGUUUGGAGUAGGUCCACUUUGUACCUUUGGUCUCGUUCACAAUUUCAAGGCAUGGUAAAAAUCCAUAUGUUUUAUCAUUCUUGGCAGAAAAAAUGAUAAUCGAAUUUAAGAAGCAACUUAUCUUUCGACUAGAGUUUGGGGGCACUGAUAUUGAAACCUCAGUCUUGCCAGCUUGAUGGCCACAGUAAUGACCAUGGUAAUCAAAUGGCAAUGGAUCAAAUGUUGUAAUUAUACUGUAAUCAUAUAAUACCUGUAGCAUUGGGUUAGAGAAUGAGUUAUUAAAAAGUAUAUAGUAUAUAAAUAAUUUUAAAAACUUGGAACUUGUAAAGGGAACCUGUGGGGAAGCAAUCACUUUAGAUUCUUCUAUAUAACUGCAAAGUUGCACUUUAACAUUUCCAUAAGAUUCCAAACUGGGCAAGUGUCUAGUUAGGUCCAUCUUGAUAUUUCUUGUGGAAACUUCAUCUCCUAAAAUAUGUACAAUAAUGUGUUAUUUAUCAAUUUUAGUGAUCAUCAACAUAAUUUACUUAUUAAAAAAAUAAUAGUAUUGACUUGAAUGGAGUGAUAAUUAUCAAACACCCAUUUGACAAGAAUUCAAAUCGUGACCCAUCCCCAAUACUCAAUAUUGUAUGAAAAAAAGAUAUCAAAAUAGUAAUGUUAUUAUCACUAAAAUAUAUUAUAAGACUUGUAAGAAAUAAUCAAUUAUACACAUUAAAUAACUUUAAAACUAUUAAAUAAGUUAAUCAAAACACCACUUUUAUAAUUUUAUCCAUUAUUUUAGUUUCCACUUCUAUUAGCUAUUGGAUUAAUCAUUUAUCAAACAAUUAAAUUAUUUUCAUUAGACCCCAAUUGCAGCAUAACUUUAUAAUUAUCAUUUUAUUAUUAAGCUAAAUUUCUCUCAUAAUCUAUUAAAUUGUCACAUUUCUUGAUAAUAUUUUUUAUUGUAUUAGAAAGUCUUUUAGAGAAACAUUCAUCAUUUCUUGAACAUUUGUUAGUCACAUAUAAAAUAAAUAUAAUAGGACGUAUUUACUAAAAUAUAAUUAUUUGAAGUCUACUCAUACCUGUAGAUAAGUGCGAAAAGCCAUAUUCAUAUCUAAUGUUGUGUUCUGAUUCAUAAGUAACGCCAAAUUUUCUUAUGCUGAGAUGAAUAGGCACUACCGCGCAACUCACAAGGUCACCAGCUUCAAACUGACAGUCCGUUACUGGCCAAUGAAUCAACCACAACAUUGUGUUAUCGUUAGUCUCAGGAAUUCCAAUGAAACUUGAGCGAUAUCUCUGCAUGAUCCUUUUGGUCUCAUUGAAAAUGUGGACACUUGGUAUAAGCUCCAACAUUUGAUCACUAGCUAAAGAGAAAACAAUGCAUAAGCUGAACCGAUGGAUCUUUUCAUCUGGAUGAGAUGGUGUUGGCAAAAAAAAAGAGAUUCGAUGCUCGGUAGUGCCAUGCUUAAACCCAAUCGGAACUUCACUUCCUACAACAAAUGUGCUUGUUAUACCACAUUCUUGCAAGACCUGAUCCAAAAAGAACUAGUUAGAUGAUUAAGUAGUAUAAGAGAAAAAAUAGAUUUAAAAUUUAACUUGGAGAACUAUUGGACCUGUGGGGUAGCUAGCAUUAUGCUGUCUGUUAGGUAGCUAUAAAGUUGCAGUCGAUUUCUGUUAAUGGAAUCCACUUUGAAUAAUCUUCUAAUCUCUUCUGCUUCAAAGUUUUCAAUUGGUUCCAACUUGAAUAGAUCUUCAACCUCAGUCAACUUUUCACAUCCAAAAAUAAUACAUCGUGUGGAAGAAAAGAAGCAUGGAAUAAUUACCGUAUAUCCAUGAAAUGAAGAAUUGUCUCCAAAAAUAAACUUGCACUCAAAAACAUUGAGCAAGACCGGAAGCUUUGGAAUCAUUUGGAGUUCAGUGCAAGAAGUCAAUAGAAGUUCUUCAAGUUUUGUAAGGUUUUUUAAGCUCUCGGGUAGGUAAUGAAUUGGGUUUCUACUUAAAUUUAAGGAUUUCAAGGAAGCCAAGUUACAAAGAUCAUUGGGCAUGACAUCAUUAGAUAAUUUGCAACUUUCAAGGCUUAACUUUACCAAAGAGUCCGGUAGAGAUGCCCAAGAGAAACCCAAUCCUUUGCUUCUUUUCAGUAAGAGCCAAUGCAACCCCAAUCUUGAUUGAUAUAUGGCAGUUUCAUCUAAAUUAAGCACCUUCAAUGAUUCCAUAUUAUGCAACUCCCUAGGAACAUCAUCAAGUCUUGAACAACCAGAUAAGAUAAGCUCUUCAAGUGAUAUUAAUGAACCAAUUGUCCUUGGAAGUUUCCUAAGACUUGUGCAAUCUUUAAGGUUCAAGAAAGUAAGCAUCUUUAACUCACCAAUGGAUUGAUCAAUUUCCACCAAAUUUAUGCAAUAUUUGAGCAUCAACUUCUCAAGGCUAGGGAGUCCUGAAAAGCUUGGGGUUUUAAGAAGGCUAUGUGAAUGGUUGAGAUUAAGGAUCUUUAAAUUUGGGAGGCACUGCAAAAAAAGAAAGCCCUUCAUUAAUUAUAUAUUAUUGUUUCACACACACACAAAAAGGAGUAUUAGUAUAUAUCAUACCUCUGUAUCCUUCCAAACUUGUUUAAGUUUACUGUUGCGCAUGUCGAGAACAACUAGUUCAUUGAUAUCAAAAUCCACCGGAAAAGAUUGCAUCCAAAACCCAUGCCAACGUAACCAUCUUAAUCUUUUGGGAAAGUCUUUGAAGUCUCCUUAAGUCUUACAUAAUCCAGUUGAAGCAGUUUAAGUCUCUUCAUCUUUGCAAAUGCUUGAGUUUCCAUAUCAACAUCAUUUGCCAUCAGAAACUGACUUUUGGAAUGCUUUGGAAAAUGUAGAGUUGUAUUUGUCCUUUUAGCCUUGUCUUCUAGCAAUCUUUUUAGGUCAAGUGUGAGGCACUUAACUGUUCUGGAACCCUGCAUCAGAAAAACUUUUUUAAAAAAUAAAAAGAAAUUUGAUAAAAAAAAAGUAGAUUACAUGCACACAAGAAAAAAGUUGAGUAAAAUGAUGUUUCUUACAAUUUUUUCUCUUAUUACAUCAAAGGCGUUCUUAUGCCACAAUCUGCUUCGUUUCCCAAUAUUAGAAGAUUCUUGACGAAUAAUUUCUCGUCCCAUAUCUCUAAUCAUUUGGUGCAUCAUUAGCUUGUUUUUUUCAUUAAUGAUUAAGAGAGACCUGCCUACUAGAUUUUCAAUUCCAAUUGUUGUAUAGAAAUCACAACCAUCUAGAAUUGUAGUCGUGUAAUCUCUAUCCUUCCCAAUGAAUAAACAAACUAUGUCGAGGAAUAAAUUUUUAUCAUGAUCGUCUUCCAAAGAAUCAUAGCUUAUUCUUAGAAUCUCUUGAAUUUUGCUGUCAGGGAUUUCUUCCAAUUUCUCCAAUGCACUUUUCCAAGAACUCACACUUUUGCUAGAUAAUGAAGAGCCCAAAACUUGAAGAGCUAACGGAAGCCCACCACAGUGUUUCACUAAACUUCUUGCAUAUGCCAUUAAACUUUCAGGCACAGAGUUAUGACCAAAAGCAUACCAAUUAAAAAGUUGCAGCGAUUCACUUGAUGCUAAUUCUUUUACUUCAAAUAGCUUGCUUAAGCCUCCACAACUAGUUGAUGCUUCCAACUCAAACAUUUGGCUUAUAAAAUGUGCAUUCAAUAGGCAUCGGUUUCUACUAGUUAUGAUGAUUUUACUUCCCAAAUGAAAAGGUAUUUGAGUUCCCAUUAAUUUUCUUAUUUUUUCCAAUUCAUCAACAUCAUCAAGAACAAGAAGAACUCUUCUACAACAUACAAUUUCUUUGAUCUUGUUAAUUCCAUUAUCUAUAUUGUAUAUUUUAUAGUGUAUUUCCUUUAAGGAUAUCUGAAAUAAGUUGCCUUUGCAAACGGACUAAACCAUUGCAAUCUGGACUUGUUUCUCUAACAUCAGCAAGGAAACUAUAACCUUCAAACCUCGGGAUGUUUUGAUUGUAAACAACUUUGGCAAUGGUUGUCUUCCCAAUGCCGCCAAUGCCACAAAUAGUUGCAAUGCCAACUUUAUUUGCUCCAUCUUGUUCUAACCAUUGAUUAAUUUGUGUCACGAGAGAAUCUAUUCCAACUAAAUAAGGAGGGACAUACAAAGAAAUAAGAUGAAGUUUAUUUUGAACUUCUUUAACAAUAUCUUGAAUGAAUUGUGAUUCAUGCCUGCAAAUUUAAAAAAUACAACUCAAUGGUAAAAUUUUAGAAAUUAAGUAAAAGUUACUAAUGCAUUUUCUCUUUUCUUGCAUAUAUUUUGAUUGUUUUUAUGAGAUUAUAUGUUCAAAUAAAAAUAAGAAACUAAUGCAACAUUUCAACAUAUAUGAUAGAAUUAUUGCAUUCAAAAUCAAAUCAAAUCAAAUAAAGCAACAUAAAAAUUAAUGAAAUUCAUUUGAGAAACAACCUAUACUCUAAAUUUCAACUUUCUCUUUGUGAAAGUUUAAUAACAUGAAUUUAUAUAUUUAUUUUUUAUUCAUUGUAAUAUUUUGAAUAUGUGUAGACCCAUUACACGAAUAACUUAGAUAUAAUUGUUGCAAAUAUACUACUGCAAAAUAGAAUUGUUACAAGAGACCAAACUGAAUGUCAAUAAAAUAAGAAUCAUUGUGUCGUGAAAGAAUCACUGCAUUAGAGGCAAAUUCGCCUUGAUCGGUGUAAUCGUAUAGUGGACGUUACCCCCCAACAAAAUACUCCAAUAUUCGUACACCCGAAGGUGGAACAUGAUUAACAUUACUUUUCCCAAAAAAAAAGUUCAAUUCCCAAGAAAGAUUAAGGAGGUCACAAACAGUCUCGCUUAAAACCUAAUCUCUUAGACAAAAUUUCCCUCUCGUGUAAUUUUGCAGAACACUAGAAUUUAGAGAACAUAGAGAAGUUGUUUUUCUCUUGUUGUGUUAGGUGGGAGAAUGACCUCCUAUUUAUACUGUUUUUUGAUGGGCAAAAUGGUAAAAUAAUAGUUUUAAUUUCCAAAAAUAGUAAAUGAUUUUCCUAACUGAAAAUAUUCUAAAAAUAUUUUCUGCAACGAUUUUCUGCAAUUCAAAAUAUUCUUUUGCAUUAUCAACAAUGACAUCUUAGAAAACCACAAAUAGUGUCAUUAAAUUCAAGAGGCUAUUUCUUUUUGUUUUCAACUCGUCAAAUCCAAGUUGUUCAUGUGAUUUAAAAACAUCCCACAUUAGAUUCGAGCUAAUAUUUAAUGCUUAAGCUGAUGACUUGUUUGAUAGAAAGACCAUAUUCAUACAAUACUAAUAUUUUAAUGACUCAAUUAAAACAUGUUAAUGUUUCUGAGUUAUAAUUAACCCUUUAAAAUGGAUUGAUGUAACCAUUUUAAUUUCCAAACGCUACCUAACAAUAUUUUCUAUUAAUUUUAUUUCUACUCUAUCAAGUCUUAAUGAAAAGGAUUGAAGUAACCAUAUGGAAUUGGAUUAUGUGUAUAACGUACCUGUCUUGCAGAACCAUGCCUCCUAUAUCCGCAACUUCUUUUAAAGCAUUUCUCCAUCUUUGUACCAUGUUGGUUUCGGACUCGAAGUUUUGUUCAUGUUGGGUAAAUGCUUCUGCAUAACUUCCCGUCUGAUUCUUGACUUGACUCGGAUCCACAUCAUAGAAAACUGGCAACACACUAUGUUUAGAGGAUUUCUUGUGCUCCAAUAUCAUUACAAGUUCGUUAAGACACCAUGUGGAUGCAGCAUAAUUCUUUGAGAAAACAACGAUAGAAAUUUUGGAGUGAUGUAGUAUUGCUUUUUCAAUUUCAUCUUUUAUGUUAUUCCCUCUCUCGAUUUCCUCAUCAUCUCUAAAUGUUUGAAUUCCUAAGUGCACCAAAGCUGUGUAAAGAUGAUCCGUGAAACUUUUGCGCGUAUCUUCACCUCUAAAACUCAAGAAUACAUGAUAACUACAUCGCGAGAUUUCUGACAUUGCCAUUGAAGAAGAAAAUGAAGCCGUCCUGUANNNNNNNNNNNNNNNNNNNNNNNNNNNNNNNNNNNNNNNNNNNNNNNNNNNNNNNNNNNNNNNNNNNNNNNNNNNNNNNNNNNNNNNNNNNNNNNNNNNNCAAAGCAGAUAUUAUUAGCAGUCAAGUGGCAGUUCCCAAUCCAUGGUGGGUCAAUCCUUCCACCAGUUCAUACAACUGCCCGAAGAAAUUCAUGUCGGCCGUGUUGUUUUUUUCCAAAUCUACCAACUUGGGUUACGUAUUCUAUAUUAUUAAUUUUGCUUGACAAAUACAAUCUAUUGAUUAACUUGAUGGUUAUAGCUAACACAACACGUAAUAUAGACAUCAUCUUCAGGCUAAUAUUAGUAAAAAUACUAUGAAGGUUGUUGUAUUUUAAGUCAUACUAUAUUUUGUUUCCUCUACUUAAAAAAUAAUAAAUUAGUUAUUGUAUAUUAGAUUAGAAAGUAAACUAGUUCUUUUGUUAAAAAAUUUAUCCAUUGUUAUUGUUAAAAAUUAGUCCAUGUAAUAAACAUGAGGUACAUGUGACACGUCACAUGCAACUAUCUAAUUAUUUCGUCAUUCACGUUAGUUUUUAACAACAAAAAUGGAUGAAACUUUUAAUAAAAAUGAUAAAUUUAUUCUUUUAUCUAUGUAUAUGGACUAAUUUGCUUGUUUUUAAAUAAAAUGGGUUAAAUACAAUUUGACUCUCAAUAGAAUGAUCUCCAUGAUACUUUUACCGGCUAAUACCUUGGUGGAUACACUCAAUAAUUAAACCACAACCACAAUAUAUCACAUAGACAUCACAUUAAACAUUCAAGUUCAGUAUAGUAAAGAAACAAUUUUAGUAUCUAUGCAUGAAUGAAGAAUUAAUUGUUUUAGAAAAAGAAUUGGUGAUUAAAUUGAUCAGGUCGUCAAUUUUUUAUUUGAUUUAUUCGUGUUAUCUAAAGUAAAUAAAUUUUUAAAAAUUAAAAAAUAAUAAAAAUUCACGUAUAUUGCACGUUAAAGUAAAUUGAAAAUGAGAAUUGAGAGGGACAUAAGAGAAGGAGAAUAAUUCCGAAGUCAUGCUUAAGGAAAUUAGUGGCACUAGAAAACGCGUUUCAAUCGCUUUUCAUUUCGGAGUCAUGCUUACGGUCCAUUUGGUGCUCACCAUUUUUAUUAAAAAUAUUAUCUGAAUAGAGUUUUUCAACAGAGGUAGUAGAAAGGAAGGAAAACGUCAAAGUUGUACACUUUAAAAAAAUUAUAUUAUCAGACCUUAAACAAUGAUUUGUCGGCCUUAAAUUAGCAAUUAAAGAGGAUGGGAUAAGGGUAAGGUUGAGUAAUUGAUUCAAAAUUUCAUGCUGAGGGCAACUAGCACAAAAUUGUUUAAAUAUUUUCCAGUACUCAUUAAGGAUCUUCAUAUCCUUUUUGUGGUAUGGCAUAGAUUUCUUUCCUAAUUGAAGCACAAAGUGAAGAAAAAGAAAAUUCAACGAAUAUUCUUACCAUAUCUAUUUUAAAAUUUUAAUAUAAUUAAUGAAAAACAAUUCACAUAUAUGAAUCAUCAAAUUUGAGGUGCUUAGAGAAUCCCAUGUGAUGGCCUGAUGAUUAAGGUUGUUCAAAAUACAUGAAUGAUAAAAUUUAACGUGAUUAAAUAAAUAUUGAAUUUUGUUAUAUUUUUAAUAAUAAAUAUAGGUAAAAUGGUAAUAAAUUGGUAUUUUAAUGCCAUUAAAAACGUGUCAGAUAAAUAUUAGAUUAGAUAUUCAAUAUUAAUAAUCAAUAUAUAUUAAUUGAAUUAUACAUUAUAAUUAAGGAUGAGUGUCGAAAUUCAAAAUUGUAAAUAUUAAUAUAUAUUGAAUUAAAUUACUACCAUACAUAAUCUUAUUCAAAUAAUAAUAAUGAAAAAAAUGAGUGUUUAAGACAAUUUCGUUGUAUUUGUUUGUUCUAUGAUCCAACUAUAGUAGGUAAGCGUGGUGUAGGUUCAUCGUACUCCCAUCCAAUGGCUUUAAUUUGCUCUAAUGGAAUCGAAAAUGAAUCAAUCCUUUUAACUUCUUCUUCCUCUUCAUCAUCGAAAAUUGACUUUAUUUCCAAAAAAAAGUUUUGGAUCAAUUUUGGAGUUCCAAUCAAUAUCAUCUAUAUACAUAUCUGUUGCAUUACUUGGCAACUUAUUUGUGCAACGAAAACGAUGAUAACAUUCCCAGAAUCUAUGUUUGGCUUUCUAAAAAGCUUUUAAACCAGCUGAAUCAUCCCAUCAGAAUACUUUAUCGGUUUUCAACAAAUUAUUCUUUGAUUCAACAAAUCUUUUCCAUGGUAUUGCACCCACUUUUAUGCAGAAUUUUUUCUCCCAUGCUGGUAAUGGUUCCCAUGAAUUAUUGUUAUCAUUCGGUUUGGGACGAGUAAAUUUCUUUUUUUUAGUAACUUUGUUGGCGAUUAUGAUAUCUUCUUUGAUAGUAUGACACGAUUUCUUGUAAUCCAAACAAAUAAAGGAAUUGAAAUCGCUAAUGAUAUGGAUUUACAGCGAGGGGACUUGUUGGGUUUAUAUAUAAGAUUAUUAGAGUUGGUGGUGACUCAAUCCUUUUCCAACAAUUCUAAUUUCAGUUUGAUUAUUGAUGGGUGUCGAAUCCACCAAUAUAAACCUACACCUAAUUUUGCAAAUUUAAACAGUAUAAGGAGUAGGGUCGAUCCCUCAGAGACUGGGUUUACUGCAAAUUGUUGCUCUCUUGACCAGAUUUAUGUCGGGGCAGUUGUCGUGCCCAAGAAAUUUGGGGGAAGGAUAAAAUCGAAAACCUGGAACCUGAAAUAAAUAAAUAAAUAAAAUGAGUAAAAAGUAAAAGCUGCAAAUAAAUAAUAAAAGGCAGUUAAAUAAAUCUGAAGAAAAAUUAAUUAAAAUAAGCUCAGCUUUAGGCACGGAUUUUUCCUCGUCUUUGAACCAAUCCUCGAAAUUAGAUGAACUCCUCUUUUCCAAUAAGCUAGUUAUAGCUACCAAGGACGCCUCGGACACCAACUCUUCCUUGUGUAAAUUAGUUAUGGAACGUCCAAUAACUAACCCUUACCAAUCGAACAACCACGAAACGUUCGUGAUUUAGAACUUCUGCAGCUUUGCGUUCUAGAAGAGCCUAGCUCGAACCAAUGCCCUCAACCGCGUGGGNNNNNNNNNNNNNNNNNNNNNNNNNNNNNNNNNNNNNNNNNNNNNNNNNNNNNNNNNNNNNNNNNNNNNNNNNNNNNNNNNNNNNNNNNNNNNNNNNNNNNNNNNNNNNNNNNNNNNNNNNNNNNNNNNNNNNNNNNNNNNNNNNNNNNNNNNNNNNNNNNNGAUCUGACUUUGUGAGUUGACAAAAUCAUACUCUUAAUCCGAAGAAAUAAUAAGUACUGGAAUUUAGGGUGUGUAACUCACGGGUUUUGACGAGGCUAAUUCCGGCCUAAAGCUGAAAUGGAUACUUAAUAAAAAAAACUUGGUAAUAAAAAACUUGAUUAAUAACUUGAUUCAAGACUUGAUGAUAAAAUGAACAAAGUAGUCCACUAUUUAUACUAGUGGCUUUGCUAAAUUAAGAGCCAACUAGUAUAGAAAAUCAAGGAAUAAAAUAUUAAAAAUCCCUACAUAAUCUCCCACUAAGUCAACAAAAAUUUCAGCUAAUUAAUCUUGGAAAAAUUCUACUUUGGUCCUCCUUCUUUGCUUCUUUCUUCAAUCUAGCCCAAUUGUCUCAUUUUUCUUCUAUUUAGCCCCAAAUUGCACUCCUACACAAAAUUCAACAAAAACAUGGAAAAAUUAGUGUUGCACUCUCAUAAAUUAACCAAUUUAAUUACAUAAAAUAUGUAACUUUAGCAUUUAAACAAAUCCCCCUACUUAGCUUAUGCUAGUCCUCGAGCAUUUUGUAUGUAUCUACAAAAAGAAAAAAAAUUUCUCCAAAAUAGGGCUUGACCACCAUGAUUUGCACAAUUCAACAAUUUAAUCCUAGCACAUUAACAUCUCAAAUAACCUAGCCUAAGAAGUAAGUAAAUAUAUUUCAGAAUUUAUUAGAGCUUGAUAGACCUACCCCUAAUUUAUUUUUAUUUAUAAUAAUAAUAAUAAUUUUUUGUGUACUUAGGACAUUUUCGAAUUUUUUUUACGCGAGACAAGAUGACAACCCAAGCACCAUGUUCUGGUUACUCGAUUCGGAUGUCUCUAAGCGGGUUAUUUCGCCCUACUCGUGAUAGCUUGUUAACGGAGUGAGUGCAAAGAAAUUAUAUAGUCACACUUUGCGCGAGAUGUGAUGACAACCCAAGCACCACAUUCCGGUUACUCAGCCUGAUGUACAACCCCAAUAUUUCACUCUUAACAUUCGUAUCAGAUGAGUAUUUAUUCAUUUCUUCUUUUUUUCUCUUUUUUUUCUCUCUUUGUUUUUUUAAAGAAGAGAAGGAAAAAAAUUGAGAUGUGAUAUGAGGUAGGCAGUCAAGCAAACUCAUAAUUCCUAAAAAAAAAAAUCUUUCCCACUACGUCUAGCCUAUUGAAAAGUUUGUGUAAAGAACUAAAUAGCUAAAUAGGUCAAACCAUAAGUGUACCAUCCUAAUUUAUCAAAAGAAAAAUUUUACCUUUCACGAAAAAUAUGCAAAAACAACGACAACGAAUAAGCAAAAUAGAACUAAUAUAUGUUCCCUUCCCCCUACUUAUUUUAUAUUGUCCCUAAUGUAAUUUGAAUUGAAUUAAAUGAUAAAAAGUAAAGGUAAGUAGGGAAAGGAAAAAGAAACUCUCGAUGUAUUUCAACGUCGUGGAGGGUUGCCUAGUAGGUGUGUCCACGGUGUUAAAUGGUGGGUAGGUGGAUUGGGCCUUUGCUGAAAUUAAAAGAAUUUUGUAGGCUGACAUGGGGGAUUUAAUUUUGUCUUGGAAUGUCUCCCUGUUAUUCAAAUUUUGGGCUCCUCGAGAACAAUUGUAAGUGUUGCUAGUCCCCGGCAACGUCGCCAAAGCUGAUGGGUGUCGAGUCCACCAAUAUAAACCUACAUCUAAUUUUGAAAAUUCAAGCAGUAUAGGGAGUAGGGUCGAUCCCUCGAGACUGGGUUUACUGCAAAUUGUUGCUCUCUUGACCAGAUUUAUGUCGGGGCAGUUGUCGGGCCCAAGAAAUUUGGGGGAAGGAUAAAAUCGAAAACUUGGAACCUGAAAUAAAUAAAUAAAAUGCGUAAAAAGUAAAAGCUGCAAAUAAAUAAUAAAAGGCAAUUAAAUAAAUCUGAAGAAAAAUUAAUUAAAAUAAGCUCAGCUUUAGGCAUGGAUUUUUCCUCGUCUUUGAACCGAUCCUCAAAAUUAGAUGAACUCCUCUUUUCCAAUAAGCUAGUUAUAGCUACCAAGGACGCCUUGGACACCAACUCUUCCUUGUGUAAAUUAGUUAUGGAGCGUCCAAUAACUAACCCUUACCGAUCGAACAACCACGAAAUGUUUCGUGAUUUAGAACUCCUGCAGCUUUGCGUUCUAGAAGAGCCUAGCUCGAACCAAUGCCCUCAACCGCGUGGGACAUUUAAAUCCAGUUACUACUUCCCUUGACGGAACCAAACAGCAAUCUCCACUUGGCACGCCAAUGUGUUCACAGAAAACCGAUUGGAAACGUUCCUUUCGGAAUUCCAACUGUACGUCUAACCACACUAAAUCAAACGACGUCUUUUUUGACUUAAUGUUGAUCUGACUUUGUGAGUUGACAAAAUCAUACUCUUAAUCCGAAGAAAUAAUAAGUACUGGAAUUUAGGGUGUGUAACUCACGGGUUUUGUCGAGGCUAAUUCCGGCCUAAAGCUGAAAUGGAUACUUAAUAAAAAAAACUUGGUAAUAAAAAACUUGAUUAAUAACUUGAUUCAAGACUUGAUGAUAAAAUGAACAAAGUAGUCCACUAUUUAUACUAGUGGCUUUGCUAAAUUAAGAGCCAACUAGUAUAGAAAAUCAAGGAAUAAAAUAUUAAAAAUCCCUACAUAAUCUCCCACUAAGUCAACAAAAAUUUCAGCUAAUUAAUCUUGGAAAAAUUCUGCUUUGGUCCUCCUUCUUUGCUUCUUUCUUCAAUCUAGCCCAAUUGUCUCAUUUUUCUUCUAUUUAGCCCCAAAUUGCACUCCUACACAAAAUUCAACAAAAACAUGGAAAAAUUAGUGUUGCACUCUCAUAAAUUAACCAAUUUAAUUACAUAAAAUAUGUAACUUUAACAUUUAAUGAAUUAUGAUUUCUAUUUUCUAAAUAUUUGUAUAAUAAAAUUAUUAAAAAAUAAUUAUAUUUGUAUUGAUAAUAUUUUCUUAUUAAAUGAGUUUUAUAAGUUAAAUAGCAAUCAAACCAAGACUGGGAGACUGAACUGCAUUAGGUCUUGGGGGUGAUCCAUCGCUUCAACCACUAUCUACUAUCCACCAUCCACCAUCUACAUCCUUCCCCUAUAUAAACUCUGCAAAUAUAUAUAUAUAGAGAGAGAGAGAGAGCGACACACACACACACAAAUUAUGGAAGGCAGGAAAGUUAGAUAUCAAAUACGGUUGCAUGGUGGUUUCACAGCCGCUAUUUCAAAAUAGCUAAAGAUCUCAUUAGUUGUGUGAACAAAUUUCAUAUGUUCUUCGAAAUCCAAAGCAGAAAAAUCACAUACAGAGGCUGGGAUCAGAUAACUGAUACUCAUGUACAAAUUUAAGGGCUUCGAAUUUACCUCAUUUGAUCAGAGUCGUGGUGAGAUGCUCGUUUGGGACAAAGAUCCGUACGAAGAGAGAUGAGGGUAGGAAGGAGUUCUUAAAAAACACAAAGGGUUAAAAUCUUCUAUUAGUCCCUGUACUUUGUAAAAGUUGUGAAUUCAGUUCCUAUCUUUUAAUUUGAAUAAUUUCAGUCCCUUUACUUUUUGAAGUAGUAGUUACAUCCAUUAAGUUCAAUUACUAGUAUUGCACUACACGUAUGGUUGUAGGCUUAGUCUAUAUGCCCUAAUUGGAUCAUUCUAAGUCUCUAUACUUUUUAAAUUUUAAAAUUUUAAUCUCGAUGUAAAUGAUAGUUAUUAAUCAAUUAAUUAGAUUUUUAGUGAGUAAUAUGCGAAAAUAAAAAAAGCUAACAUGACAUUAUACAUAGGAUAAUAUGUAGAUUUGGAUUUGGAUCUUUGGGAACAUGUAGAAGAGGAUUACGAGGUCCCACCACUUCCAGCAAAUCCUACUGUGGCACAGAUUAAAGCACAAAAGGAAAAGAAAACAAGGAAAUCAAAGGCAAAAUCUUGCUUAUUUGCAGCUGUGUCUCAAAUGAUUUUUACACGAAUAAUGUCUCUGAAAUCAGCAAAGGAAAUUUAGGAUUACCUCAAGGCUGAGUAUGAAGGAGAUGAGAGGAUUCGUAGAAUGAAAGUCCAGAAUCUAAUCAGGGAUUUCGAGUUGCAGAAGAUAAAGGAGUCUGAGUCAGUGAAAGAAUAUUCUGACAGACUUCUCAGUAUUGCCAACAAGGUGAGAUUGCUUAGUUCUGAGUUGAACGACUCUAGAAUCGUAGAAAAGCUACUGGUCACUGUUCCAAAGAAGUUUGAAGCCACCAUUACUACUCUGGAGAACACCAAGGACAUGUGUCAAAGAUCUCUCUUGCAGAGCUCUUGAAUGCUUUACAAGCACAAGAGCAAAGAAGAUCCAUGAGGCAAGAGGGAGUGAUAGAAGGGGCCUUACCUGUCAAGCAUCAAGACAAUAAUAGGUAUAAAAAGAAGAAAAAUUUUAAGAACCAGUCGACGAGCGGAGAAAAUUCAUCAGGCAAUUAUCAGAAGAGCAAAAGAGGAGGUGUCAAGAAAUCCUACCCACCUUGUCACCAUUGUGAGAAGAAAAGUCAUCCACCAUUCAAAUGUUGGAAAAGACCUGACGCCAAAUGCUCCAAAUGCAAUCAACUUGGACAUGAAGCAGUGAUUUGCAAGGUCAAAGGCCAGGUGCAAGAACUAGAUGCACAGGUAGCUGAUCAAUAAGAAGAAGAUCAAUUGUUCGUGGUUACUUGUUUCUCAGGCAGAGAAUCAAGUGAGAGCUGGUUGAUUGAUAGUGGGUGCACAAAUCACAUGACGUAUGACAAUGAGCUCUUCGAGGAAUUGAGAACACUGAAGUCAAAAGAGUGAGGAUUAGAAAUGGUGAGUACUUGGAAGUCAAGGGAAAAGGCAUAGUAGCUAUUACAAGCUAUGAAGGUACAAAAUUCUUUUCAGAUGUUUUGUUUUUACCUAAAAUUGAUCAAAAUCUCUUAAGUGUUGGUCAGUUGCUGCUGGAUAAAGGCUAUAAAGUGCUAUUUGAAAAUAAGCAGUGCUUGAUCAGAGAUGCUAAUGGCAGAGACUUGUUCAAUGUCAAAAUGAAAUGAAAAGUUUUGCUCUUAAUCCAAUGGAAAAGGAGCAAAUGGCUUUUAAAUCCAGAGUUAGUGCUACUGAGACUUGGCACAAGAGACUUGGGCACUUUCACCAUCAAGGAUUGCUUUAAAUGUAGUCGAAGAAGCUGGUGGAAGGACUUACAGACAUUGAUGAUGAUCUACCUCAUUGUCGAGCUUGCAAAUUUGGGAAACAACAUAGACAACCCUUUCCUAAACAAGCCUGGAGAGCCUCGAAGAAGUUACAACUUGUUCAUACUAAUCUUUGUGGUCCUCAGAGAACGCCUUCGUUAAAUGGUAGCCUCUAUUACAUAGAAUUUAUUGAUGAUAUAACAAGAAUGUGUUGGAUUUUUUUGUUGAAACAAAAAUUAGAAGUUGUUGGUGUGUUCUAGAAAUUCAAAGCUGGAGUUGAGAACGAAAGUGGAUGCAUGAUUCAGAUUUUAAGAUCUGAUAAUGGCAAGGAGUACACUUCAGAAACUUUUAAUAGUUUUUGUGAAGAGGCUGGAAUUGAGCAUCAGUUGACGGCGCCAUACACUCUACAACAAAAUGAAGUCAGUGAAAGGAGGAAUAGAUUCAUAAUGGAGAUGACUCGAUGUAUGCUUCAUGAGAAGAAUCUUCCAAAAGGAUUUUGGGGAGAAGCUGCAAACGCUGCUGUGUUCUUGCAAAAUCAGAUUUCAACAAAAGCUGUGAAGGAUCAGACGCCAUUUGAAGCUUGGUAUGGUUACAAACCCUCUUUAAAGUUUCUUAGAGUGUUUGGCUGCCUGUGUUUCACUUACAUUCCAUAGGUCAAGCAUGAUAAGCUUGACAAAAAGGCAGAAGCUGGCAUUUUUGUUGGGUAUAGCAUUGUAUCUAAAGCUUACAGAGUCUUUCAACCACACACUGGACGUGUUACUGUGAGCAGAGAUGUUUAUUUUGUUGAAAAUAAGCAAUGGAAUUGGGAAGACUCGACCAAGGUGAACCAAACUUAUAGUGUACCAAAUCGUUUUACCAUUGGCAGCAUGUUAGAAGAGCUUGAAGAUGAAGGGCAAGAUGUUUUGGCUGAUGAUGCACCUGUCAGAGGUACAAGGCUGCUCUCAGACAUUUACCAAAGAUGUAAUAUGGCUAUUUGUGAGCCUGCAGGGUAUGAUGAUGCAAAAAAACAGUCAACAUUGGAUGACUGCAAUGAAGGAGGAGCUUGCGAUGAUCGAAAAAAACAAAACUUGGAAGUUGGUUGAUCGACCUCUGGACAAAAAGAUAAUUGGAGUUUGCAACAUCUAAACAAGGAGUGUUAAGAUCAUGUGUUUAAGAUUGCUGCCAUUUAAUUUUUUCUGUUACUAAAUUUGAAUAAUUCUCCUUGACUUUAGGAGAUUAGAUUUUUGAUUUGUUUGCUAUUUUGUUACCAAAUUUUUAGCAGUUUUUUAGAACCUUUUUUUCUAUUUUUAGCUUGAACUUUUGUAUUUAAAUAGUUGAGGUGCAAAUCAAUUAUUUAUUCAAGUCUUCAAUUAUUUUUCUAUUUAAAAACUUCCCGUCUCUUCUUUCUACUUCAAAUCUCUCGAUCAACCAUCAAAGUUCGAGUUCUAAACAUCAACAGUAUCUUUAAUUAUAUAGCAACAACUCUGAUAAGAUACAGAUAGAAACUUUUGUCUAUUAAAUAUAUAAAGUGACUAUGCAAUUGAUAAUCAUAUACAAUAAUCAACAUUUGACUAAACUUUGCAACCUAUACAAGUUUUUUUGGGAUUUCGACAAAAUAUAAACAUAAACCCCGAGAAGAUACGUAAAACAUUUACUCAUCCAUGGCAACUGACUGAAAAAAUUUGGGUUGUCAUCUUGCUCAUAAUCAUAUACAAGGUCAAUACCAAAUUCUAGCACAGAUAAAUCUGAAAGAACCCGAAGACUAAUAUGAUCACCAGCUUCUAAUUCAUCACCCCUAAAGUUCCAACAAGUCGUCCAGUAUAAGGUAUUCUUAGUUUCAGGAAUUCCCAUAAAAUGUUUGGAGUAGGUCCACUUUGUACCUUUGGUCUCGUUCACAAUUUCAAGGCAUGGUAAAAAUCCAUAUGUUUUAUCAUUCUUGGCAGAAAAAAUGAUAAUCGAAUUUAAGAAGCAACUUAUCUUUCGACUAGAUUUUGGGGGCACUGAUAUUGAAAUCUCAGUCUUGCCAGCUUGAUGGCCAAAGUAAUGACCAUGGUAAUCAAAUGGCAACGGAUCAAAUGUUGUAAUUAUACCGUAAUCAUAUAAUACCUGUAGCAUUGGGUUAGAGAAUGAGUUAUUAAAAAGUAUAUAGUAUAUAAAUAAUUUUAAAAACUUGGAACUUGUAAAGGGAACCUGUGGGGAAGCUACCACUUUUGAUUCUUCUAUAUAACUGCAAAGUUGCACUUUAACAUUUCCAUAAGAUUCCAAACUGGGCAAGUGUUUAGUUAGGUCCAUCUUGAUAUUUCUUGUGGAAACUUCAUCUCCUAAAAUAUGUACAAUAAUGUGUUAUUUAUCAAUUUUAGUGAUCAUCAACAUAAUAUACUUAUUAGAAAGUAAUAGUACUGACUUGAAUGGAGUGAUAAUUAAAGCUUUUAUCAGACACCUAUUUGACACGAAUUCAAAUAGUGACCCAUAUAUUGUAUGAAAAAAAGAUAUCAAAGUAGUAAUGUUAUUAUCACUAAAAUGUAUUCUAAGACUUAUCAGAAAUAAUCAGUUAUACACAUUAUAUCUUUAUUUUUCAUUUUUAUACAAAAUAUAAACUUUAAAACUAUUAAAUAUUUUAAUCAAAACACCACUUUUAUAAUUUUAUCCAUUAUUUUAGUUUCCACUUCUAUUAGAACUAUUGGAUUAAUCAUUUAUCAAACAAUUAACUUAUUUUCAUUAGACCCCAAUUGCAGUAUAACUUUAUAAUUAUCAUUUUAUUAUUAAGCUAAAUUUCUCUCAUAAUCUAUUAAAUUGUCACAUUUCUUGAUAAUUUUUUUUAUUGUAUUAGAAAGUCUUUUAGAGAAACAUUCAUCAUUUCUUGAACAUUUGUUAUUCACAUAGAAAAUGAAAAAUAAAAUAAAUAUAAUAGGAUGUAUUCACUAAAAUAUAAUUAUUUGAAGUCCACUCAUACCUGUAGAUAAGUGCGAAAAGCCAUAUUCAUAUCUAAUGUUGUGUUCUGAUUCAUAAGUAACGCCAAAUUUUCUUAUGCUGAGAUGAAUAGGCACUACCAUGCAACUCACAAGGUCACCACCUUCAAACUGACAGUCCGUUACUGGCCAAUGAAUCAACCACAACAUUGUGUUAUCGUUAGUCUCAGGAAUUCCAAUGAAACUUGAGCGAUAUCUCUGCAUGAUCAUUUUGGUCUCAUUGAAAAUGUGGACACUUGGUAGAAGCUCCAACAUUUGGUCACUAGCUACAGAGAAAACAAUGCAUAAGCUGAACUGAUGGAUCUUUUCAUCUGGAUGAGAUGGUGUUGGCAAAAAAAAAGAGAUUUGAUGCUCGUUAGUGCCAUGCUUAAACCCACUCGGAACUUCACUUCCUAUAAAAAAUGUGCUUGUUAUACCACAUUCUUGCAAGACCUGAUCCAAAAAAACAAGUUAGAUGAUUAAGUAGUGUAAGAGAAAAAAUAGAUUUAAAAUUUAAGUUGGAGAACUAUUGGACCUGUGGGGUAGCUAGCAUUAUGCUGUCUGUUAGGUAGCUAUAAAGUGGCAGUCGAUUUCUGUUAAUGGAAUCUACGUUGAAUAAUCUUCUAAUCUCUUCUGCUUCAAAGUUUUCAAUUGGUUCCAACUUGAAUAGAUCUUCAACCUCCGUCAAUUUUUCACAUCCAAAAAUAUCACAUCGUGUGGAAGAAAAGAAGCAUGGAAGAAUUGCCCCAUAUCCUUUAAAUGGAGAUACUGUCAAGAACUCAAAAACAUUGGGCAAGACUGGAAGCUUUGGAAUCUUUUGGAGUUCAGUGCAAGAAGUCAGUAGAAGCUCAUCAAGUUUUGUAAGGUUUUUUAAGCUUUCGGGUAGGUAAUGAAUUGGGUUUCUACUUAAAUUUAAGGAUUUCAAGGAAGCCAAGUUACAAAGAGCAUUGGGCAUGACAUCAUUAGAUAAUUUGCAACUUCCA
rnacentral:lncRNA from 1 species